rnacentral:lncRNA from 1 species
GCGUAGUGAAGUUUGAGGCAGCCGUUCCGUCGUCGAAAUCAGGAAGAAUCGCCCUGGGAAUGGUUGAGGGGGUGGUGCUGCCGUUGUAUUGAAGAAUGGCAGUGGUGGUGCUGUUGUUGUAUGCAACAUCCCCAUCAACAAAAGGAGUGGAAGCUACGUCAUAGUGGCUGGGAGUCUGAUUUGCAACUACCAAAAUGUCCAUGGUUUGGCCUGGAGUUAUCAUGAGGUAGGAGGUGGUUAUAGGUUUUAUGUAUGCAGCAUCUUGAGCUACCACUGUGAGGUUGUGGUUGGCAAUGGCGAAGAACUGUUCUUCGUUCAACACUGCGUUGACUAAACGGAGAAGAUACGUCUUGCCAUAAUCAACCACCCAACGGUAUGUUGUUGCUGCAACAGGAAAUCAAUCAGUUGUUUAUUCAAAUUCUAGUUACUGAAUUCAAUCGGUGUUCAUAAUGAAUCAAAUAUGAAUAAAUCAAACACUAUAGUAGAGUAAUGUUUGACUGAAAUAAUAAAGCCUUUUGUAAAUUAAUUGUAGUUGAUAUAAUUUUCCACAAAUAAUUUUGUUUUAGAGUAUCUUUUGGGAUCUCCUAUCAAUUUUAUUUCAAUGAUCCGAAGGAUCAAAUCAUUGUAGUUGCCUAAUUGCUAAACCAUAGUCAAAUAUAAUAUUGCCCUUCAUAACUCAGGGUGACCUACCUUUAUCCCUUAAUUGAGAUUUUAAGUCUCACUUUACUCACCAUUAUGUCGGUUAAUAAUUGUAUUAAAAAUGUUGACAUGAACUGUGUAACACAUGAGUGCCAUGUGUGCCAAAAAUAAAAUAAAAUAUUUCAUUUUUAAAAAGUUUAAUUUAAGGCCCUAGCCCCACCGACUUCCCUCACCGGUACCCCGUUACCUGCCCCCCGUCCCCACUAAGUUUAAAAUCUUUGCUCAGGGUUGCAUCUUUACCAUCAAACUGGGGGCAGACUUACUGACAUACUUAACUGGUUUAAUAUACAUCGGUGUUAUAUUUUAAUUCUUAUUAAACGGGAUUCAAAGAAAGGGGUAAACUUUUGUCAUAUUUAACUGGUUUAAUACACAUCGGUGUUAUAUUUUAAUUCUUACUAAACAGGAUUCAAAGGGGUAGACUCAUUGUCCUACUUAACUGGUUUAAUACACGUCGGUUUCAUAUUUUAAUUCUUACUAAACGAGAUUCAAAUUUGGAAAAUCUAACAUGGCGAAAAAAAUACCACUAAACAGCUAUUUUGAACUUAAUUGCUUACUACUUUUGGCGUACACCACAAGUCAAAAAAGUAUACCGCUUUGCAUGUUCCAAUAAUAACGAUAUUCCAUAGUCAUCCUUUAGAAAAACACUCAAUUGCUUUUCUCACGUCCACAUCUAAUAACAACAGAUAAGUCCAUGUAUGAGAUUAGAUUUGGAUAUUUGAUUAUAAUUACCAUUGGAACACUUAUACAAGUGUCCAGGCUCUCCGUUGAUUGUGAAGGCAUCUGAAACGUUUGGAUCGCCACCUGUUGAGAGAGCAUUUUGAAUGAUUUCAUUCACACCUCCUUUGUACCAGGAUCCUGCCAACGAACCAGAUGAUAAUGAAAAAUAAUUAUAUGGGAUUCGAUGUUGCAACUGUAUGAUGUAACAUUUUUUGUUUUCAUGUCUGUGGUCCGCAGUCCUUGUAAAUAGUUAAUAACUAAUACAUGUAAAUUUUUAUUAAAAUAAAAAUACCUAGAACCAGUGUUUCUUCUCCAUCUGGUGUUGCAAAAGGAUAAGUGGUGUUGAGAGCUGGUAGAAUAAUGAUGGCACCAUAGACGGUGGCACGUGACCAAUCGCUAUGAGCAUGCCACCAUAAUGUUCCUUCUUCAGUGGAGAAGAUAAUCUCGUAAGUGAAGUUUGACCCUGCUUGAAUAGGGCAUUGUGUUACGUUCUCGGGUCCAUCAUACCAUGGAUUUCGUGGUUGUUUCACUCCAUGCCUGUAAAUAUUAAACAAGAUUAAAAAGUUUGUCAUCUACCCUGAUUUUCCUUCUCACGGUGGAAAAUUAAUUGAAGCAAGGAAAAGACUAAAGACUUAGCAUGCACGUUAAUGGAGUUCAGCUUAUUAUUAUUAUUAUUUUUUCAAAGCUUGAUUUCCAGACUAAAAGUUUUAUGUUCAAACCCCUAAAUGCGGGAAAACCCCGUCCCUCUUUAAACAAGAUUUAAAAAGUUUGUUUGCUAGCUUGAUUUUCCUUUUCUUCUUAAGGUGGAAAAUUAAUUGAAGCAGUCAAAAUAAAAUAGAAGGUUUUAUUUUUGUGUUUAUUAAAGAAAAAGACUAAAGACUAAGCAUGCCAAUUUACGGGGUUUAACUUAAGGGAAAAAAGCCUUGACUUCUAGAUUAAUGAUCUCAUAUUCGAACCCCUAAAACACUUGACAGUAUGUGUGAAAAUCAUCUACCAUGAUCUCUCUUCCUGUCAAUCCAUUCAAACACACCAUGAGAUGGAGAAGAGAAUAUUCCAAAUGGAGACUUUGUCAAUCCAUUCAAACACACAACGAACGAUUCAUAAUUUUCCACCAAUAAGCUUAAUUAUCUAUCCAGCUUAUCUUCAAACGCUAGUUAUUAGCAGUUUUGGACUAUUGGUCAAUGCCAAAAAAAAAAAAAAAUAAAAUAAAAUAAAAUCUAGGGCUAAGCUAAUGCGAUUGGUAGCUUUUACCAAUGAAUGGUGAGACCGUAUGAGCCUUGGUUGUGGACAUUCACAAAAGCAGUGUCCCCCUUCCGGACAGUGAUGGUCGGCCCCGGCAAAGUCCCAUUCGCAGUUAAGAUGGUCUUUGUUUCGCAAAGCCUUGUAAAAUUCGAUUCUGUCAGCUGCAAAACAAAAAAUGAUGAAAAAAAUCGAGCCGAAGCAACGGAUGAUGAUGAACAUGCAAAGGCUGUAAAAAUGGUGUUAGUGUAAUGUAGGAAGCACUUACAACAAAAUCAUAAUAAUAAGUAUUGCCAUUAGCCUUGCAAAGACCCAAGAACAUAAACCCUACACAGGCUAAGACCCAACUCAUUUUCUUAAACUCCUAGUGUGUUCUUCAGGUUGCCCUUGAAGUGUUGUGCGGUUUUCUAUCUCAGGUAAAGACCUAUUUAUAGAUAGAGUUCAUGGAAAGUUGCUUCUAUUAUUAGUUGCUAAGUUUUCCUCUUACAUGUUUGAAAUUUAUUACCUACCAAACUAGGCAAAGUUAAAAAUAAAAUAAAAUCGGGAAAUUAAAAAAAAAACACGUGGAAAACGAAAAGCAUGGGCAAGUUGGUCCAGUGCACAACAAAUAAGUUCAGACACUAAUACCAUGUAUUAGAUAAACAACUUCACUACUGGAAAACGGACAAAAGCCAUUCAUGUCAAGACCACGACAGGGGAUCCUUAAGUCUAGUAGUAUAUCCUGUCAUCAACUGGGUUUAUGUCGGUAAGUACUGUUCUAGCCACGGUGAUCUGUGCCUCGAUUACCAAUAAGAAUAAUAAAGUAAGAGAUUUUUAUUUUGUUUUGGGUGGAUUGAUAUUGCGCAAAACACAGAUAACAAAUGUUUUUUUGUUUUUUUUUUUGGAAAAUCAGAUUUAUUGUCGGUUUGAUGAACAAAGUUCCCCAUACCGUUAGGAGUACUCUAAAACUAAUCUCUAAAAGUAGACUCAAAGAGGUAUUAAAAAAGAAAAGGCUACACAAAUAGCCAAUUUCUAAUUCGGACUAAACACUUAGAUAAGAUCUAGCUGACAUCAACAAAUCGUUAAAUGAUAUCAACUAAUUUAUUUUUUAAAUUCAAAAAUAAUAAUUUUUUUCAAUUUCAUCCUUUUAUAUAAUUUCUCACAACCUCUACAGAUGGCCUUAGUGUUCUCCAAUUCAAAUACUGAUUGCGCUUUGGCUAUAUGUUUCAGGGGAAAGCUCCUUCUCAAUUCAUGUCAACACGCCAUCUCACUAUUCCACCCCACUAACAUAGUGUCAGCUAUCUAUUAUUUUAACUUCCGUUUUUCCCUUCUUUAUCUCUCUCUUUCGGUUCUCUCUCUCUGUCGCUCUCUUGCAUUAAAUUUUGGAUUUGAUGGUUGAUCUUACGGGUAACAAAAUUCACCAAAACAUUGCCCAAUGAUAAUAAUAAAAUAUAAAAGACAGUCACGUAUAACUUUUCUUGAAUAAACUACAAAAUGUUAUUAUGGUAACACUGAUGACACGUGAUUAGAAAAAAAUAUUUAAAAAAAACCUCGCUCAAUACACAAAAAAAACACUAAACAUUCAAAUUCCGUUUAAGGUGGCUUCAGAAGAAACAUAUUAGGUAUCUGUUAGACCUUGAAAGUAGUGUUGCAUACUAAUUAAGAAACAUAAUAAGAUGCCUCAGACUCUUAAUUAAUAUCUAAAAAUCCAGAUUUGAUUUGCUUUCUCUUAGCCACCUUUGACAAAUUUGCCAAGGGCUAGAUACACAAGGAAGCGUGUGGGCCUCAAGUUUUGACAAUUGCUCCAAAUACAGAUUUUGAUUUGAGAUCUUCCACUACGCACUUCUAGCAUGCAUAAUUUUUAUUCCCACGCCUAAUGUCACUCCCUUUGGGUUCUGUGCGGCCACGGUUUAAUUUAAGGUUUUCUUUGUUUUGAGAUGUGUGAUUUAAGAUAGGACCGCUAGAUUUUGGUGAUUUGAUUUUUUUUAUUGUCUAUGCAAAUUUUGUUCGAUUUAGUCUUCUUGUGUUUUUAGUUUUAUAAUUUACGCAGAUUCUGUUUAAUUUACUUUUACUUAUUUGGUUGUUUUUUCUUUCAAAUUUGUAGUCGUGUUGAAAUUGAUUUGUACAUGUCUUUAAUGGAUUCCUGAAGUUUUUUAAUGAAUAUCGUUGUUUAAAACAAUUGUAUUUUAUCAACAAAAGCUAAUGUUUAUUGGAUGGGUUUGUUUUAAAUUUACGAAGUUCUUUUUUAGUCGUCAUUAUUUACCACGUCUACAACAAUAUUAAAUUAUGCGCUUCGAGCUGCCUAUGAGGUGGCAUCUUUUCUUACUAGAAUAGGAGGGAUCCAUGAUUGGAAUAUGUGGUGGCCUGAGUGGCUUUUUGGUAUUUUAGUCUCUAAUUUUAACGUUGCAAUUCGUCUUUGAAUAAAUUUUUCCAUUCUUUUGCGAAAAAAGAGAGUAUAUAUAUUUCCCUAACGUGUUGUAGUUGAUGAUGAACCAUAUAAGCUUUUUUUUUUUUCUUAUUCAAAAACUUUUUGUCAAAUGCGACAGAUAAUUUCACCCAAAAAAAGGCAGCAUAUUUAAGGGUUUCCUUGUUUUGGGAUGUGUGGUUUAAGAUACAGACUAUGCUAGAUUUUGGUGAUUUGAACUUUUUAGUUGUUUACGCGAAUUUUGCUCUAUUUAGUUUUUCCAUAAUUUAAGUUUCAUAAUUUACGCGGAUUCUGUUUGAUUUAGUUUUGCCUACUGGGUUGUUUUCCCUUUUGAAUUUACGCGGAUUCUGUUUAAUUUACGCGGAUUCUGUUUGAUUUAGUUUUGCCUACUGGGUUGUUUUCCCUUUUGAAUUUACAGUCAUUUUGAAAUUGGUUUGUACAUGUCUUUAAUAUAUUCUUGAAGUUUUUUAAUGAAUAUGUUGUUUAACCCAAAAAAGAAAGGUCGUCUAAAACAAUUGUAUUUUAUUAACAAAAGCUAAUGUUUAUUGGAUGGGUUUAUUUUUACAACGUUCUUUUUUUAUUCAUCAUUAUUUACCACGUCUAUAACAAUACUAAAUUAUACACUUUAUAUAUAUUAUUAAUUUUAUUUUUUUUAUAAGAGCAAUAUAUCGUAUACAAAGAGGAGAAUUCGAACAUAAGACAUCAGGCAAAAAAAUAACUAUACUCUUAAUCACUUGAGCCAUAAACCUUUUUAUGGAACUUAUAUAUAUUUUUAUAUGCAUCAUGUAUGUCUUCCAGUGUUGUGUGAUCAAAGUGAUGAGUAACAAGAUUGUACAAAAGAAAAGUUCUUAAUUAUAACAUUGCACAUUAUUUUAAAGGAGGAAUCGAACUCCAUUAUUUCAAGAUCAAUCAUACUUCAUAUUUUAAUUUAUAAAAGUAUGCAUUAUGAUCAAAGUGUGGCAUAAAUUUUUUUUUUGUUUUUCUUUUGGGCACAAUAGAUAGAUCAUGUGAUGAUGGACUCUGUCCUUGGUGUGUCCCAUGUUUUCAAGAACAAUUAACAUAUUUUUAUUGACGUUUCAAAUUCAAAACAAUAUCUUUCUAGGUACAGGACUGUCUUUUUACACUGCAUUAUGUCAAGGCAUGGACCCCUAAGCUGUACGUUUACGUAAUAGCUAUAGAUAUAGAUGAUGAAAAUUUGAAAUAUCGACCCACUAAUUGUAUGAAUAAUUAUCAUCAACAAAAUUUUAAUGUCUGGUCAAGUUACUGUCGAGAAUAUUGUCCCAAAAUGAAAACUUGAAGCCUUAAUUAGUGUUUAAAAAAACUUGGCACAUAGAUUAUCCAAGAUGUUACUACUUUUGAUCUUUGUAAAAGGGGUCACGUAUAUGUUCCCCCUUAUUUUUUCAAAUGACGAACAAUAAAAUUAUCCCUCAUAAUGUUAAGGUUCUCUUUAAAAAGACUUUCUACAAUAUUUAUUGGUAAUUAAAUUUAAGCUCCAUGUUUUUGCAUGUAAAGAAGCAUGUCGAGAGUAUUUUCCAGCAAUUGAUAUAUAUUUUAUUUUUUUUAUUGUUAGUUUUAAUUAUAAUUAUAUAUAAUGUAAUAUGCAUGCAUGCGGCCAACCUAAACAAAAAUUUUGGGGUUUAGGGAGUUUUAACUUACAAAGCACAUCUAAAGUUUAAAAAAUAAAACAUAAAGAUUUUCAACUAAAAUGAGGUCGACUUGACAGUUUUCGAUUUUAUUUUAUUUUUAGAAUUAAGAAAAGAUAACAUGAGUAAUUAUGUUACAUAAAAGUAGGACCUAUUAUUUGAUUUUGUUUUUAAUUUUAAUUUUUUUAAUAUGAAAAAAAUGUGAAUUUACCAUAUUAUCCUAAUUUAAUUAAUAAUUUCAAUUCUUAUUUGAAUUAACCAAGGGCAUUUUCUAGUAUUUUGAAUGUUUCACCAUUCUCUACCUUUUGCUUUAUAUAUAUAGAUUCAGUAUCUUCUUAGGGUCUCCCUUUCUUCUACAAUUUCCACGUACAAAGCUUGAUCAUGCGAAUUGUGAGGCUAAUUAGGCGGAAAACACUUUCACAAAUUUCAAUCGUGAGUUGGUAUCUGUCAUCAUGAUCGGUACAAUUAAUUUGGAUUAAUUUGUUAUGUAGUGAGCAUCUUUAAUUUUCUUGAAACUAUAAAGAGUGCUUCUAUUUCCACACUCCUGUCCUAUUUUUUUACCAACCUUAUCUUCCCACCUACCAAGUAAAUUUGAAAAAAAAAAAAAAAAUCCUAUAUUUUCACCCACCAUUAUUCCUAAAAUACCCUUUAAUUAUUAAUUCAAGAAAAUUCUCUUUGCUAAUCCAUUAGGGAUCCGGAUCCUCUGCUUUGGUUUUUCUCAUAAUUAAAACAUACAAAUAUAUUUUCCUUAAAAAAUGUAAAUUAAAAAAUAAAAAUUAUUCAUAAAUAAACGUUGAGUUUAAUGUCUUUCUUCCUCUUCCUUGUUCUCUUCCUUUCUCUGCAAGUGAAUCUGUCUCUUGAAUCCAAAAAUUCCCUCCUCUCUCAUUCAUUAAUAUUGGGGAGAUAUAUUUUCUUUAAAUUUAUGUUUUAUUCCCCCCAAAAGCUACCCUUCAAAACUGUACUAUGGGUUUGAUUUUGAUUAAUAUUUUGAUAGACCGGAAUCGGACACUUUAGCUACCCAAUUCUCGUCCAAUAGAAUGUUUGUGGUUUUCACAUCUCUAUGGAUGAUGGUGCACCUGGCACCAGUAUGAAGAUAAUGUAAUCCUCUAGCAGCUCCAAUGCAAAUUUCCAACCUUUGCUUCCAUGGGAGGUUGGUUGCUCUUGUACAGGUGUUCCUUUCGAGUCCCAUUAGCCAUGUAAUCACAAACAAGAACCAUCACCAUCUUCUUCGCAAAAACCAAUCAAAGAGACUAAAUGCCUUUGAAAGCAUCUCAAUUUUAGUUUCGAAUUCAUGAACUCCUUGUUCUAAAAAAAAGAACAAUAUAUAGAAAUAGAACAUUCUCCCAAAAAUUCCCUUUCUCAUUCAUUAUUUGGCGUCUCUUUGUUUAAUUAACGAAUUUUUGUUCUUUUUUAAUUCUUAUGAAAUUGGGUUUUUAUUUUAGGGUUGAGGUUUUUUCUUUAAGUCCUUAAAAGUCAUUUUACAAAGGGGUAAAUUUGUCUAUAAAAUUUUGAAGAUAAGAUGGGUGGGAAAAUAGGGUAGGUGAGUGGAAAUAAUAGCACUCAUGCUCCUCAUUAUCUUCCGACCAAAAAUAAAAUAAAAUAAACGAAUUCAAUGAUAUUUGUUACACAUUUACGGACAAAAAUGAUGGAUAUCAUUUGACCACUCAAUUAAAUAAUUGAAAUUUAAAUACUUUCGUAAAGCACCGCAUUAAUUGAUUUUGUUGAUAUCAAUGAGAUGCCUUAAUGAGUUUCAAUUUGCAUGAUAUUUUGCAAGGAUGAUCUCUAAAUGAAGAUGUGAAAAAUAGAUGGUUUGGACCGUUAAAAAAUAUUUCGUAGGGGGAUCAUAAAAGGUGUCCCUUAAACUCUGUAAGUCCUCAAAGAGGCCUUGAUAUGCCUUGGCCUUGGGAUAUGAUAGCCUCCCCUCCCCCUAAACUUUUUAUUACCAAAAAAAACAAAAACAAAAACAAAGAAAAACCUAACUCUAUCACCACAUAUAUAGAUUUUUAAUAAUAUCAUCAAUGUAGCUCUACAAAAUUGUGCAAAAGAUACAUGAUGUUUGCUUCAAUUAAUUGACAAUACUUAAGGAGGAACUUCUCCUUGUUGGCAUGAUUUGUGACUUUCCUUACACACCAAGGUUUUCCAUAUUAAUUGUAAUUGAUUUCCCUUUUAUUUCUAAUUUCCUACCAUAAAAAAAAAUAGGAGUUAUUACUUGGCCUUCAAAAUUUUAUUGUACUAUAAAUAUGACCUCCAACAAGGUGAAGAAUACACAGAAAAUUCCCACAAACAAUAUUCUCUCAUAGGUUUUCAUAUUUUAGCAUGAUAUCAUAGCCCAACUCACAAUUGGAAGCCCAAAUGCAGGAUGAAAGCCCAAAGAGUAUUUCACAUCUCCUUGUCACAUACGCGCCAUUCAGAAGCUGGGGGACAUUUAUAAGAGCAUAUAUUUUGGUGACAAAUGAGCGGGUGACACGUGGAAAAUGAAAAUUCCCUAGCUCAAUUAACCAGGGAACUGGGCUCCUAGCACGCACAGCAGAAUCCUCAAUACUCGUGCUCCUGUGACAAGUCCUACACGAGCAGACUGCCCUGCUAAGGGUCUACGAAACACCCUGUCAAAGGUGCCCGGGUUCCGACAUAUCCAAGUAUCCAUGUCCGAGUAUUCAUAUCCAAGUUUCCAAGUACUAGGGAGGGGAAACAAUCCAACCGGGGAUCGUUUAGUUGAACCACACAGAGGAAUCCUCAACAACCAUGUGGCCAGGGACAAGCCGUCUGUGAAUGUAUAGUUUUUUGUAAUUUUCUUUUGGCUUCCCUUGACAACUUUGUAAUAGGAUUUCUAUUGUUAUUUAUUAAGCUCAAGUUUAGAUUGAGAAUAGCUUCUCUAGGUGUUCUUAACUAACAACUAUCUUAUGGAGGUUCGAGCAAAUUGGCAAAGGUAAAUUGUGCAUUGCAUAACAUUGCAUUAAACUGUUUUCAUAAAAUGAUGACUAGUCAUUUGUUUCUCGUAUGACUAGUCAUCCCUGCUCUGUAGGAUUUCCAGCUGGAUAACAAACUUUUUUGUCCUAUUCUCUUUUCUCUCUCUGCUGCCAUGUGUCAUUCUGACCUAAGGGAAUUUUUGUCUGUAAAGGCUAAGGAAUUCCUCUUUGGGCAGCUGUCUCUUUUUUGGGUGGAAAUUUAGGAAAGGUUGGCUUGCUAUCUUUCCGUUCUUCUUCCUCAAGAGAGAACCAUAUUUCAUCUUCCAAAUUGAUUUCUUUUUGAAAAAACUGCAUUUGAAAUACGAAUCUGCAUCUAGCUUCAUAAAACACUCUUUCAUUUAUAUCUAGGUCAGAUUCAAGACUGAUUUCUUCAAGAGUUGGUUUCUUGAAGAAAUUGGUCAUUCUCCUUUGAAUCCAAAUUUUGGUUUCUGUCUGAGAUAGAGCUUGCAAGUUGGUGCCAUGGGAUGAAUGAGCUGGAGAAGAAGCUGCCAUUGUCAUGAAAAACUAAGCUUCAAGCUUUGCUAAGUUGGAGAAGAAGAUUGCACAAAGGAGGUAUAGCUCAUCUUCCUAAAUAGAUCUAGGUUUUUCUUGAGCUUGCUUGUGUUCCUUUGUAAGAAUCCUUUUCUACUUAGUGGAUUGCCUGGUAGGUUGAUGACCCCCAGUUUUUCCCAAUGGUGGGUUUCUGGGUGAACAAUUUUUGAUUGCAUCUAUGUAAUUUUUCUGGGUUUGUGUUCUUGGUGGUUGACUAGUCAUCAUUAUCUGCUAUUUGGUGUUUGCUUGAUUAUGUUGUCUUCAAACACUUUCACCAUAGUUGUUGCUAGCACAGGGGAUGCCUAGAUUGAUGGGUCCUUCUGAGUGCCUAGGUUGUCACUAGUAAUUCUCUAGGCCUGCAGGUACAUCUUGGUAUGCUCGGUGUAUGUUAUUGUUUGGUAUAAUUCAUAUCUGACAGUUGACUAGUCAUAAGAGUAUUUGGUCAAGGUCUAGAGUGUGUGAAGUUUGUUGCGUUCUUGGCUGAAUAUCUUUUAAGUUUACCCCUAGUCACCUAAAUACCAAUUUCACCGUCCAACCGGGGGACUGAGCUCACUAGCACACACAAUAGAAUCCUCAAUACUCUUGCUCCUGUGAUCUGUCUUAUGCGCGCAAACUACUCCGCUAAAGGUCUACGAAACACCUUGUCAAGGGUGCCCGGGUUCCGAUCAUAUCCAAACCAUAACCACCGUUUCCAAGUAUCCAUUAUCCAUCAAUUCCAAUAUUAGUAUCCAAGGGGAGUACAUAAGAUGGCGUGUUAUCGCCAAGAUCCAAAAUCCACUUUCAUAAACUAAUAUAUAAUAAAGAUAAUACUCUUAAAAUCCAAUUUCCAAAACAAAACGUUUGCAUAUAACCAAAAAAAAUAUAUAUAUAUAUAUAUAUAAUAAAAUAAUACCCAUUCUGCCUUUUUGAAAACAAAAUAAUCCCAUUCGAUUUAAUUAAUAUACAAAAUCAUUAUUCAUUUAUAGGAAAUACACAACCUCUAAAAAUCCCACAAGACAAGAUAAUAAAAUCCAAAUACCAUAUUUAAAUUUCCCAAAACCAUAGCCCAUCAAUAUAUACAUACAACAUUCUCAAAGAUAUUUGCAAUUCAAAGUCCGAUAACCACAUAAACUAAUGCACCAAAACCAAAAUUCAUAACAUACCCAAAGUCACCAUAACCCUUUAUAAAUAAUAUUAAUAGCACCACUAAUAAUAGUAAUAAUAAUACUCAUUCCCGAAAUUCCCAUAAUCACGUAUUCCAUCCUAAAAAUUCACUAGUUUGAAUUAGAUCACCCAUAACUUUCCAUUCUCAACUCAAUUUCCACAUACAAAUAACAUACCACUCAGCAACCCAGAAAUCAUAAUCCUUAUUAUUCAUUUUCCAAGACACCCUUUUUAAAACCCGCAUCGAUAUCUAAUGUACCCACAACCCAAACACUUAGACAUAUAUUUGAGUGUAAACAUAUAAUCGCCAUUUAAUUAGAUCUUUACUGACACCAAACCCCUCUAUCAAGCCAUUAGUGAAUUAUAAUAAUAAUCAUCAAAAUAAAGCUAUAAUAAUAAUAUUAAUGAUAACAACAAUGAUAAUAAUAAUAAUAACAACACUAAAAAAAGUAAUCCCUGGAAAUCCCAUAAUCAUAUCUUCCAAAACGCGUACCCCUAAACUAAGAGCUACGUAAAUAAAUCCUUGAUGCGUUCAAGCUAAUGCACAGAAAUAUCUUUCUUUCGAGUUUAUCAUAGAAUUUUCGUGAGCCUCUCGCCACCUACUUUCCGUUCCAUCUUAUUCACAUUUUGCUUAAACACAUUGUUUGUCGAUAUAUACUUGACUUUUCCUAGCAUAUCAAAAAGCACAAAUACAUCUUGCAUAAAGGGACUUUAAAUUCAUUCUUUCUAGUUUUGUAGUGAUGAUUUGGGGAUUCGAACUUGAAAUCUAUUCCAAAAGACGGAAUGGUCUCAAAGACCCGUGGCCAAUGGUUUGGUCAACGGGGCCUAUGGGGCCCACGACCUCCAAUUUCAAUUCGAAAGUUCCUAGAGGUCCAACAAAGUCUAUUGAACACAUCCUGAAAGUUUUAUGUAAUCUUUGAAUCAUUCGGAGUAUCUGGGACUCUGAUUCUCGAUUUGUGAGUUCCUAUACGAUCCUAGAGGUAUCUAGAUAAACAUAUUUGGAAAUGGAGUCGAUUUAACAUUCCGAAUAUAUCGAACUCGGAUAACGCCUAAUAUGCGUAAAUCCGAUCGACCGUCAAACGAUAACCAAAUUCAAAUCUGAGCAUACCGUCAUGCUGAAGAUGACAUGGGGAACGUUUUAAGAGAAAAUGGGCCAACCAAACAUGGCCCACGCGCCACCACAUGUAGGACAGCGCGUGGGUGUCUUGAGAAAAUUCUGGCAUGUUUUUCGCGAUUUCCGACCACGGUGGUUGUCGGCUCCGGCAGAGGAAGAGUGGGGUGGAAGAGGAACCUAAGCCGGUCGUUUUGGCACAGGUCUCGUGGCCAACAGUGGCUAGACAUGAAAACUGCCUGCCAAAAUGCGGCUAGCUGGAGCUUGGUAGCGAGGAUAGAGGGUAGAGAGAGAGAGAGAGAGAGAGAGAGAGAGAAGAAGAAGAAAAUAUCUGGGUUUUUAAAAUUUCAACUUCAAAUUAUUUACAAUUGUGCCACUGCACUUCCGUUGAUCGUAACUUCUUCGUUACAACUCUGAUUUAAGCCCACUAUGUGUCUACGAACUUGUAUUGACGCGCUCUACGCAACGGUGUAAUUCAUUUCCCCAAAAUCUUACUGGAUUAAAAAGUGCCCAAAAUAACCCUACCCAUAAGGGUAAAAUUGUAAUAUCGCAAUUAAUUAAAUUAAAUAAUUUAUAUAGAUUAAAUAAAUGGUUACAAGUUGGGUCGGGAUGUUACAAUUUACUCCAACCUUUUUUGUAGAGAUUGAGGGAGAAGAAAGAGAAGGAAGUUCAAUGGUCAAAGAAUCUAUGUGCAAAUAUUCCUAAUGCAAAAUUUUACUCAAACAUUAAUGUUGCAAUUCGUCUUUGAAUAAAAUUUUUCAUUCUGUGGCAAAAAUAAAUAAAUAAAUAUAUAUAUAUUUUGUAUAUGGCUCAUGUAUGUCUUCCAUAGUUGUGUUGUGUGAUCAAAGUGAUGAUUAACAUGAUUGUACAAAAAAAAAGUUCCUAAUUAUAAUAUUGUAUAUUUUUUGAAAGGAGGAAAUCGAACUCCAUUAUUUCAAGAUCAAUCAUACUUCAUAUUUUAAUUUAUAAAAGUAUGCAUUGUGAUCAACGUGUGACAUAAAUGUUUCUUUCUUUGGGCACAAUAGAUAGAUCAUGUCAUCAUUCAUGCAUUCUUUCCUGGUGUGUCCCAUGUUUUAAAGAACAGACAUAUUUUGUUUCACGUUUCAAAUUUAAAACAAGCUCUUUUUAGGGACAUAACUACUAAAAAAAUUGAAAUAGAAGACGGGGAAAAACUGUUGUCUUUUUUUCUUUGAAAACCAUCGUUAAAUUGACUGUCAUUUUUUGAAUGUUAAACUACGACGGUGAUCCAUCACCGUCUAUUAAUUAUGAAGACGACGCUUUUACUAUUAACUGUCUUUUAUUAAAGGUAAAGAUGAUGGUUUUGUUAAACGCACCGUCGUCUAUUAACUGUAAACACGACGGUGUGUUUGAAAGAACCGUCGUCUAUUAUAUAUAAAGAUGAUGGUUUUUAACCAACGUCUAUUAACUCUAAAGAAGACGGUUGUGUUGAAAAACCCAUCGUGUAUUAUCUAAAGUUAAAAAAAAAUAAAACAUAAAGAUUUUCAACUAAAAUAAGGUCGACUUGACAGCUUUCGGUUUUAGUAUAAUAAAUAUUCAGUAUCUUCUUAGGGUCUCCCUUUCUUAUACAAUUUCCACGUACAAAGCUUGAUCCUGCGAAUUGUGAGGCUAAUUAGGCUGAAAACGCUUUGACAAAUUUCAAUCGAUAUAAUUAAUUUGGAUAAAUUUCAAUUGGUACCACUUUGCGAAACCCAAGCGAAGGUGUCGUAUAGCAGUGUAGCUCGGAAGUCCGAGUGUUGUAUCCACAGAGAGCUAUGUAAAGAAAAUAACAGAGUUGAGAUAGAACUGUUGGAAAUUAGGAACGUUAAUCAAUUGUUAUUUAGUUUCCUUUUAUUAGUUGAUUGUAAUUGAUUUGGAUUAGUCUCCAAGUAACUUAGGUUUCCUAGUUAAGCUUGUAAUAUCUUUAUAAAUACUUAGCCUUUUGGCUCUAUCCAUAACAACCAAGAAUUAUUCUUCUUAACAGCAUCAUAAUUUGACAUGGUAUCAGAGCACCGAUUCUAAGUCGUCUCUUAAAACUUUUUACACACCUUAUUUUCUUCACAAUCCGAUGUUUCACAACCCUAGUUGCUAAUCUUUGAAAUCCUCUGCCAAAUUGAGAGUCGUUGGCGCUUUUCAUCCCUCACCCAUGAUGGGUAUUCAUCUUGUACAGUCAUCUUGUUCACCCUCUCCUCAAUGAUCAAUAUUUUAUUCCCGCUACCAAAGCCAUACCAUCCCACAGUUCAUACAUCUAACUAAACCAGUAGUCGCACCAUUCUUUGGCGCUGCAAUUUCCUUAUGUUUUUCAUACCUUCAAGUAAUGCUCUCUAUACAAAUCAUAUUGAGCCAUCUCUAGUCAUGCUCUCUGUUGCAAUCAGAUUGAGCCCAUGUAUUCAUGUCGACUACGCUUGCCACAACCGGGCCAUCUUCGGCCUUCAUCGAGCUUACCCAUCAUUUUUUUAAGUCAUCUGCGCUUGCGGCAGCCGCGCUGUCUUCAUUGCGGUUCCUUCGUGAGCCUCGUCAACGCUCACCGAGCCAUCAUGUCUUUGGACAACCCACGACAUCUCCAACAAAUGCAGGAGGCUCUACACUAGCACCACCGUUGUUGACCAGCCACUGUGUUCAUUGAUUCUUUGCCCCUGCCUAGAAAUGAUCAAUCGCUCGUAUCCAAGCCAUCGCUUCUUUGCACCACGACAACCCAACAUAAGCAUUCACUUUCUCUCCUUUGUUGAUAUAUUAGUUUCUCUCUUUGAGGCUUCACAUCAGGCCCAAUUUUUUGUUUUCUUUCUCUACUUAACUUCCGUACAAUUGCACCAGCAACAUUAUCAAUCAGUUGCACCAGCAUCAUCAAUCAGUUGCACCAGCAACACCAUCAUUCAGCUGCGCCAGCAGCAUCAUUAUUCCGCCUCAAGAAAAGGCAUCAUCAACAACAUUUGUUGCACAUCAGCAACAAAAUCACCAUCGUUGCACAUCAGCAACAUCAACAAUAGCCUCCAUACAUGCAACAUACGCUGAACAUCAGCACAACUUUAUUUGGGUGCUGCUUCCUUUAACUCACGACUUUCAUACAUCGUCGGAUUUGAGAGGAGGAACAACCCCCUUUACAGCAGCACACCACUACCCCAUUUACCUCCAGAUUUGCCUUCAUUACAGCAGUGACACAGCUGCCCCAUAUUUGACUCCAUUAUAGCAGCGACACAGCUGUCCCAUUUGCCCCCUUUACAGCAGUGACACCACUGCCUCAUUAUCAGCACCUUUGGGAGUAACACCUUUCACAAUCUCUUAUGCAAGUUGGACAUUCUUGAUAUCCACCCUCCAAGUUGAGGGGAGUGUUGGAAAUUAGGAACGUUAAUCAAUUGUUAUUUAGUUUCCUUUUAUUAGUUGAUUGUAAUUGAUUUGGAUUAGUCUCCAAGUAACCUAGUUUUCCUAGUUAAGCUUGUAAUUGAUAGAUGAACACAUUAGCUUAGUAUUGUUAGAAUACCCACGUGCUAUUCACGUGUUAGUCUGUUAAGCAUGGCUGUUAGUUACAAUUGUAUAUAAGCUGAACUGUGCAUUGUAAUAUUCAUUCAGUGAAUAAUCAUACAAAAAAAUCUCAGUAUAUUCUCUCUGUUUUUCAGUCUUCUUCUUCCUUUAUUUUCCAAAUACCUCUUCUGUUAUCAUGGUAUCAGCGCCCAUGGUGGUGAUCCAGAUAUGCUAUUCCGCUUCUCUCUCUCCGCUUCCUUCAUCUAUCUUGUUCUUCUCUCUUUGCAAUUCCUAAUUUCUCAGCUUUCUCCGAUUUCUCAGAUUUCUCAAAUUUCUUCGAAUCGAAUCCACAUUUUCUAAAACCCUAAUUGCUUCAUGGCUUCUUCUUUUCUCAAAAUUGAGAGUCUUCUUGGCCUCCUUACAAUUCGUCUUGCUGAUGAUAACUUCUUGAAGUGGAGUUAUCAGAUUGAAUCUGUGCUUCAAGGCUACGAGCUUUUUGGGCAUUUCGAUGGUUCUUCGAUUCCACCUCUUCAAUUCGCCAUUGUUGAUGAGGAAGGCGAAACUUCUGAGCUUAACACUGCUUAUAAGGAGUGGAUUCGUACUGAUAAGGCACUUUUGAGUUUACUCAUUGCUUCUCUGUCUGACGAGGCUUGCUUGAAUACGUCAUUGGAUGCAAAACAGCUCGCGAUGCUUGGAUCAAUCUCUCUGAUCGCUAUGCUUCAGUUUCUCGCACUCGGAUCAACCAUCUCAAAACUGAGUUGCAAACUGCACAGAAAGGUGGAGAUUCCAUCGAGCGAUUCUUGCUUCGUCUCAAACAUCUUCGAGAUCAACUGAAUGCUGCUGGUAUCAAGAUUUCUGAUGAUGAUUUCAUUAUUACUGCUUUGAAUGGCUUACCUCCCGAAUAUGACAUAAUCAAGACUGUCUUGAUUGCACGAGAUACUCCUUUGUCUCUCAAGGAUUUCAGAGCACAGCUUCUCGCUGCAGAACAAACUGCUGAGGCUCGUAUUGUUCAUCAUACUGCGUUAUAUGCGAUUAAUUCAUCUUGUGCUCAAGGUUCCUCUGUGUCUUCAGGACAGGGUAUUUUACGUACACCUUCUCAGCCUUUGCCACAUGUUCAGUCUUUUGGUGGUCAGCAAAGUUCUUUUUCUCGUGCCUCUGGUUCUCGAGGUUUUUCUACACAAACCUCUGGUCGUGGAAGGUUUAAUGGUGGUCGCCAUGUCUCUUCUCAGUUUCGGGGCGGUAGUACUUCUGGUUUUCCUGGAGGUUCUCAUUCCUAUCGAUCUCAUGUGGUGCCUGAGUGUCAAAUUUGCAGCAAGCGUGGACAUACAGCUGCUAAUUGCUAUUACCGUCAUGCCAAUGCCAAUUCCUCCUCUUCUACUCCUAAUGUUGUUGAAUGCCAAAUCUGUGGCAAACGUGGGCAUGGCGCACUUGAUUGUUUCCACAGGUCAAACUACUCAUUUCAGGGCCAAGCACCUCCUUCUUCUCUGACUGCUAUGACUGCUCAGACUUCUUUCUCUCCUGAGCACGUCUGGAUUGCAGAUAGUGGUGCUUCUCAUCAUAUGGUUGGCAAUUCCUCUCAAUUGGAUCAUGUGACUCCUUGUAAUGUUGAUGAGAAUGUUACUGUUGGCAAUGGGGCAGGUUUGACUAUUCAGAAUCUUGGCACUGCUACUAUUUCUUGUGCCCAAUCUACUUCACUACAUCUUCCGUCUGUUUUGCAUGUUCCUAAGCUCAAAGCGAAUCUAUUAUCCGUCCAUCAAUUGUGUAAAGACAAUAAUUGUUUUAUCACAUUUGAUGUCUCUGGACAACAUGUCAACGUCUCUAUCUGGCAUAAAAGGUUAGGACAUCCAACAAAUACCGUUGUGCAAAGAAUGCUUCAAGAUUUUGCUUUAUCUAUUUCUGUUGAUAGUUCUCAAGCACUAUGCACUGCUUGUUUACAUGGUAAAAUGCACAAGCUUUCUUUUCCUAAGGAUCAUGUUAAGUCUAAUGUUCCCUUUCAGAGGAUACACAGUGAUGUAUGGGGUCCUUCCCGACAAAAAUCCAUAGAUGGUUUUAGAUACUAUGUUAGUUUCAUUGAUGAGUGUACUGGUUACUUGUGGCUUUAUCCACUGUUUAAUAAAUCUGGAGUGUUUGAAGAGUUUCUCAAGUUCUAUGCUCUUGUCACUAAUCAGUUUAAGGCUACUAUUCAGUAUUUUCAAAAUGAUGGGGGUGGUGAGUUCAUUAGUAGGCAAUUUUCUUCUUUUUUGGAUUCAAAAGGGAUAAUUCAUCAGGUCUCUUGUCCAUACACCCCUCAGCAAAAUGGUUUGGCAGAGAGGAAGAAUCGCCAUAUUAUCGAAACUGCUCUUACUUUACUUGUUGCUUCUGCUCUUCCUGAUAAGUUCUGGUUUCAUUCAGUUGCUCAUACUGCUUAUCUCAUCAAUCUUAUGCCUAGUUCGGUUUUAAGAUAUCAGUCUCCUUUUCAAAGCUUGUAUGGCAAGGCUCCUGAUAUUAAAUCUCUUAGGAUUUUUGGUACUGCAGUUUACCCAUAUAUCAGACCUUAUAAUGAACAUAAGCUUCAGCCAAGAACAGCUCAAUGUGUUUUUAUGGGAUAUUCUCCAGGUUAUAAAGGGGUCAUUUGUUACAAUAGAUCCACCUCAAGGUUUGUUGUUUCCAGACAUGUCAUUCAUGAUGAAUCUGUUUUUCCUUUUAAGUCUCAUUCCAUCUCAGCAGAUUCAGUUCCAGUUUCAUGCUCUUCCAAGCCUCAGUCUUUACCAGUUUGUGUUUCACUUCCUCCAUGUAUACAUGCUUUAAAUCCUAGUGAUAUAUCUGGUUCUGUAUCUCCUCAACAUGUUUCUUCACAAAAUCAUAGCUUACAAAAUGUUUCUAUUCCAUCUUUAGAAUCUACUGAGAAUCCUGCCUUGUCUUCCAGUGAUUCUGUCUUAUCUGUGAUUAAUGAUCAGCAACUACAAGUUCUCUUGCCUGUCUCCCCUUUUGUCUCUAGUUCUGUGUCUCCUCCUUUUAACACUCAUACUAUGCAGACUAGAUCAAAGGCAGGUAUCCUUAAGUCUAAACAGUUUGAAGAUUAUCAGUGUUAUUAUACCACUCUUCCUGUUAUACAUGAUGUUAUUGAACCAGCCACUUAUAAGGUUGCUUCUCAAUCUGUUCUUUGGAUUCAAGCUAUGAAGGAUGAAAUUGAGGCAUUACAUGCUCAGGGUAUUUGGGAGUUAGUUCCUAAGCCAGUUCAUAAAAAUAUUAUUGGAUGUCGAUAGGUAUAUCGAAUUAAGAAAAACUCAGAUGGUACUUUGGCUAGAUAUAAGAUCGACGGUCACUUCGUCAACUUGAUGUUAAGAACGCGUUUUUAGACGGUGAUCUUGAGGAAGAAGUCUAUAUGCGUCAGCCACAAGGUUUUGAGGAUCCAAAACAUCUCAGUUAUGUUUGCAAGUUACGAAAGUCUCUUUAUGGUCUUAAGCAAGCUCCAAGGGCUUGGAAUGCCAAAUUCACAGGUUAUCUUCCAGCCAUUGGUUUUGCAUCAUCUCACUCUGACCCUAGCUUAUUUGUGAAGCAUCUAGGUUCAGAUAUUGUGAUCCUUCUCUUAUACGUGGAUGAUAUAAUAUUGACUGGCUCAAAGGUGGCUUUGGUGCAAGAAGUUGUUGAUGAAUUAAGCUCAGCUUUUGAUAUGAAAGAUAUGGGGAAGUUGAAAUAUUUCUUAGGAUUACAGAUUUCUUAUAAUACAGCUGGAGAUAUUUUUGUUAACCAGGCUAAAUAUGCCAAAGAUUUGCUUGCUAAGGCUGGUCUGAGUUCAUGCCGAUCUUGUCCUACCCCUUGUAAACCACAUGGUCAAUUGUUAAAGACUGAAGGUGAUGCUUUGACUGAUCCUACAAUCUACAGAAGCAUUGUUGGUGCAUUACAGUAUUUAACAUUUACCAAACCUGAAAUCUUUUAUGCUGUUAACACAGUAUGUCAGUUUAUGACAACUCCUUCAGAGUUACAUUUUCAGUUAGUUAAGAAGAUUUUACGCUAUCUUCAAGGUACCUUGGAUCAUGGACUUACCUUUACUAGUGGUGCUUGGGAACUUAAUGCUUACAGUGAUGCAGAUUGGGCAGCAGAUAUAAGCACUAGACGAUCUACCACUGGUUUUGUGGCUUUCUUAGGCCAUAGUCCUAUCUCUUGGCAAUCUAAGAAACAGAACUCAGUCUCCAGGAGUUCAACCGAAGCAGAAUACAGAGCAUUAGCUCAUACAGCAGCAGAUUUGGCAUGGAUCAGACAAGUUUUGCUUGAUUUGAAAGUGUUUCUCCCUCAGCCUCCUACUAUACAUUGUGACAACCUUUCUGCUCUAGCAUUGAGUUCUAAUCCUGUGUAUCACUCACGGAUCAAACAUCUUGAUAUAGACUUUCAUUUUGUUAGAGAAAGAGUACAAAGAAGAGAUCUCUCCAUGCAGUAUAUUCCAACAGAUGAACAGGUUGCAGACAUAUUUACAAAAGGGUUACACAGUCCACUCUUCACAAAGCAUUGUGGUAAUUUAUGGCUUGGGAACCUAGCUGGAUUUGAGGGGGAAUGAUAGAUGAACACAUUAGCUUAGUAUUGUUAGAAUACCCACAUGCUAUUCACGUGUUAGUCUGUUAAGCAUGGCUGUUAGUUACAAUUGUAUAUAAGCUGAACUGUGCAUUGUAAUAUUCAUUCAGUGAAUAAUCAUACAGAAAAAUCUCAGUAUAUUCUCUCUGUUUUUCAGUCUUCUUCUUCCUUUAUUUUCCAAUACCUCUUCUGUUAUCAGUAAUAUCUUUAUAAAUACUUAGCCUUUAAGCUUGUAACAACCGAGAAUUAUUCUUCUUAACAGCAUCAUAAUUUGACAAGAACAAUUAAGAUUGAGAAAAUUCAAUUGAUUAAAACAUUAAGACAUUGGGGUUCCACUUUUAACAUAAGCAUGCAACUCUUCUUAAUUAAUGAUCCACAAAAUAUUUUCCAUUGUAGUUGUUCAAAAUAAUUAAAGCUCUUUUUAAUUUCAUUUAGAAGUAUUCCAAGCAUAACUUGUACCAUUGGCAACAAACUAUCAAAAAAAUAAUCCUCAUCAAAAUUCUAUUAAUCUUUAGUAAUUCUCUUCUCUUUUAAAAGGAUGAAAGUUUUUACUACACAAUGGGAACAACAUGAUUGAACCCAUGAAAUAGAAUAUCAAACAUUCAUCAAUUAAUUAAAAAGAAAAACUACAAAUUCCAUUUGAACAAAACUACAAAUUCAUAUUAAAGCUUAAGUUUGGAUCAAACUAAUAAAAAUUACAUACUCAUAUUAAAAGCUUUCUCCCUAGCCUUAGCUAAGGAGUUAGUUUCCCAUAAAAUAAAACUAAAGAAAUUAAAACUAGAAGAAUUGGAGGAAGGAGAGAGAGCUCAAGAGAAGAUUGUGAGCUUGGUGUGUGUUUUGAAGCUUGAAGACUUCUCUAUUUACAGGGCUAAUAAGGAGAAACAUCAUGAUGGAUUCCAACACCAUCAUUCCUAUUUUAAUGCAAUACCUAACUCCCACUUCAUCUUGCCUAUGUUAGUGUGGUUGGAAUCAAUUCCAUUGUUGAAUUGUUUUCUCUUUUUCUUCCUUUCCUUGUGGCUUUCAUCCUCUUUUUAGAUAAUAUGCAUUGAAUUUGAGCUUCUUUGGAGUGGAUGACACCUUACAAGCAUGUGAAUUCCAUUUCUUCUUGUUUGCUUCCAUCCCAUACUUCUUUUCCUUUCUUCUUUUGGCAUGGGUGUGGCACUUCAUGCAUUCUUUUCAAUUCUUUUCUUCUUGUGCUAGUUGUACUUCUUCCUUCAUCAUCAUUGCUUCAUGGAUAUGUUGAAGUUCUUUAACUGGCCACUAGCAUAUUAUCUUUGGGUGGCACACUUCUUGGCAUGCAAAUUGAGUUGGUUUUCACAACACACAAGCCUACAUAGAAAGUCAUUGAUCAAAGUUAAUAAAAUGACAUUAAACCAAUUUGACCAAGUAAAAAUAUAAAUGCAUAAGAUUAUUUAAUUACUCAUUAUAAUUGCUUUUAAAAUUAAAUGUUAAGGGAAAUAAACAUGUAUUAUUGUAAUAUUAUCAGGUAACAUGAUCCUCAUUAUCUUCUGACCAAAAAUAAAAUAAAAUAAACUAAUUCAGAUGAUAUUUGAGAUUUUACACAUUGUAUGUAAAAAAAAAUGAUGAAUAUCAUUUAACCACUCAAUUAAAUUAUUGAAAUUUAAGUACUUUUUUGAAGCACUGUGUUAAUUGAUUUUGUUGAUCUCAAUUAAAUGCCUUCAUAAUUUCCAAUUUGCAUUAUAUUUUGCAAAUGUGUUCCCUAAAUGAAGAUGUGAAAAAUAGAUGGUUUGGAUCGUUGAAAAAUAUUUCGUGGGGAAUCCUAAACGGUGUCCCUCAAUUAUUUGAGGGAUCCUCAAACUCUGUAAGUGUAGGUACGUUCUGUCCCUGGGAUGGCGUAGCCUCCCCUCCCCCUAAACAUUUUGUUAAAAAAAGAAAUGAAAAGCUAACUCUCUACCACCACAUAUAUAGAUUUUUAAUAAUAUCAUCAAUGCAGCUCAAUAAAAUUGUGCAAAAUGAAACAUGAUGUUUACUUAAAUUACCUGAAAAUACUUAAGGAGGAACUCCUCCUUGUUGGCGUGACUUGUGACUUUUCCCUUUUAUUUCCAUUUUCUACCGUAAAUAGAAUUAGGAGUUAUUAUUUUCCUUGUCCUUCAAGGUUUUAUUGUACUAUAAAAUGACCUUAUACAAGGAGAAGAAUACAUAGAAAAUUCCAACAAACAAUAUUCUCUCAUAGGUUUUCAUAUUUUAGCAUGGUAUCAGAGAGACGAUCUUGGGAUUGCUGCUAAACUCUAGCCCACCACACGCUGACAUAGCCAUGGGGGAUCAAGAUCCUAUCAUCCCCCAUGGAGGUAGCAUCAACGAUUAAUUCCUCUACCACAGACCAAGAAACUAGAAGAAUUGAAGACCCACAUGACCCAAUUUUUUAAGAUCCAGAAUCAGACCCCGACUAAGAACCUUGAAGAAUUGACAACCCAGAUGACCUAGUUUUUGAAAAUACAGAACUAGGCCUUAUCCCCGAUCUCGACCCCAAUCUUAGAAGAAUUAAUGUCAAGAAUGACCCAGUUACUAAAAAAGACCCCGACCCCGACCACGACCUAGAUCCAGACUCCGACUCAGAUUCAGACCCAUAUACUAACCAAGACUCAGAUCCUGUUUGGGCCUAAUUUGGCACACCCAGCCCAAAAAGCCCAAAAAUAACAAAGACAAACCACAGGGCCCAAGCAGUCUGGAUUCUACAAAUAAACUUGGGCCUCGAAAAAGAAAAAAAGUAAUCACCCCAUGGCUCCAGAAAAAUCAAAAGGGCUUGAGCAUGAUUAAAAGAGAAGAAGGAGCCCAAAAGGAAACAGACCCACGUGAAUCUUUUUCUCUGAUUUAGGAAAGUCAACAAUUUCAACUGGGUUGAUAAAGAGUUGACAAAGGCAGGCAAAAAGAAGGGACGUCUCUGAAAUCUCUGCCACCAGAAGAUCAAAACCCUUUUAUAUAUUCAGAGAUAUUGUUUCUACUUCAAAGAAGGCACCAUCUUUCAAGGGAUACGCAGACUAUGUUUUCUAAAAAGAUAAGCAGAAAACAGGGAGUUGUUCAAACUGGUAAAUCAAACUAAACCAUCACAGUUUGAGCUCUCACAGGGGGCAGUUGGAAUUAAAAGAGGGAUUAAGUUUUCUUUCAAAAAACAGAGAAGUGAUUGACUUAAAGAAACUGACCAUUGAGAGCUUAUCUGCCAGAAUAGAUAAAACCCCUCUUUCUUUACAUUUUUUAAAAAUGAAAGAUCUUUUGAGAAAAUCUGCCGCCCAUUUCUAAAAGAAUCAGAAACCCUACUGCAAAAACAUUUCUUAUAAAUAUAGGAGAAGGUGAACAGAGCACACGACAAAAAAAAUACAACAAUCAAUCAAACAAUCAAAAAUCAACCAAAGGAAAAAAACACUCAAAAUGAUCACUUGAUCACUGAGAACCUUCAAACAAACUGGAGCAACCAAAAGCUCAUUUGAGCUACAAAAGAAGCCAGCUAUAGAUUAUUCAAUUCAAGGCCAGUUUGGCAUUGCUGUGUUGUGAAAAUAAUCGCAGUCAGAUUUGCUGUGAGAGAAAUCAGCUGUGAGACAAAGCAGUUUGGCGUUUGGUAAACUUUUUUUUUAAAGUGCUGUUUGUACAAUAAUAAGUUUCUGAGUGUUUGGUAAAUUUGUUGUGAAAGUGCUGUGAGUAGUGUAUAAUGACUAAAAAGGGCAUUAUCUUGAAUUGGCUUUUCUGUUUAUGUGUUUGGUAAAAGGAAAAGCACUUUCAUUUUAUCUUUUAUAUAUAUAUAUAUAUUUGGUAUUAAAUAUGUUUCUAUCAAACCCUAAAUUUUUUUUAAAUUAUAAAAUAAAUAAAGUUUCCAUUAAAAACAAAUAUAUUGUAAAAAAUAUGGUCAUAACAAAAAUUAAGCUAGUCAUAAACAAGCAAUCAUAUACAUUCUAAGUAGAUGAACUCAUUAAACUUGCAGUAUAUGAUUUCUCAAUGCCUCCAUUUCUUGUGUUGCAGGACCAUCUUCUUGUUGUGCAUUAACCUCAAUCUCAAUCUCAUCACCUUGAAUACCAUUUAGGUCAUCUUCACUUUCAUCAAAAUGACAAUCACAUUUGGCAUGUCUUCUUAUAUAGUUAUGAAGUGCCAUGGUUGCAAUAACGAUUUUUACUUGUUUUGCAAAAAGGAUAACUAGGCAUGUUUUGUAAAAUACUCCAUCUCUUUUUCCAUACUCCAAAAGUGCGUUCAAUAACACUUCUAAGGGAAGAGUGUGCAUGAUUAAAUACCUCUUUAUGACCCAUCGGUUGAACACCCCUACGAAAAUCAAGAAGAUGAUAUCUUUCACCUUUAUAUGGUCCAAAGUAGCCUCUCAUUUGUGGGUAUCCUGUAUCUACUAGAUAAUAUUUUCCUGAAAAAGAAAUUUAAUUGAUUAUUCACAAUGUUAAAAACUUAAAUAUAAAUUAUAUAAAUUUUUUUCUUUAGAUAGAAAUAAUACCAAAUGGAGAUUUAGGAAAAUUCAAACUUUGAUCAUGUAAAGCCGAUAGAAAUAUCCUUGUGUCAUGGGCCGUGCCUUCCUAUCCAGCACAUGCAAAUAUAAAUUGCAUGUCAAAAUUGCAUGUAGCCAUCACAUUUUGGGUAGGUAUCCCUUUUCUACCAAUAAAUGGUAUUUGAUUAGAAGGAGAUACUACAGCUUGGACAUGAACACCAUCUAUAGCACCAAUACAAUCCUACAAGAGAUAAAAAGACAAACAUAAUAUUAAUUAUAAUAUAAUAAAACAUAGACAAAUAUUUAAGAGUAGUAGAUGCAAUAGUUACCUUGAAAUGAGGCAUAUAUCUAGAAUCCUGUAGGAUUUCCUUUGGAGUGUUGCUAAAUGCAUUUUUCAAUGGUUUAAUUAUAUCCACAGCCAAACGACAUACAACAUCAAGUAAGAUACUAAGAAAUUGAAGCUUGAGGUUAGGAUCUUCCAUGACAACAAACAUCUCACUCUUUUCUUGAGCACAAAACAAUUUAGUUGCAAACUACCACAACUUGCUACCACGCUCUGCCCCAGGUAAAGUUGCAACAUCUUUCAUCACUUCAGCAAUACUAGUUCCUUGUGAAACUGUAUUAGCCAUUGAUGUUCCAGUACUCCUACUCUCAACCACCUUAACAAGACGUUCAAUUUGCAAUGAUAAUUUUGCAGCACCUCCCAUUUCCCCCCUCCUUUACCUUUGUUCUCAUUAUUAUCUUGAAUUUUAAGUGACUGCUUAGUUCUCUUUUUUGGCGCAUUAUAUUGUUUGUAGUUUGAGUGCUUUCAAUUGGCACAGACUCAUUCGAAUCACCAUUAACUUCAAAUGGAUUGAUACCAUCAUCACUUUCAACUGGAACUACACCAGAUGAAGGUGCCCAAGAAUGCUUAUCAGUGGCUGUGACGUUAAAAAACAUCCUAUCUAACUUCUCCUCCAUCUCAGGACUAAUACCCUCAAAUUGGAAUCUUGCAUAUUUGGGUUCUGCCUGCAUUACGACAUAUACAAAUAUUAUAAUGAAUUUUUAAACAAAGUUUUAAAAAAAAAAUAUGGAUAUCAAUACUAUAUUAAAACAAGAACAAAAAAUUCAAAUGCCUGAAUUUUAUCUUGCCACCAUUCAUCAGAUGCAUUAACGGUAUUCUUAGCGACGUUCCACCCAAGACCAGUUUCCUUCCCUUUUAGAUCUUCCCAUAAUUUCCAUUCUUUUUUCAGUAAAUCCCACUUGUUUUUCAAUUGUAAUUUUUCAUAUGGUCUUCCUAUCUCUUUACUAAUAUUUGUCACCAACCUUGCCCAUCCAACUUUAUUAAAGUGAGUACCAGGACGAUUACCUAGAUCCACCUCCUUGAUACAAAGGUCAAUGAAGAUGGCUAUAGUUUGAGCAUUCCACAAUGUUGACAAUUUUCGAGAUCCACUUGCAACAUUUUCAGUUGUGGUGAAGUUACUAUUCUUCUUUGUCGUCCUAUUGCAGCAAAGACAUUAUAUAUAAGCACAAAAGAAAAUAAUAGGUAUACAAGCGAAUUACAAACAAACCAAAUUAUAGAUAAGCGGCAUAGAGACAAGGAAAAGAAAAACCAAAAGACAAGACAAUAAUGAAACAUAAUUUACAACUAAGAAGAGUAAAACAGAAUUGAAGAAACAAUCUGCACCUUUAAGAUAUGCUAGAGCAAGGAUCUCAAAGAGUAAUGAUACACACACAGAGAACAAAAUAAACACCAACAGGAUCUCUUUUGUUUAUACGAUAUUUCCCAAAUUAUACAGAAAUUGAUAAUUACUUCUUCCGACAAUUGCAUGCUGCAAGCCCACAAAUUGAUAAGCUGACAACAAGAGGAAACUUAAAGGAUGAAAUAUGAAAUAAAACAAUGACUCAAAUUCAAAAUAAAAAACAGAGCAAAGAAAAAAAAUUAUGCACUAAUUUACCAAAUUGCACCCUUAUGUAUGCUUAUAACUUCGUGCCACAUUGAAUAGUAAUUAUUUUAUAGGACUUCUGCUAUAAAGUCUCAGGAUCAUUCUUUCCUAAGUGAUGCUUAAACUAGCAGCACAAUUUUAUCACAGAUCAGAAUUUCAAAAUUACGUUGGAAUAUUCAACACUGAAACUAUAUAUAAAAACUAACAUAUAUACACAUAUAACAUAACAAACUGGAAAUUAUCAACCAACUACCUUAAGCCAGUGUAAGUAGCAUAAAGGAGAACAGUGGAGGUAUCUGCUCUGCAACUAUCUUAAAUGGAGGCAGUAUGUGGAAGAAAAUCGUAGGCAGUAUGUGGAAGAGAAGGAGAGGAGUGAUCUCUGUGAAGAGAUGGCAUGAAGAAGAACCAAGAUAGUUAAAAUCCUAAAAAUUAAAGAGAAAAAGGGAAGAAUGAAAUUGAGAAGAAAUAAACACAAUAUGUCUCUUACUUGAGUCUUGUGGCUUCUUAGGAGUGCGCUUCAAUUGAUCCAACAAGAAAAAAAAUGGAGGAAGAAUGGAAGAGAAGGAGAAGAGUGCUCUGUGGCUUGGGAUAGAGAAGACAGACGAAGAAGAGGAGAGGGUGAAAUCAUGUUGGGGUAUUUUCGAAAUAUUUUAAUUUUCAUUAAACCCAGCGCUUCCUCAAAUCUGAUUAUCGCAUAAUCAGAAAUUGAAAGCAGCUCAUUAGUUGCUUUCCUUUAUUGCUUUCUCCCACAACAAUUUUUAAUAAUAAGUGAUUUUAUCACAGGUUACCAAAUGGGUUGGGCUUCCCAAAUUUUUUUUAAAAUCACUUAUCACCCCAAAUAAGCAAUGCCAAACGGGUACUCAAUGUGUUGCCAAAUAUUCCAGCAGACCACGUGCUUUUCUUUUAAUACAAGCAAUUGUGACUAGACCUGUUGGCAUUGGAUAGAGUUUUAAUUUUACUGCGAAAGAUGAGACAUGGUUGGUCGAUCAUUCCCAUUAUGAUGAAAUUAUCUAUUUAAAAAAAUUACCGAUAUUAAACUGCUCUCUUAAACUUCACAAAUAGUUUACAUAUCAAUCUCUAGCUUCAACAAACAGAUUAAGGGGGGGUGUAUUCAAUUAAGAUUUUAAUAGAUUGUAAUUAUAAGAUUAUAAUGUAAAGGAUUUCAGCCAAAUUUGUAAUUACAAGAUUUUAAUAGAUUGAAAUUACAUGAUUUUACUUAUGAUUUUAAUAGAUUGCAAUUUCACUUAGGAUUUUUUUGUAUUCUCCAAAAUAAAUUUGCCCAGUGUAGAUUGGAUUCGGGUUAGCCACGUUCGCCCCAUGACCACUCCCAGUUUUGUCAAGACUUGGACCAAAAAUUGUGGGGUAAAAAAACACACUUUUUUUUAGCUUCUUGUGGCAUAAUCUCAUAUUUGGUUUGCUUGUAGUUUUUUGGGCAACUGAUACUUUCGGACCUGUACUCCUCCUUUAUACUUCACCUUCAUCUUUUCUCAUCUUUUUCCUUUUUUUCUCUCUUUCUUCCUGGUUUUCUAUAUUCUUUUCUUUCCUUUUUCCUUCUCUUCUUCUUCCAUCAUUUGUUUUUUUUUUUUUUCCGUAUUUGGCUUUGGUCAAUUAUUGACGUGCCCUUCAAUGGAGGUAAUGUGUUAUACAUAUCACUUUAUUCUUCUUUCAAUAUUGUCAUCUCUGCUAACUCUCUGGCUCUCUCUCCUCCCUUGGCUUUCUUCUUCAUCCAUCAAUUUCUCUAUGGCCUCCUUCACCCUUUCCUUUCUCACCACCACCAUAAUCUUCUUAUCCUCUACCCACUUCACUUGAAAUUCCACACCAACUCUCACUGCAAUAUUUAAAUCUGUUCAACAAGUUUUUCAUUCAUAACUUGGAGGUCUGGGCAGCCAAAUCCCCAACUUUGUUGGUCUUUGUCCUUCAAUACGACGACUCCUAUGCCCCACAAGGAGUUAGUUUGCUGGGCUAGGUGAUUUGACGUGCUUCCAGUCUGAAGACGUACAUUUGUUUUUUUAUGCCUAGUCUGGUGUAGUUUUUUCAGUUAUGUGUGUUGGUGGUUCUUUUUAGGCUUAAAUGUUAAAAUAGUCCUUGUGUUUUAUCAUGUUGGCCAAUUUAAUCAUUGUGUUUUUAAUUUGGCCAAUUUGAUCCCUGUGUUUAGGACCGUUAGGCAAUGUGAUCCAAUCCGUUAAAUUUAUGUUUAAAAAAUUUAAAAACUGUUUAAAUAUUAAUAAAAAAAAUAGAUAUAUUUGAAUUCAAUUUAAAAAUGGAUAAUUAAAUAAGAUCUAAAAUUUUGGUCUGGGCUUUUAGUCCCCUUGUUACAAAAUAAUAAUAAUAAUAAUAAAAUCUAAAACUAAAAGAAAUUAAAAUCAAAGGAUGAUACCACCAUCCAAUCUAGCCCCCACCCCCACCACCCUUCUUUCUUCUCUUUUUCUCCCAACUCCCCUACCUCCUGAACACAAAUCCUUCCCACCCCUGAACUCUCUCUCUCUCUCUCUCUCUCUCUCUCUCUCUCUCUCUCUCUCUCUCUCUCUCUCUCAAACAACCCCUACCGCCUGACCAUGUCCCAGCAAGAUCUUCCCCAACCCCACCAUUCCCUGGCCAUUUGUCCCAUCCCCAACCGCGCCGCUCGGAUCCUCUAGCCCACUCUGGUUGUCGCCCCACUCUCCCCCCUCCUUGAUUAUGCCCAUCUUGUUUUUUUUUUCUUUCCUAACGUUAUGUUUUGGUUUUAAUGAAGUUUCAAUAUAUUUUUGAAUUAAUUAAAAAUUUUAAAUCAAUUUCAAAUAAGUUUAUAGGUUUUCAAAAAAAAAAUAAAAAAAAAUCGUUUAUGUUUAUUUAAUGGCAAUUUUAACAGAAUGGACCACAUUGGCUAAUGGUCCUAAACACAGGGAUCAAAUUGGCCAAAUUGAAAAUACAGGGAUUAAAUUGACCAACAUGGUAAAACACAAGGACUACUUUAGCAUUUAAGAAUUCUUUUUAUUGGUUCUUGCUGGGGGCAGUGUGUAGGUUAUAAGAAUCAGGCAUAUAAGGGUGAGAUUUGUUAUGAGAUUUGGUAUUUAUAUUACUCACUUAAAAGUCUCACACAAUACACCACUUAAUGAAAUAUUUUAAAAUCGAUUUUGACUACUUGAAAAUCCUAAUUGAAUACCAACGUACUUUUAUUGAUUACUUAAAAAUCCUAAUUGAAUGACUUUUAAGCUUCAAAACAAUCUAUUAAAAUCUCAAUUGAAUACACCCUCUAAACACAUUUUCCCAUGGCAUUGAUCCUUCCUAGCAUUCCAAGCCUUACCACCUUUAGCAGCCGCCACGUCAAGUUGGCUGCAAGCCAAGUGAAAGGUGAUGAGCAUGUUCCAGCUGACAUACCUAGGCACCAUGUUGAACCAAAAAAAUUCACACACAAAAAAAGGUUUGGAUAAGCCCCCGCAAUACUUGUUUUCAAAACAAGUUUGAAACACUCUGGAAGUCAUAUUGUUCCUAUUAGGGAGUUAUAAUAGUAUUACUGUUACAAUAGUUAAUCCUAUUAAUGAUAGGAGAUGGUCAGUUGUCAGUUACAUUGUUAUUAGGCUGUAACUCCAUAUUUAUGUUUAUGAUAAUGGCUUGUUGUAAUUGUAGAUUGUUAUAUUUAUAUUGUAUAAUGAACAUAUGAAUGACUAAGAGAAAAUCAGUUUCUAUAUGGUAUCAGAACUAAUGGCUAACGCUGAUUAGCGAUCCUCCAGUUGCCAACAUUGAAGGUCGUUGGCGCUCCUCACUCUUCACCCAUAAGGGUGUUUAUUUCUGUAUAGUCCUUUUUCCUAUCCUCUUCUCAAAAAUGAAUAUGUUUUUUUUUCUUUCCACCUUAGCUGUGAGUAUUACAUAGCCUUACGCUAAAAUGUAGAUGAAUUUGACUGUUUAACAAGUGAUGAUUACAAAAAUUAUAGCUAUUUUAUGAUUUUUCUUUUUUCUUUUUCCUGUGUUGUUAUCGUUCUCUUUCUGCAACUAUAUAAACAUCAUUUGCUUUCAGAAAUGGCUUUGGAACCCACUUAUAUGCAUUGAAAACUCGAAUAAAAGAAAGCUAUAAAAUAAUUUCGCACAGAAAACUAAACCUUUAAAGAUUUUGAGUUCACCUGAAUUAUUGAAGCCUCCAUCGACUUCACCUCUCUUCUUCACCUCCCUAAACCCUAUUGAAGUUCUGCUAGUCUUUUCGCACCCUCUUGUUGCACUUAAUCGAAAGCCCAGAUGAAUUUCACUAAAUUUGUAAGAGCCCUAAUCAUAAUUUGAUUCAAAAUGGCUAAUUUCGCACGCCCUAGGGAAGAGGAAGAGACAAGCUGCUUUGGACUGACAAAAUUGCCCCUCCACGUGAGGGGCACAUGUUUACUCCGUUAAAGAAAUUAACAGAAAUUUUAACAUUUCCUUGAAUUGCUUAAAAUAUGAAACUACAGGGUUAAAAGUGACGAAAUUAAAACUACAAGGUCAAAAGUGGUUAAAGUGCCAAACUACAGGGACUAAAAGUGACUUUUGGCCCCCAAAAAAAGGCACCUUUAUUCAACUCUCUCUCUUCUUCUCUGUCUAGUAGAUCGUACAGCACCUUUGGAAUUUAUUUUGUGUUUAUUUGCAUACAAAGGGAGAGAGUCUGGUGCAAUUGUUCUCCAAUUUUAUAAGGGCUACACUUCUUUCAUAUGUCCAAUUCCUUUGUGUCUCUAAUUCCUAAAGUCCCAAUUGGAGUAUGAUUGAUCCACCUAAAGAAUAAUGAGCUGUCAAAAGUAAUUGCCCAUUAAUUCUUAAAGCCCAAUAUAUUUAAUGGGUGGCCAAAUAAUUACCCAUGAAAAUUUUAAUAAGAUUAAAUUUAAAUCUCUAAAACAGAAACUCUCAAUUAGUGGGCCACACUUACCCAUUAAUUUUCAAUUUUUCCCAUAAGUCAUCUACCUAUGAAAGUCUCCAAAUUGUCUCAAAGACACAAAUUCUCAGUUAGUGGGCCACACUUACUCAUUAAUUUUCUCAAUUUGGAACUAUGUCGGUUUGAUCUCGUCAAGGGUACGUAGGCAGUCUAGCAUCCCACUAGACGCAACCGCAACCAAUUUGAAUCACUGGUUUAUCUUAACCAAAUGCAUCUAAACACUUUCCCAAAUGUAAAUGUCAAUUGUAGAAAAUUAGUGGGUUCAUCAAAAUUGCUCAUUAUUUUUCUUAGACAUUGACAAUAAGAAAAUUGGUAUAAAACCAUCCAAUUUUUCCAUUGGUCAUCUACCCAUGCAAAUUUCAUUGAGAUUAAAUUCAAAUUCCUCAAAUAGAAAUUCUCAUUUAGUGGGCUACACUCACCCAUUAAUUUCCAGUUUUUCUCAUGAGUCAUCUACCCAUGUAAAUUCCAAUGAGAUUAAAUUCAAAUCUCUCAAACACAAAUUCUCAAUUAGUGGGCCACACUUACCCAUUAAUUUCUAAUUUUUCCCAUAGGUCAUCUACCUAUGAAAAUUUUACAAUUGUGCCAAAGACACAAAUUCUAAAUUAUUGGGCCACACUUACCCAUUAAUUUUCUAAAUUUGGAACUACGUAGGUUUGAUCCCAUUAAGAGUACGUAGGCAGUCUAGCAUCUCAAUAGACGCCAUCGCAACCAAAUUUGAGUCACUAGUUACAUCAACCAAAUUCCCACAAAUCAAAUGUCCAUAUCCACACAAAUCAAUUCCGAACUAAGUUGGUUUGAUCCCUUUGAAGGGUACGUAGGCAAUCUAGAUGCAACCGUCCAAAACACAAUUCCAUAUCGAAUCCCUGGUUUAUUCAACUAAAUUCACUCAAACACUUCUCAAUACAAUUCAAAUCAAUUUUCCCUCGCAAUGAGUUAUUUAUUCAUUGCGAUUCUUUGAACUACGAGUGGCUUGAUUCCCACAAGGGAUACCACUACUACAAAAAACACUUUGCGCGACGAAAUAAAUUUGUUGCGCAAAACUCGUGAAGAAAGGGUUUGCGUGACGAAAAAUAUUUUUCGUCGCGUAAAGAAUCUACCUUGAGCGACGAAAAUAUUGGUCGCGCAAAGUUUUUGCGCGACGAAACAAUAUUGGUCACGCAAGGUUUGUGCGACGGAAAAGUACUCAUCGCUCAAAACUUUGCACGACGAAACAAUAUUGGUCCCGCAAAGUUUUGCGCGACGAAAAAUAUUGGUCGUGCAAAGGCAAAAAUAUAUAUAUAUAUAUAUUUUUAAAAUCCCGGGUCCCAUUUUUGGUACCCGCCCAAAAUUUUAAAGUUUUGCGCGACUAAUAAUAACGUCGCGCAAACUUUUUGUUUAAUUUACUUGUAUGAUUUUUUUUUAAUUACUUUAAUUUAAAUUGACAUAUUCAAGAUAAAAUUACAUAUGAAAAAUAGUGAUCAAAUUAUCCAAUAAAUAAAUAAAUAUAUAAUAUUCAAAAUGUACACAUAAAUUAACAAAGUACAAUAAUAAAAUCCUAAUACAAGACUAUUGUGGUGGUCAUGGCGGAGGAUAUAUUUCGAUAGCGUCCUAAUCCUCAACUUUAGCCAUCAAAGUCUCAACGGUUCCCUACAAAAAAAAAAAUAUAUAUAUAUAUGGUCAAAUAACAAAAAAAAAAAAAAAAAAAUUGGCAUAAUCUCCCCUAAAAUUGUUAUACCACAAAUCCAACCCAAACUCCAAUCCUCACCUUAUACUCAACCCCAAACCCGACACAAACUCAAAACUAACUCCAAAAACACAUAUUAAUGAAAAAAAUUUAAAAUUUGGAGAGAAUAUACAUUUUGGCAAGAUUGAGAGUGAGUGAGAAUCAGAGGGAGAAGUGAGUGUGAGAGAAUUAGAGAAGAUAGUGAGAGAGAGAUGAGAGAGUGAGUGAGAGUGAGAGAUAGUGAAAGGAAAGAUGAGAGAGUGAGUGAGAGUGAGAGUGAGAGAUAGUGAAAAGAGAUAUGAGAGAGUGAGAGAUAGUGAAGAGAGAGAUGAGAGAUUAAGUGAGAGGAGUGAGUGUGCGAGAAAGGGUGGGAUUUGGGGAGAGGGAAAGAGAGAGGAGAGGUAAGAGUAGAGAAAGACAAUGAGAAAAUGGUGGAGGAGUUAUUCUGGUUUUAAAAACCGUAUCACUUUGCGCGACGAAAAAUAUAUAUUGGUCGUGCAAAGUUUUGCGCGACGAAAAAUAUUGGAUUAUUGGUCGCGCAAAGUCUAAAAAAAAAUUUCCCACGUUUCAUUUUUGGUACCCACCCAAAUUUUAAAAGUUUUGCAUGACAAAAAAUAUUAGAAUAUUAGUCCUGCAAAGUUUUGCGCGACGAAACAUAUUGGUGGCGCAAAGUCUAAAAAAAAAAAUUUUAAUUUUUUUUUUUCCCACGUCUCAUUUUUGGUACCCGUCGAAAUUUUAAAAGUUUUGUGUGACAAAAAAUACUCGAAUAUUGGUCGCGCAAAGUCUAAAAAAAUAAUUCCCACGUCUCAUUUUUUGUACCAGCCCAAAUUUUAAAGUUUUGUGCGACGAAAAAUAUUGGUCACGCAAAGUCUAAAAAAAAUUUUAAAUUUUUUUUUUCCCACGUCUCAUUUUUGGUACCCGCCCAAAUUUUAAAUGUUUUGCGCGACAAAAAAUAUUCGAAUAUUGGUUGCGCAAAGUUUUUAAAAAAAUAAAAAAUUCCCAUGUCCCAUUUUUGGUACCCGCCCAAAUUUUUGGAGUUUUGUGCUACGAACUGCUGUCGCGCAAACUUUUGAGAGACGAAAAAUUAGUUCGUAGCGCAAUAUUUAUAAAAAUAAUUGUUAUGAAUAAGGUUAAAGCUACUUAAUAAAUAUGUAUACUAUUCAAUUUCUUAAGUGUUAUACGUACAAAAUAAAUAAAUUUAAAGCUACUUAAUAAAUAAAUAAAUAUAUGUAUAUUAUACACACACACCAUUCAACGAUCCAACCGUCAAACUUGUUUGUAUAUACUUCAAGAUCGUAUACCCCAAAAAAUUACAAAAAACAAACAUUCAGAUAUCUAGUAACGUGACAAAACUUUUCGAUGGUUAUAAAUGAAAAAUCACGAUUUAACGGUUAUUUUAACUCCGAUUUUGAUGAUUUUUUACAGCUACACUCCUUGACCCUAUAUGAAUACAAUGACUAAAUUUGAUCUUCAAUUUAAAAUAUUUACACUAAUAGAUACCACAAAAUCUUAUGUUAUAUUUAACAAAAGUAUAAAUAAACUCUUAAUUGUUAGUGAAUAUAUUUUUUUGAUGGCAUACGCAUUCUAUGAAACUAGUUUCAACGAUCCAACUGUCAAACUUGUUUGUUUAUACUUCAAGAUCGUAUACCCCAAAAAUUGCAAAAAACAAACAUUCAGAGAUCUAGUAACGGGACAAAACUUUUCGAUGGUUAUAAAUGAAAAAUCAUGAUUUAACGGUUGUUUUAACUCCGAUUUUGAUAAUGUUUUACAGCUACACUCCUUGACCCUAUAUGAAUACAAUGACUGAAUUGGAUCUUCAAUUUAAAAUAUUUACACUAGUGGAUACCACAAAAUCUUAUGUUAUAUUUAAUGAAAGUAUAAAUAAACUCUUAAUUGUUAGUGAAUAUAUUGUUUUGAUGGCAUACGCAUUCUACGAAACUAGUUUCAACGAUCCAACCGUCAAACUUGUUUGUUUAUACUUCGAGAUCAUAUACACCAAAAAUCAGAAAAAAUAAACAUUCAGAGAUCAAGUAAUGAGAAAAAAAAUUUCGACGGUUAUAAAUGAAAAAUCACGAUUUAAUGGUUAUUUUAACUCCGAUUUUGAUGAUUUUUUUUACAGCUACACUCCUUGACCCUAUAUGAAUACAAUGACUGAAUUUGAUCUUCAAUUUAAAAUAUUUACACUAGUGGAUACCACAAAUCUUAUGUUAUAUUUAACGAAAGUAUAAAUAAACUCUUAAUUGUUAGUGAAUAUAUUGUUUUGAUGGCAUACACAUUCAACGAAACUAGUUUCAACGAUCCAACCGUCAAACUUGUUUGUUUAUACUUUGAGAUCAUAUAUGCCAAAAAUAAGAAAAGAUAAACAUUCAGAGAUCAAGUAAUGGGACAAAACUUUUGACGGUUAUAAAUGAAAAAUUACGAUUUAACGGUUAUUUUAACUCCAAUUUUGAUGAUUUUUUUACAGCUACACUCCUUCACCCUAUAUGAAUACAAUGAACUAAUUCGAUCAUCAAUUUAAAAUAUAUAUUUUCUAACAAAAACCCAAUCUGAACUACAAUAAUAUAUUUUUCUAAAAAAAAUCCGAUCCGAACUAAAAUAAUAAAUUUAAAGCUACUUAAUAAAUAUAUAUACCGUUUAGUUUCUUAAGUGUUAUGCAUACAAAAUAAAAAAACAAAAAUAAAUUGGUUUAGGCAACGAAUUGUUCGGAUUACGUCAUGCAAAGAUUUAAAAUAAUAAUUUUUUUAUUUUAUUUAUUUUUGUAAAGACUUUGCGCGACAAAACACACUUCGUCGCUAAAGACUUUGUGCAAUGAAGUUUAUUGUUUCGUCGCGCAAGACUUUGAGCGACGAAGUAUUGUCGUCGCGCAAAAGUUUGUCGCGCAAAGUCACUUUGCGCGACGAAUUGUUUUUCGUUUCGUCGCGCAAAGUGACAUUGAGCGACGAAUAGUUUUUCGUUGUGCAAGGGUAUUUUUUUACUAGUGUACAUAGGCACCCUGAGGUUUGACUUAGGGGCAGCUGCAAAAUCAAACACACACAUUAUGUUUCUUUAUGAUGGAAUCAAAGGGUGUUCCCUUGAAGCAAGAGAUUGUAAUUAAGAGAAUUGCGUCUCGAAUGGGUCGAACCUAAAAUAAUAAAACUCCAUUAUUUAAUUAGUGGUGGUGAAAUUAUGGUGGGAGAUUCACAUUUUCCUUCAACACACCAACUUACCACCACCCACAUCAGAUCCAUCAUCAGCAAACGAGACAAACACGAACCGUUUUACGUUCUGGAUUUGGGGGUUCUUGUCAGCCUCAUGAAAAAAUGGAGCCAUUGCCUUCCCAAUGUUCAGCCCUUCUUUGUUGUCAAGUGUAACCAUGACCCUGCAUUCAUUGCUGCAUUGGCAACACUUGGUGCAAGCUUUGAUUGUGCCAGCAAGGUCGAGAUUGAGGCCAUCUUUGCUCAUGGUGUAAGCCCCACGAAAAUUGUUUAUGCCAAUCCAUGCAAGGAUGAGUACCAUUUAAGGUAUGCAGCUGGAGUCAGGGUCGAUCUUGCGACCUUUGACUCCAUGGAUGAAGUUGAUAUGAUCAAAAGGUGCCACCUCAAAUGUUCCUUGUUGUUUCGGAUUGCUGUACCGAAUGACAAGAGCUCGUGGCGUUCAUUCGGGACCAAAUUUGGUGCGUUGCCUGAGGAGGUCGCACCACUCCUCAGACAUGCACACAAACUAGGGUUAAGAGUGGUGGGAAUUUCGUUCCAUGUGGGAUCGAAAGCAUCUGAACCUCAGGCAUGUUUGGUAGGCCUCACUCCCUUGGACUGUGCUAAAUAGGGCUUGAAGCCCAUGUUUGGUAAAACAAGGGACUAAGUUAAAUGGGAUUAUGGAGUCCAAUAGUAAAAAAACCUCCUCACUCGCUCUCCUUAUACAGAGAGCCUAAAAUUCGGUUCUCAAAAUAAGCCCUUCGCUGAAUUGAGAACACGAGACUCUGCCUCUCUCUCUCUCUCUCUCUCUCUCUCUCUCUCUCUCUCUCUCUCUCUCUCGUUUGCGACUCUGGCUCUCUCUCUCUCGUUCUCGUUCGCAACUCCGGCUCUCUCUCUCUCUCUCGUUUCGCGACUCCGGCUCUCUCGUUCGCGACUCCGACUCUCUUUCUCAUAUGUUCUCUCUCUCUGCCACAUUUUUCAAAGGUAAUUUUUUAUGGGUAUUGCUUUUUCUUGGGAGUUAUUGAGAAAUUUCAUUGUUAGGUUGUUUGUUGGGUUGUUAUUUUCUAUCUAUCCUCUGUUUGGUUGCUGAGAAUUUUAGGCAAGAAAAAGGGAAAAUCUUCCAUUUUUGUGUUUUAUGCUGUUAUAGAUUAUAUAAUAAUUAGUGGCUUCACUUAAGUUAAGCGGAUAAUGGAAAUCGAAUUAAAAAAUUUAGCUGCAUGUGUCAUUUUAGAUUCAAUUUCUGAGCAACCAAAUAGUGCAUUAGGGUUUGAAUGUGGAUCUGUGUAUUUCUGUGAAAAAUUUGCUUCACUUUUGCUGUAGUAUUUUUGUGAGAAAUUUCCUUGUUUUGGAUUGCAAUUCAAAAACUAUACUAUUUCUAAAAAUGGACAUCCAUUUUAGAAAUUAGAGUUGUAUCCUGAUUUUUUUAAGUUAAACUUUUGUUUAGCAGGGCAUAUUGGCUUGUUUGGAUCUGUGUGGGUUUAAAUGUUUCAAUUGUUUCCAUUGUUUGGAUCAGUCAGCCAAGUACUUGUUUCCUCUGUUAUAUUGCAGUUUUUGGAUCAUAUUGGAUUAUUACAGUGAAGCUAUUUAUGCUUGGUUGUAUAGGUGUUUUGUUGUCACUGCUUGAAUCAUUGAAUGGGCUUAAAGGCCAAGUUGGUUAGUGAAAUUUUAGUUUCUCCAUUGCUCUAUUUGACAUAGUAAAAUCACUGACUCAAAAACCUACCUAGCUCUAUAUUUGGUUCACUAAUUACUAGUCAUGCCUAACACUAGUCUGCAGAUCAUGAUGUUUUAUUUUUCUGGUGUUCCUGUGAACUUCUUGGCCACUCUUGUUUUUGUUCUUCUGUAUUUUUUGCUUUUCCUGGUAUAAAAGUUCUUUUUUUUAUUUUUUAUUUUAUAAAUAAAAUGAAGUUGGAUCAUGGUAUUCAAACAUGACUUGUUGGAGGCACACCUAUUGUAAGGAUAUCAUCAGAGGCAUAUUGUGGAUGGGGAGUGGUCGCUAUCACUAUUGUUUGAUUACACAUGGGCUAAGAAUCUUGUUCUGUUAAUAACAUUGUUCUGUUUAGAUUCAAAGAUUUUGUUUUGUUAUUCUUAGGGUUGAAAAUUUACCUCAUUGACCCUAUAAUAAUUUUGUUUCUGGAGUUGUAUUCCUUUUUUUUUGGUAAUCUGAUUAUGGAAUGCAGAUAUUAUUGCAAUGCCUUGUUGAGAAUUGCUUGUCAGUUGAGCGAUUGCAGGUAUGGUUAUGCAAAUUGUGUUAUAAUAUUAAACUGAAUUAUUGAUCUCUAAUCUACAAUUGAUUUUGAGUAUGACUGCGCAAUUAGUGUCUGGAUGGUUGUGUUAUAAUAUGAAAUCUGAUUUUUUGUUAAUGAACUGCUCAAGAAUAUGAUUUUUCAUAUAUGGAUUUUGGAAAAUUCUUGUGUUGGUUGAGUUAUACAAUGAAAUCUCAAUUUUAUCUUGAGUAUAAACUGCUCGCCAAUAUGAUUUUGCAAAUAUGUAUAUUGGGUGAUUUGAAGUGAUAUCUUAUGCAAAUUUAGUACCUUACACUUUUUAAUCUUAUGUUCAUAUUCCUGUUGUUUAUGUUUCCAUUUUAUAUGCUCUUUUCAUGUUUAUUUCAGUAUGUGAGACUUAUGAAACAGAAGGACACCUACACCAAAACGCAAUUGGAUAAAGUUCGAGAUGAAUGAGCAAGUCAAGUCAUAUAUUAGAGUGGCUUUUUGUUUGAAAUAAGCAUUCUCCCUUCAUUUUAAAUGUAUUUUUGUUGCUAGUAUGUUGCUUAAAGACAAGUAUGGAUCAUAUGUGGGGUUGGAAAAUUUAUGAUUUAUGGAAGUGUUGGAUAUAUAUUUGAUGUAUGGAUGUAUUUAUACAAAAUUAGUGAAAUACCCAUUCCUAGACAUGAAACUAUAAAUAUACCCUAUACUAUUUAAAGUAUAGAAACACACCCAAAAUAAACCCAAAAAUCGACAGCUGUCGAUUUUUUAAAUUCAAUAGCAAUGUUGAAUUAUUGUUUUUCCCUUUUGCCCAAAAUAAACCCAGCUCCAAGGCUCAAUUAAAAUAAUCGACGAUUGCUCCUUCAAAAUCUCGGAGCUGGUUUGUGAGAAAUCGAUGAGCUGCCAAUUUAACUAACCUCACCGUCGGAGCCGUAACUCUAAUUUUCAUUGCUUUCUGGAUCUCUCAUUUGCUUUCUCACAGAUCUUGCAGCUAUUUCCAGAUCUCAUAGCUCAAUCUCUCGCAUCUUAGUCAUAUGCAAGGUCGUUUUACAACUCAGGAGGUAGACUCGGGUCCUGAUCCAUGAGGCCGACUCUUUCCUCCAUCGACAAUGAUGCGUUGCAGAGGCCUUUUCUCUAUUCGGUGAGAUCAUCAAAUCGAAGAUCAUCAACGACCGUGAGACCGAGAGGUCUAGGGGCUUCGGCUUCGUCACUUUCAACCACGAGAAGGCCAUAAGGGACACGAUCGAAGGCAUAAACGGCUAGAACAUCGACGGUCGUAACAUCACCGUCAAUGAGGCCCAAUCUGGUGGAAGCGGCGAUGGUGGUGGUGGUAAUGGAGGUUAAAGCUGUGGAGGAUAUGGUGGCGUUGGCUACGGAUCUAACGGCGUUGGCUACUAAGGUGGCGAUCAUCGUGAAGGCGGUGGGGAUAGCGUCUCGAUGACGAUUCGGUUUAGGUCACUAAGGUAAUUUGUAUUUGAUAUUCAUUUGAGUUUUGAAUUGUGAUUUUAAUUUUUUGUUGUUUAUAAUUUGGUUUGAUUUUAGAUUCGGUUUGGUUGUGAAUUUGAUCUUGUGUUUUGGUUUGAGCUGUGGUUAAAAUUUUGUGAUAUUGAUCAACUUUAAUCUCAAGUGAAAGAAGGUGCCCAUAGCCAUUGCCCGGCCAUUCACAUCAUGAUACCAUUGACUAUCACUGAGGUAAUGAAGGUAACACUUUCAAAUAGUUCUAUGACAUAGUAUUAACAGUAUACUUCUAUGACAUAGUAUUAACAGUGUACUUUUUUUUUCUUGUAGAUGUAUUUCCUUUUGCCUUUGCGAUUAUUUCUGAUGAAACUAUGGACAAUUGGAGGUGGUUUCUGCACAGGAUAUCGGAUGUCUUGCUGGUUUUUUUUUGAGUUUUUUUGUAUGAAGUGGUAUUAACAAUGUUUUCUAUGAAAUAGUAGUAACAAUGUUUUUUAUGAAAUUGUAUUAACAAUGUUUUCUAUAAAAUGGUAGUAAAAAUGUUUUUUAUGAAAUUGUAUUAACAAUGUACUUCUAUGACAUGAUAUUAACAAUGUACGUCUAUGACUUGGUAUUAACAAUGUAUUUCUAUGAAAUGGUAUUAACAAUGGUUUAUUGUAUGAAAUGGUAUUAACAAUGUUCUAUUUGUAUGAAAUGGUAUUAACAAUAUCUUUUUGUAAGAAAUGGUAUUAAAAAUAUUUUUGUAUGAAAUGGUAUUAACAAUGUUCUAUUUGUAUGAAAUGGUAUUAACAAUAUCUUUUUGUAAGAAAUGGUAUUAAAUUUUUUUUUUUUUUUUGGGUAUGAAAUGGUAUUAACGAUGUUUUUGUAUGAAAUGGUAUUAACAAUGUUUUCCUAUGAAAUGGUAUUAACAAUGUACUUCUAUGACAUGGUUUCCAGAGGUUCGAUGGAGAAGGAAGGGUCGUAGGGGCAUGCCCUUGGUUUUUGUUUUUUUUAAUUUUUAAUUUUAAAAAAAAUCUAGGUUGGGCUUGUUUUGGGUUUUUUUGGGUUUUUUGUAUUGGGCUUUUUUUAAGUUAGUUAGUGGCAGUCAUGUAAUUUAUAGGAAAUUCAACACUCAUUUUGUAUGUAGUAAAUGAUUUUUGGGUAUGUUUCUAAAGUGUAUUUCAUGUAGGUUUUUUUUAUAAUUUUAGCCUCUAUUUUGGGUAUAUCACUAAAGCUCCCUUAAAUUUAUAUAUGGUUUUUAAUGUGCAAUGGGCAACACUACAUGAUAUUGUUCAUAACAACCUCAAUUUUGCACAAACAAAUAAAAUUUAAAAUUUAAAAUAACAACAAUACUCAUAAGACAACUAAGUGGUGGUCGGUGGUUGUUAUUGAUAUAUUAAUCAAAUUCUUUGUGUUUGCAUACAAGUAAAGACUUAAUUAUACAUAAACUCGAUGAAAUUUAUAACCUUAAUAACAAACAAAAAGUCUUUGGUUUGGAGGAAAAGAAAUGUACAUAUGAGUUUGGUAAUUAUAAUAACAAAAAAAAAACUUCCAUUUAAUUAUUUUUAAAUUUUAAAAAUAAUAAUUUUUUAGUCCGACACAGCACCAAACAUAGGUCUUCACUAUUUUUAUAAUCCAGCUUCUUAGUCCGACGCAGCACCAAACAUAGGUCAGUACUUAAUCCAGCUUAGGCCAAUCCGAGCUAAUCCUAGACAGUCCUAGAAUUUAGUCCAGUCCAUGAUAGUCCGCCGUGCCAAACGACCCUCAAGUGUACUGCAGAGCAAUAGCUGCAACUAAAGCUGCAUUUGAUAUGGCUGAUGAGCUCAAAAUGCCCAAAAUGAAUGUACGUGCUUGAUAUUGGUGGUGGGUUCAAAGCAAAUCAACUGUUUGAUGAAAUAGCCGAGACCAUAAAUGUUGCCAUCAAAGACUACUUUUCUGAUCAUCAGUCAGAUUCUGAUCUGACGGUGAUGGCUGAGCCAGGAAGGUUCUUUGCUAAAACUGCAUUCACAAUGGUUGCAAAUGUGAUGGGGAAGAGAGUGAGGGGAGAGAAAAGAGAGUAUUGGAAAUAUCUCUCUCUAUACGCAUCAAUUCUCUCUGUCCAAACCCUAUCCCCAUUGAAUCUACCUCCAAGCUCUAUCACCAUAGUAAGCACUUCGUCUCUGUCGCCAUUGUAAGCACUUAGUCUCUGCCUCCAAGCUCUACUGGUUUCUCUCGCCCGAUGAUUCUUUGUCUGUCGCCGUCAACCAGAAGAGGUACCUUACACCUCUCUCUCUCUCUCUCUCUCUCUCUCUCUCUCUCUCUCUCUCUCUCUCUCCUUCUUCAAUUUAUUGAUUUUGCCUAUAAUUUCAUAUACACUUUCUUUGAAUUUGAAAGAUAUGGGAACCUCAUAAUUUCAUAUACAACUCUCUCUCUCUCUCUCCUUCUUCAAUUUAUUGAUUUUGCCUAUAAUUUCAUAUACACUUUCUUUGAAUUUGAAAGAUAUGGGAACCUCAUAAUUUCAUAUACAACUUGCCCUAAACCCUGAUUCUUCUUUAUGGGCUAGAUUGUUUUCGGUGGCAGGAAAUGCGUAGGGAAAUUACACUUCCUACUUAUUCUUCUUUAUAGGCUAGAUUCUGAAAUUUUUCGGUGGAAAAGAGAGGGGUGUUGUGCUAGGUUAUUGUGCUGAGUUAAUUAACUUGGAUGUUUACAUGGAUACCAAAAUUUAGCAAAUACAUAUAUGUAUUUAUAUAUGGGAACAAUGGGACCACCUUGCAUAUGCAUGAUGCAUAUCUCUGAAUCAACAGCUGCCAAUUAAUCUCUGUAAUUUGACCAACCAUUUUUUGUUUUGAUUCAAACAUUUUUUCCUCUUUCGAUCCUCGGUUGGCCUUUUGGGUUUUCUGCUCAAAGGCAAAGGCCAUUAUUAUGUCACACUGUCUUCUUCACACCCACACUACUACAUUUUACACUUUGCGCGACGAAGUUAAUUUCGUCGCGCAAAAUAAAUUGUGGUCGCACAAAUUUCAGCGCCACAAAAACUUCGUCGCGCAGAAUCCGUCGCGCAAAGAUCGUGUAGAAAGACUUUGCGCGACGAAGUUUUUUCAUUGGUCGCGCAAAGUUACUUUGCGCGACGAAAAAAUAUUGGUCGCGCAAAGUAACUUUGCGCGACGAACUCAAAGUGACUUUGCGCGACGACAAAUAUUGGUAGCGCAAAGUUUUGCGCGACAAAAUACAUUGGUCGCGCAAAGGUUUGCGCGACGAAAAACAUUGGUCGCGCAAAGUUUUGCUCGACGAAAUACAUUGGUCGUGCAAAGUUUUGCGCGACGAAAUACAUUGGUCGCACAACUGUUUGCGCGACGAAAUACAUUGGUCGCGCAAAGUCUUAAAAAAAUUCCCGCGUCAAAUUUUUGGUACCCGCCCAAAUUUUUAGAGUUUUACGCGACAAAUAGUAACGUCGCGCAAAUAUUUGCGCGACGAAAUAUUUUUUGUUUUAAAUUUUUUUAAUUUGAAAUAAACUAAUUUAAUAGUUUGCGCUACGAAAUAUUUUUUCUUUAGAAUUUAUUUAUAUGAAUUUUUUCAAAUUUUUACUUUUUAAAUUUAAUUUAAUUGUAUGAUUUCUUUUUAAAAUAACUUCAAUUUAAAUUGAUAUUAAUUUUUUCAAAUUUUUACUUUUUAAAUUUAAUUUAAUUGUAAGAUUUUUCUUAAUUACUUUAAUUUAAAUUGACAUAUUCAAAAUAAAUUACAUAUGAAAAAUAGUGAUCAAAUUAUCCAAUAAAUAUAAAUAUAUAUUCAAAAUGUACAUAUAAAUUAACAAAGUACAAUAAUAAAAUUCUAAUACAAGCGUAUUGUGGUGGUAGUGGCGGAGGAUAUGUUUUGAUAGCUUCCUAAUCCUCAACUUUAGCCGUCAAAGUCUCGAUGAUUCCCUACAAAAAAAACAAAUAUAGUCAAAUAACAACAACAACAACAAAAAGAAUGCACAAUCUCCCCUAAAAUUGUUAUACCACAAAUCCAACCCAAACUCCAAUCUCUCCCCUUUACUCAACCCCAAACCCCACACAAACUCAAAACUAACUCCAAAAACACAUAUUAAUGAAAAAAAUUUAAAAUUUGGAGAGAAUAUACCUUUUGGCAAGAUUGAGAGUGAGUGAGAAUGAGAGGGAGAAGUGAGUGUGAGAGAAUUAGAAAAGAUAGUGAUAGAGAGAUGAGAGAGUGAGAGAUAGUGAAAAGAUAGAUGAGAGAGUGAGUGAGAGUGAGAGAUAGUAAAGAUAGAGAUGAGAGAUUAAGUGAGAGGAGUUAGUGUGAGAGAAAGGGUGCGAUUUGGGGAAAGGGAAAGAGAGAGGAGAGGUAAGAGUAGAGAAAGAAAUUGAGAAAAUGGUGGAGGAGUUAUUUCAGUUUUAAAAAUCGUAUCACUUUGCGCGACGAAAAUAUGGUUGGUCGCGCAAAGUUUUGCGCGACGAAACAUAUUGGUCUCGCAAAGUUUUGCGCGACGAAUAGAGGAAUAUUGGUCGCGCAAAGUCUAAAAAAAUUAUUUUUUUAAAAAAAAAAUUCCCGCAUCCCAUUUUUGGUACCCGCCAAAAUUUUUAAAUUUUUGCGCGACGAAAAAUAAUUAUUGGUCGCGCAAAGUCUAAAACAAUUAUAUAUAAAAAAUUCCCGCGUCCCAUUUUUGGUACCCGCUCAAAUUUUUGCGCGACGAAAAAUAUAUAUUGGUCGCGCAAAGUUUUGCGCAACGAAACAUAUUGGUCUCGCAAAUUUUUGCGCGACGAAUACAGGAGUAUUGGUCGCGCAAAGUCUAAAAAAAAUUAUUUUUUUUAAAAAAAAUUCCUGCAUCCCAUUUUUGGUACCCGCCAAAAUUUUUAAAUUUUUGCGCGACGAAAAAUAUAUAUUGGUCGCGCAAAGUCUAAAACAAUUAUAUAAAAAAAUUCCCGCGUCCCAUUUUUGAUACCCGCCCAAAAUUUUUGCGCGACGAAAAAUAUAUAUUGGUCGCGCAAAGUUUUGAGCGACAAAAAAUAUUGGUCGCGCAAAGUCUAAAGUUUUUUUUUUAAUUUUAAAAACCCGCGUCCCAUUUUUGGUACUCGCCCAAAUUUUUUGAGUUUUGCACAAUGAACUGUUGGUCGCGCAAACUUUUGAGAGACGAAAAAUUGGUUCGUAGCACAAUAUUUAUAAAAAUAAUUGUUAUGAAUAAUAAAAAAUAAAAAAAAAUUAUUUUAUGAUUUAAAAUAUAAUUAAGGUGAAAGCUACUUAAUAAAUGUAUAUACUAUUCAAUUUCUUAAGUGUUAUACGUAUAAAAUAAAUAAAUUUAAAGCUACUUAAUAAAUAUAUGUAUAUAAAUAUAUAUAUAUACACACACCAUUCAACGAUCCAACCAUAAGACUUGUUUGUAUAUACUUCAAGAUCGUAUACCCCAAAAAUCGCAAAAAACAAACAUUCAGAGAUUUAGUAACGGGACAAAACUUUUCGAUAGUUAUAAAUGAAAAAUCACGAUUUAACGGUUAUUUUAACUCCGAUUUUGAUGAUUUUUUUACAGCUACACUCCUUGACCCUAUAUGAAUACAAUGAUUGAAUUUGAUCUUCAAUUUAAAACAUUUGCACUAGUGGAUACCACAAAAUCUUAUGUUAUAUUUAACGAAAAUAUAAAUAAACUCUUAAUUGUUAGUGAAUAUAUUGUUUUGAUGGCAUAUGCAUUCUACGAAACUAGUUUCAACGAUCCAACCGUCAAACUUGUUUUUUUAUACUUCGAGAUCAUAUACGCCAAAAAUCGGAAAAAAUAAACAUUCAUAGAUCAAGUAACGGGACAAAACUUUUCGACGGUUAUAAAUGAAAAAUCAUGAUUUAACGGUUAUUUUAACUCCGAUAUCGAUGAUUUUUUACAGCUACACUCCUUGACCCUAUAUGAAUACAAUGACUGAAUUUGAUCUUCAAUUUAAAAUAUUUACACUAGUGGAUACCACAAAAUCUUAUGUUAUAUUUAACGAAAGUAUAAAUAAACUCUUAAUUGUUAGUGAAUAUAUUGUUUUGAUGGCAUAUGCAUUCUACGAAACUAAUUUCAACGAUCCAACCGUCAAACUUGUUUUUUUAUACUUCGAGAUCAUAUACGCCAAAAAUCGGAAAAAAUAAACAUUCAAAGAUCAAGCAACGGGACAAAACUUUUCGACGGUUAUAAAUGAAAAAUCAUGAUUUAAUGGUUAUUUUAACUCCGAUUUUGAUGAUUUUUUACACCUACACUCCUUGACCCUAUGUGAAUACAAUGACUGAAUUUGAUCUUCAAUUUAAAAUAUUUACACUAGUGGAUACCACAAAAUCUUAUGUUAUAUUUAACGAAAAUAUAAAUAAACUCUUAAUUGUUAGUGAAUAUAUUGUUUUGAUGGUAUACACAUUCUACGAAACUAGUUUCAACGAUCCAACCGUCAAACUUGUUUGUUUAUACUUCGAGAUCAUUUAUGCCAAAAAUCGGAAAAAAAAAACAUUCAUUGAUCAAGUAAUGAGACAAAAAUUUUUGACGGUUAUAAAUGAAAAAUCAUGAUUUAAUGGUUAUUUUAACUUCGAUUUUGAUGAUUUUUUAUAGCUACACUCCUUGACCCUAUAUGAAUACAAUGACUGAAUUUGAUCUUCAAUUUAAAAUAUUUACACUAGUGGAUACCACAAAAUCUUAUGUUAUACUUACGAAAGUAUAAAUAAACUCCUAAUUGUUAGUGAACAAAAAAAAACUAGUUUCAACAAUCCAACCGUCAAACUUGUUUGUUUAUACUUCGAGAUCAUAUACGCCAAAAAUCGGAAAAAAUAAACAUUCAGAGAUCAAGUAAGGGGACAAAACUUUUCGAUGGUUGUAAUGAAAAAUCACGAUUUAAUGGUUAUUUUAACUCCGAUUUUGAUGAUUUUUUACUGCUACACUCCUUGACCCGAUAUGAAUACAAUGAACUAAUUCGAUCGUCAAUUUAAAAUAUAUAUUUUCUAACAAAAACCCAAUCCGAACAACAAUAAUAUAUUUUUCUAAUAAAAAUCCGAUCCGAUCUAAAAUAAUAAGUUUAAAGCUACUUAAUAAAUAUAUAUACCGUUUAAUUUCUUAAGUGUUAUGCAUACAAAAUAAAAAAAAAAAUAAAUUGGUUUAGGUGACAAAAUGUUUGGAUUACGUCAUGCAAAGAUUCUAAAAAAUAAUUUUUUUAUUCUAUUUAUUUUUGUAAGGACUUUGCGCGACGAAAAGUAAACUUCGUCGCGCAAAGUCACUUUGAGCGACGAAGUUUACUUUUCGUCGCGCAAAAUUGGUCGCGCAAGACUUUGAACGACGAUGUAUUGUCGUCGCGCAAAAGUUUGUCGCGCGAAGUGACUUUGCGCGACGAAUUAUUUUUCGUUGCGCAAAAUUUGGUCGCGCAAGACUUUGAGCGACGAAGUUUCAAGUUUCGUCGCGCAAAGUAACUUUGAGCGACGAAUAAUUUUUCAUUGCGCAAAAUUUGGUCGCGCAAGGGGUUUUUUUUACUAGUGCCACAUACUUUAUGAUUUUACUCACUGAUAAGAUUGUGGAGUUUAUUUAUUUGCAUGUAUUUGAAGAUUAUUAGAUUUUUCUCUUGACAAAGUGAUAAUUAAAAUGAUUAAAAUGUAUGAUAGGCCUUGAUCAUUGAUCUAAAUGCUGGAAAGUGAAAAUUUUUAAAUGGAACGUAAUGAAUCUAACUAAAGCUUUUUCUUUUCUGAAACUACAUAUGGUACACUGUUUCCAUAUCAACUAUAUGUGAUUUAUGAUAUGUUGUAUAAAUGCCAGACCAUCAACAAACUUCUUUGAGGGCAAACUUCUCCCCACCAGAUGUGUAGUUCCACUACUACAAAAAGUGAAAAAGACGACCAGAAAACAACGACGGUCUAAGUGAAAACCGUCGUGGUUUUUAAAAAGACGACGGUUCUAAAAACACCGUCGUGUAAUACCACCUUAGACAACUAAAAAAUGGAGAUUCAAAUGGUUGUUCAAAAACAACAACGUACCUAAUUAAACAACCGACGUCUAUUUGAAACAGAUUUUCGCAGUGUAAAAUCAAAGCAAACAAAGAACGGCAGAAGUUAUGAAUAGACCGACGUAGAAAGUAAAGACGACGAUUUCAAUAAAAGCCGCCGUUUUUACUCAUAAAAUAACACGACGAGGUUUUCGUAUAAGACGCCGUAUAAUUACAAACAAAUCCACGGCUUUAAAAUACAAAAUAAUCUUAACAGAUGACACAGAUUUGCAAUCAGAGAGACAAUUUUUUGGAAGUUGAUCAACGUCGUUGCAAAUUUGCAAUCAGAGAGACAAUUUUCAACGACGGUUAUAUUAUACCUAACGACGUUUAAAAACAAAUCAACGUCGCUCAACAAAUAUAUUACGUCGUCUUAGUCUUACUUAAGACGACGAAAAACGACGACAGUAGUAAAAAAACAGUCGUUGUUUUUAUAUUCUUAUUUUAUUUAAAUCUGUCGUGUUAGUUAAAAACGACGGCAUAACAAAAAACCGUCGUUUUGUUUCAAACUGAAUUAAUUUAAAAUUUCUUCAGGAAAGCAAAAUCUAUUUAUAAUUUUCUCGGGUUAGUAAUAUUGCGUCGUGUUAGUUUACAAAUUCUAGAACAUUAAUUUCCCUCAUUUUAAAUUUCCUCGGGAAAGAAAAAUCUAUUUAUCACGCUUUGUAAUUGAAAACUAAAAUUGAAAGAAUUCUGGAAAAAAAACUCUAUUUAUAAUUUUACCUUAAUAUAGACGACGAGAAAAGACGACGGUAGAACAGAAAACCGCCGUUGUUUCAGUUUCUUUAACAGUUUGGUCCUUUAUCUUUCUGCAGGACUUGUAUAGUUCAAAGCAUUGACAAUGUCUUCAUCAUAUCUCCCAGCAACUACUGAUUCGAUUGCUCAUGCUUUAGAGGCCAUCUGAAGCCAUUUCUAUUCUUUAUCGCAUUCUUGAAACCCAUCUUCUUCUUCUGAAGCUCUACGGAUAAAGGAAGAGGCUAUCACAAAUCUGACGGAUCUUCUUAGUCAAAAAAAUCAAGCAGAGGAUCAGGCACAUCUGAUCUUCAGAUUUCCCUGAGAAGCGAACUUUCCUUCGACAGCGAGUGGAGGCCAGGCUUGCAUCUCUUUUGAUGGAAAGCAAGGAGUAUUCAGAAGCACUAAGUGUCCUAUCAGGCUUGAUCAAGGAAGUGAGAAGGCUAGUUGACAAGCUUCUUCUUGUCAACUAGCCUAAAUGUAAGCUCAAUUUCUCUUUGAGAAAGACCUCCAAAUUAUUGUCUUUGAGAUGUGAGAGACAGUGUCUCUGAGAGAGGAAGAACUUGGAACCCUAAAUGUAAACCGCGAAAAUGAAUGAAAGCGACAAAUUUAUAGAAUAAAUUUUUAAAACCAACGGCGGUCCUUACCAAAAACCGCCGUUUAAAUUGUAACAUCAACGUCGGUAUUACUGACGUAUAUUACAGAACUCCAUGUCGGUACAUUAAUAAUCCCGACGUCUUAAAUAAUCUACCAUGACGCGAGUUAUUACUUAUGUACUUUAAUUUUUGAGUUUACUACGACGGUACCUACAACCUACUGUCGUAUUUAUUUACCACGUCCGAAGUUAAAUUUACCGACGUAUUUUGUACUUUAUACGUCGUAGUUAUAUGUAACCGCCGUAUUAUUUUUUUGAAAUGGUUUUAUAUGUAAGCAACUUUUCGUCUACUUGACUUACACAUUAGUUGUUUUUAUAUUCUUAUUUUAUUUAAAUCUGUCAUCCAAAAAAGAAACUUUACAUAUUGCAGAAUAUUAAUUUCCUUCGUUUUAAAUUUCCUCCGGAAAAAAAACUCUAUUUAUAACGCACUGUAAUUGAAAAAUAAACUGAAAGGUCACGGGAAAAAAAAUUCUAUUCAUAAUUUAAAAAUUAAAAUCCACGUCGGUUAUAUUAAACCUAACGACGUUAAAUGAAAUGAUUCCACGUCGAACGAAAAAUAUUGCGUCGUGUUAGUUAAAAACGACGUAGUUAAAUGUAACCGCCGUAUUAUUUUUUUGAAAUGGUUUUAUAUGUAAGCAACUUUUCGACUUACACAUGCACUGUUUCCAAACCCGAUUAAAAAUUUCAAUCUCCAGAGAAACCUUUUCGUCUUUUUUCCUUGUCAGAGCAUUGUCAGAGUUUCUCAUCGUCUUCCUCUCGUCUUCUUCGUCGUCUCUGAACUUAAACAUCGAUCAUCUUCCUCUUGCUUUCAUUGCACGCAAAAGGUAAGCUUUCAUUUUCACUAUUUUGGUUACUGUUUUGCAUGCUCAUACGUUUUUUGUUUGAAAAAUCUUUUUACCUUUUUUCUGGCCAAAAUCAUUUUACUUCUUUCCAAGUUUGAUAAAAUAUACAGACAAAGAGGGAAAGUUUCCAACUUUGAAGACAACUACCUCAACUAAAUAAGACGACGGUAGACCACGACGGUUCGUCAGUUGUUCUAGCGUCGUCUGAAAAUUGACAAAGUUGUUUUUAAAAUAAUAGUCUUUUUUUAUAUGCUUGUUUAAUUGCAGGUUUGAUUUCUCUGAACAAUGGUUUUUGUUUUUCCCUUAUUUGAUAAAAUAUAAAGAAAAAGAAACUAGGGUUGGUAUCUAAUAUAGACGACAAAAUAUCUUAUUGUUUUACAUCGUGUGAAUGUUAAUACCACGACGGUGUAUUACUAUUGACGUCGUAUGAACAUAAAUACCACGACGUUAUAUAAAUAAUAGUUUACCACGACGGUGUAUUACUAUUGACGUCGUGUGAACAUAUAUACCACGACGUUAUAUAAAUAAUGGUUUUAAACAUUUAUUACGUCUGAGAUUAUUUCAUUGCGUCGUCUAAAAUCAUAUCAUACGUCGUAUUUUUUAAUACCGUCGUUUGUGUUCUUAAUGUUUUCCUGAAAUAUUUUCACUUGCAGUUUUGUCUGUUAGAAUGGUUUCUCAACAACAAACUAAGGAUUCUGGCUCCAAGAAGCUUGGAAUGGUAGCUCCUCAAGACAAGUCUUCGAAGGAGAUGAAGUCUUCGAAGAAGAUGAAGUUUGCUUCAUCAUCUGCUGAGACAGAACCAACCAGCCAGACAACAAUCUCUGAUGAUUCAAAGACUGGUCGAGGUAUGAGCACAAUGCCUCAUGUUGUGAAGAGAAAGCUUCAGAAACUGAGGCCAAUUGUUGAGUACAAUAAAAGGGGGAAAGGUGUUGGCCAAGCACAUAUUGAGAUGCAGUCGUAUAUUGGUGUGUUGGCACGCUCCAGGAUCCCACUUGUGGACAAGAAAUGGUCCCAAAUCCCCAAGGAUAUAAAGGAGCAGAUUUGGGAAGCAGUUGACAUGGCUUUUGUCGUAGGCCAAGGGGGCAAGACCUCUGUUUUAGCUUCUGCUUCCAAGAAAUGGAAGGAUUUCAAGUCUACACUAACGAGGCAUUAUAUCCUUCCAUACACCAAUGACAGGGAGAAAUUAAGCCAACCCCCUGAAACAUAUAAAUUCAUAGAGAAAGCACAAUGGGAUGCUUUUGUAGCUUCAAGGCUAUCCAAAGAUUUUGAGUCUGUGCAUUCUCAACAUGCACAGAUUAGGGAGAAACUCGAGUACAAUCAUCGAUUGUCUCGAAAAGGAUAUGCUGGAUUGGAGGAUCAAUUGGAGGAAACCAUGCCUGGGGUAGAAAUUGAUCGAUCUACCUUAUGGAAGAGAGCUAGACAGGGCAAACAUGGUAACAUCCCUGAUCCAAAGGUGGCAGAGAAAGCAAAAUUAAUUGUAAGCCUACUAUCACUCUGUUUUAAAUUUUUAUUAAACUGUGAAUUAUUCUUAUUACGUCGUAUGUUAUAUUUUUCGUCGUGUGAAUGAUAUUACCACGUCGAAAAGUUUUUAAAAACGUCGUUAAAGGUCUAAAUAGGAAUCACUACUAAUUUUCUGUAAUUAUAGCAUAAGACGUCGGUGGUUCAUUUUCGCGUCGUUUGAAUGAUAUUACCACGUCGAAACUUUUUUAAAAACGUCGUUAACGGUCUAAAUAGGAAUCACUACUCUGUUUUCUUUAAUUAUAGCAUAAGACGUCGGUUGUUUAUUCAUUUCGUCGUUUUAAAUAAAUAACCACGUCGGUAUAACUACCGUCGUGAUAAGUUAUAAUAACGUCGGUUUAUACGUUAUUGCGUCGUGUGAAAUUAUAUAAUACGUCAUUUGUACAUAAAUAACCGUCGUGUGUUUUUUUGUUUAUCUUUGUUUUAGGAUGAAUUGCAGAAACAAGUCUCGGAAGGCAAAGUCAGAGUAGAUGGCAGCAAUGAUGUGCUGACCAUGGCUUUGGGCCCCGAGCAUCCAGGCAGAGUGAGGGGAGUUGGUGCUGGUGUUUCCCCAAGGCAAUAUUUCUAUUUGCCCAAACCACAGAGGGUGAGCUUUGACGACCGUUUGAAGGACAGUUUAAGAGUUCUCCUUCAAGAAGAGACUAAAAAGAUGGAGGCUAAGGCAAGGGAAGAGGCCUUAAGGAUGGAGGCUAGGACAAAACAAUUGGUAGAGGCUGAGAGGGAGCAUUUCCUGAGUCAGCUUUCCCAAUUAAUUCCCAAUUUUGAUCCAAGCAUGCUUAAACCAAGAAUUAGCCAAAGCCCCAAAAAUCCAAUGUCUGACAAAGCUAGCUGCUCUGGAGGUGAUGUGAGAUCCCUACAUUUGGAGGAUGAUACUGCCAAAAUGGGGAAACAUCAGCCAGAUGAAGAGAAGGAAGAAGAAAAAAGAGAUGAAGAGAAGGAAGAAGAAAAGGAGAAAGAAGAUGAAGAAAAGCAUGACGACAAGGUAUGUUCACAUAACUUUGCCUUUUUUAUUUGUUUUUCAAAAUUUCAGACGUCGAUAUUUUUAUUUAAUCCGUCGUUUGUUUACAACUUAGACGGCGGAAUUUGUUUAAGACGUAAUAAAAUAUUUAAACGACGGUUUUUUCACCGUCGUUUAAAUGGUUUCAGACGACGCUUUAUUCAUAAAACCGUCGUCUUUAUUGAAUUACCACGACAGUUUUUUCACCGUCGUUUAAAUACUUUUAAGACGACAUUUUAUUCCUUAAACCGUCGUCUUUAUUGAAUUACCACGUCAUUUUUUUUAUUUCUUUAAACAAGUUAUUGAAGUUGGUGAUUAUUCAAAUAUGGAGGCGCCAUCUUCUUUAAAAACCCUUUGUCGUUUUGUGGAAACGACACUCCUGCCUGAGGAUAAGACACUCCAAUUUACAAUUGAUAAGGAGGUGUUUGGUGGUGAGCGCGAUACCUUCCUCCUGCCUGAAGAUAUUACACAAUUUGCAGGCAUGGAAGAAAUUGGAGCUACUGUAUUGGCUGUAUAUAUGAGGUUUGUACUUCUAAAAUAAUACCUCGUUGGUUUAUAUAUUGCGUCGUCUUAACUAACUAACCACGUCGUCUUAACUAACUACCGUCGUGAUAAAUAUAUUAUAACGUCCUCAUCUAUUUCAGUACGUCGUGUGAAAUAUUAUAAUACGUCGUUUUUUUAUACAUAACCGUCGUGUUUUUUUGUGCUGACUUGUUUAUAUUAUUUUAUGUAUUUAGGUACUUACACGAUGUUUUGAAACAAGCCAAUAUGUGCAGCAUGGUUGGCUUUAUCGACCCUGCUACAGUUAGUGCCAACUCUGGCACAAUAACUGAAAGAUCACGACUGGUAGCAGCUCGACUUCAGAAGACAGACGGUGAACAGAUUUUCAUGAUGCCUUACAAUCCAGGGUUAGUCUCCUUAGGAUUUUGUUUUUAUGAUUUUCAAUAAAUGACAGCUUAUAAACUAACCACGUCGGUGUUUUAUUUUAUUUAGUCGUUUGAAACUACUAACCACGUCGGUAUUUAUUUAUCGUCGUGAUAAAUAUAAUGUCGUCGUUAUCUACUUUAUUUCGUCGUGUGAAAUACUAUAAUACGUCGUUUUUGUAAAUAACCGUCGUUUUUAUAUUAAUUUUGUGCAGCCGUCAUUGGAUCUUACUGAUUGUAAGAGCAAAGAAGGAGACCGUCUAUUUUCUGGAUCCUCUGCCAGGUCAUCGUGUGGUCGACGAAGAGGCAAAAAAUAUCGUGAACAGUGCUUUAAAAAUAUAUAAUACCCACAUAGCCCGAGCACGACGUAAAAAUGUAAUUUGGAAAACUCUCUCAGGCACACCAAAGCAACCCAGCAAUGUCGAAUGCGGGUACUAUGUGAUGCGCUUCAUGAGGGACAUCAUCAUGGAUCCUUCCUUGGGGUUUGAGAAUAAGGUAAGAAGAAAUUACCUUCAUACAUUUCACGUCGUUUUUUGUAUUAUCAACGACGGUCAUGUAAAAUUAACGUCGUUGAAUGGAUAUACUACGUCGGUUAUGAAAAAUAUCGUCGUCUGUGAUUGAAUUUCUUUUUAUUUAUAAACCCUAAUAGUCAUUGUUUAUGCAGUAUGCCAAGGGAAACCAGGAAGCUUCAUACCCCCAAGAAGCCAUUGAUGAAGUCCGGAAUGAAUGGGCAGAGUUUGUUUUCCAAAUUAUUAAACAGGGCAAUUAUUGAACACUUGAUAUUUAUGUAUAAUGUACAAAUUUUCUCUAUAAUAUGUAAUGUAAAAAUUUGUUGAGGUUUUCUUAAAUUAAAAAAAAAACAAACAUACAAAUUGCUUAACCGACGUGUAAUACUUUUCCAACGACCUAAUAAAGUCAAAAACCGUCGUAUUUUGUUGUUUCGUGUUUUAAACAAAUACGACGUAAAAAUAUAGUUAGACGACGUUCUUUGAACAAUUGAGUCGUUUAUGGUUUACAACAUCUUCAAUUUCUUAAGGGUUCAGGGUAUCAUCGACGACGUUUAUGUAACGACAGCGGUUAAGUCGUGGAAUAUAUAUUUUACGUCGUAUAGUUAAAUAGCCGCCAUGGUUUCUCAUUUUAACGACGUCAUUUUAACGACUUAGUAGUCUAUUACAAUUUACAACGUCUACAAUUUAUUAACACCGACGUGGUUUGUUGUUGUGGUAAGAAUAUUUUAUUAUUUUUAUAUCAAAAUAUUCAAAAUAAAUUUAAAAUAAAUCAGAAAAUUGAAAAGUCAACUCCUAUGAAGUCAUUAAUAUAUUUUCUUCCACAUAAACCUUGAAAAAAUUCAUUUUGAAUAACAAAAAUUUAAAAUGAUCAUCCAAAACAAAAUUGUUUUGAUGAGUCAUAAAAUCACUUCUAGUUUUAUGGUUUAGGGUUUAGAGUCUAGGGUUUAGAGAUUAGGGUUGUUAUUUAUUGGGGUUUAUUUUUAAAGUAUAAUUUUUGGGUAGUCUAGGGUAUAUGUUAGGCUUUAAAACAAUAAAACCUUUUAUAAACUUAAUUUUUUAAAUUGUAUAAUUUAGUUUUAUGGGUUUAGGGUAUUAAUUUUUAACGACGGUGGUUGCGUCGUGGAAUACAUAUUUUACGUCGUACAGAAAAACAUACGACAUGGUUUACGCUUUAAACGACGUCAUUUUAAUAUGUAAGUCGGUUUAUAUAAUUUACAGCGUCUUUAAUUUCUUAACACCGACGUGGUUUUUCAGUCGUCGUUAUAUAAAAAAUUCAAAAUAAAUUUAAAAUUAAUCCGAAAAAUGAAGCUUCAAAAUGAACGGCUAUACGUUCUUAAUCCGAAAAAUGAAGUUUCCAUCGUGGAAUAUUAAAUUUACGUCGGUACUUGUAGAACUUUCGCCUUGGUUUUUCUUUCGACGUUUUAAAACGCGCGAGCUCUAAAAAUUUUCGCGCGACCUAAAUUUUUUUAGAUUUGGCUCUUAUUCUUAUACUUCGAACCCUGAAACCUAAAAUUUUCAGAUUUCGCGCGACAUAACAUUUCGCUCUCUCACUUCUGCUCUAAUUAAAAGUUGCACCCUCCAGGCUCCGUCGAAUCUGUGAGCUCGUCCAACCUGUAAGUACAAACCCUAUCUUCCCCUUGUAAAUUCAUUGAAUGAUAUUAGGUUGUUUUGUUAAAGGGUUUUAUGUGUAUGCUUUGCGAUCUGUUAAUAAUGUGCUUAUAGGUAUGGGUUCAUGAAUUUUCUGUUUAAUGGGUUCAUGACAAGAUCAAAUAAAGGUGUACUUUUGCUGGAAAUCAACACAAAAAGACACAACGUCCAUCCAACCACGCCUGAAUCUGGGCUUUCCUUUGCUCAAACCGCUCUGGAGAAGGUGCAAAGUGCACCAAUGAUGGGGAGCAAAUAGUACCUACGAAGGAAGAAACUGAUAAUGAAGAUGGGGAUUCGAGUGAUGAUUCUAGUAACGAUUCGAGUUAUAUUAGGUUGUUUUGUUAAAGGGUUUUAUGUGUAUGCUUUGCGAUCUGUUAAUAAUGUGCUUAUAGGUAUGGGUUCAUGGAUUUUCUGUUUAAUGGGUUCAUGGAUUACAUUAUCUGUUAUGUUGAAUUGGGAAUGGAUUUAAUUUUGUCGUAUCUUUUAAUCACCCUAUGUUAUGUUGAAUUGGGAAUGGAUUUAUUGUUUUCAUGCUUGGUUUCAUGUAUAUGUUGGUUUCUUGCUUGGUUUCAUAUAUAUGUUGUGUUCUUAAUGAGUUUUGUGUUCUUGAAAAUAAACUGAGACACGACGAAUUUUAAGGCAUACGACGACGAUUACACGACGGUUUUUUUAAACUACCGUCGUUGUAUUACUUAUACACGACGGUUUUUUCAUAAACCGUCGUUUGUAUUACUUAUAAUAGACGACGUCUGUUGAAAAUCCGUCGUCUAUAUAUGCCAAAUACGUCUGUUUUUGUUUAAAACCCGUCGUCUCUGUUGUGUAUUACUUGCGAUUAGAUCAUUGUAUAAUCUACUAUAGUGAUGGUCAUUGCCUGUAUUUUCACUUUAUUAUAGAUAAUAGGUUAUAGUGUCGGAGAUGGAUAAGUCAUGGAUGCACUCGGAUAGAAGAUCGAAGGCAUAUGAAUUUGGGGUGGAAGCAUUUUUGAACUUUGCUGUAGAAAAUCUUCUAACUACAACACAUAUCCGACGUCUUAAAGCAACGUAACAAUGAAGAACCACGACGCUAUUGUGAAGCAAUUAUUCAGGAUAUCACGUCGGGGAAGGAUUAAGAACCGCCAUGUAAUUCAAAAUAACACGACUCCAAUCCCAUAAUACCGACGUCUAAAAAACGAGAUAUAUAAUCUGAACGUUAAAAAAUACGACGUCAUCAUACAUUUUUCACGUCGCAAGUUCUUUUAUAAACGAAGAGGAACGAAAUGAAUUCCGACGGAAAUUCAUUAUAACCGCCGUCUAAUAACAAUUAAACGACGUUAUUUGUAAUACGGCUCUCAUCAUAAUCAACGCCGUCUAUAUGUUCUGUAAUACGGCUCUCAUUUAUUUGGAACCGACGUUGUUUAGAAGUUCAACGUCGUCUAUAUUAUUAAGUGCGUCGUGAGUAAUGAUGAUAGAUAUAAAUACAACGUCGACUAUAUAAAUGCCACCGACGUUGUUUCGCAUUUCAACGUCAACUGUAUAAAUACAUACGUCGUAAAUAAUGACACUGACAACUAUUUUCACGUCAUCUUUUUUAGAAAAAUCGAAGUGGAAAAUUUAUUUCACGACGGUUGUUUGUAAAUAAGAGACGUAGCAUAUUUCAAUAACGUCGUCUUCUCAUGUAUUUAAAGACGUCAUAUUUUUUCUUGUCGUGUAAAUUAUAUUUAAUGGCGUAGUAUUUUAGUUGUCGUCGUUGUAUGUAUAUCUUGCGGCCUUGUUCUUUUAACAUGUGUCAUAUUUUUCCUUUUUAACGACGGUGAUUUGUUUGAGUUGGUCGUCUAUUCUCAUCCUCGACUAUUUUCUAGAACUUUAGCAGACUAAACACGUCUGUUUUUAUUAUUUUCCGACGUUGUUUUAUUUAACAACGUCUAAUAUUUAUCGUCGUUGUUUGUUUCUGAAAAUAUGACGUAUAAAUUUUGUAAUACGACUCUCAUAUAUUUGUAACCGACGUUGUUUCGUUUUUCAACGUCUACUCUAUAAAUACAUACGUCGUAAAUAAUGACACUGACAACUAUUUCCACGUCAUCUUUUAUCAAAAAAUCGAAGUGGAAAAUUAAUUUUACGACGGCUGUUUUUAUAUAUGCGACGUAGUAGGUAUCAAUAACGUCGUCUUCUAAUGUAUUUAAAGACGUCAAAUUUUUUAUUGUCGUGAAAAUGAUAUUUAACGGCGUCGUAUUUUUAUUUUCGUCGUUGUAUGUCUAUCUUGCGGCCUUGUUCUCUUAAUAUGUGUCAUAUUUUUCCUUUUUAACGACGGUUUUUUUAGAGAGUUGGUCGUCUAUUCUCAUCCUCGACUGCUUUUUUAGAUCUUUUUGCAGUACAAAGACGUCGUUUUGUAUUUGUUGAUGACGUUGUAUAUUUUAACAACGACGGCGAUUUAGCGUCGUGGUUUAUGAGGGAAAAGAUGACGGUGGAUUCCACGACCAUUGAAAAACCGAAUACACGACGGUGAUUUACCGUCGUCUUUUUGCUUUUUUGUAGUAGUGUUCUGAGUUUUCACAAAAUGAUGUAGGGGUCUCUAUUCUUUGGAAUGAGUUAUGUUCACAUUCUCUGUGAAGGAUGUCCAUUAUUUCAUAAGAGGAUGUUCAAUGUAUUCAUAUGCCUAUUACCUUCGUAUAUGUGAUUGGGGGCCUAAGAAAUAUCUAAAGAAACAUGAUUGUUUGGUUAAAUCCCAAAAAAGUGGAGAGGAAUGAAUAAAUUGGGUAUUAAGUCCAAUAAUAACCAGGUUUUGGUGUGUCUUUCUCUGAAGCUGUGUAUUCUGUGCAUAAGCUUAUAUUGAGAAACCUUUUUCGUGGGAAUUGUUAGAUGGAUCUCAUACCAGUUAUAUGCUUUUCUAGACCAUAGAUAUCUCAAAUUUUUUUUUUUUUUUUUUAGAAAAUAAAAAAAAAUAGUUGUUAAUCUUUUUUUUUCCUUAUGGUUUUUUUUGUUGUUGAGAUAUUUAGUCAUAUACCCAUUAUUCUUCCCCCCUCUCCUCUCUUCUCUUCCUUUCUUCCUCCUUUCACCUCUUCCCCCAUUUUCAAAGACAAAGGGUUUUCCCUAUUUGUCUUAGUUUUAUUAUGAUUUGCAUCCAACCAUUAUUGGCGGCUGCGGCUCAGCGUCGGAUCUUCACCUGCAUUUCGGCGUCAGAUCUCCACCACCAUCUUUUUUGCAAUUUCUUUAUGUUUGGAAUAAGUUGCAGAGACUCUUUGGGUUCUCUGUGUAGUUUUCACCUCUCCUUUUGUGAGAGUUUUUCAUCUCUCCCUUGUGAGAGCUUUUCAUCUCUCCUUGGUGAGAGUUUUAUUUGUAUUAUUAUGGCUUGGUUUUUUCAAGCUUUAUCUCUUUUUUAUUAUUCUAAGUUUGCAAUCUUAAUUGGGAUGCCUAUGCCAGAGUUUCUUCGAUCUUGCCUGAUCGUUGGUGGAGACAUACCUGAUUUUCUUAAUUUUGAUAUUAGACCGCUCCGUUAUUGUAAUGGCCCUUUUGUGGCUAGUUUGUAUUGGCCCUUUGUGGCUAGUGGCUUUUUUGGCUGAAUUAUGAAUGCAAUCAUAGAAUUUCUCAAAAAAAAAAAAAAAAAAAGUCAUAUACCCAUUAUUAGCACUAAAACUAUAAAUAAAGCCUACACAAUUUAAUUUUUAUAAACAAACCCAAAAAAUGACAGCUGGCCCUAUUGAAUUUAAUUUUGAUUAUUAAAUUACUUUGAUGCCCUAUUGAGUGUUUUGGGCUUUUUUAUUAAGUUUUGGGGUUGGGUUAUCAAUGGCAGUUUUGUAAUUUAAAAGAAGUUAAAAGUCUUUGUGCUAUGUUGUAAAUGGGCUUUGGGCAUGUUUAAAAAGUCCAUUUCUUAUAGGGUUUUUUUUAAAAAAAUUUGGGCUCCUAUAUUGGGUAUAAUAGUGAAUCUCCCUUCUUUUUUUUCAUUUUUUUUUUCAUUUGUACCAGGUCAGAAAAAUGAGAUGAUUGUCAUGAGGCAGAUUGUUGCUUUGAAUGUGCUAGAGGAGUAGCAUAUUUGGUGCAAUAAGCUUAUACUUGCUCGUAUUUUCUUUCUUUCAACUAUGUGAUGGUUCAAUUAUACUUGCUGGUAUUUUCUUUCUUUCUUUAACUUGAUAUUGUUUUGUGUGAUCAGUUGUGUCGUGUGGUGGAUGUUUUGUAUGAAAUAUAUCCACAUAACCAUUAUUAGGACGAAUAAUUACUUGUAUGAUGUGUGAAGUGGUUUUUUAUUUUCUGUCCUCAUUGUUUUGUGAUGUAUAUUGAUUCCCGUAUCCAUAUUAAUUCAUCCAUGUCUGUGGACUUUUCAAGGAACGACAAAAAUAAGCCAUUAUGGAUAAAGAAUGGGUGUACUUUUCAAGGUUAAUUUUAAAGUCCCAAACUUUAGAUAUUAAGAUAGUGUAUAUUACAUAUAUAAUUCCUUAGUAAAAUGAUGAGUUUUUUUUUUUUUUUAAAUUUUUUUAUAGAGAUUCUAGAGUAUAUCGUAAUGCGGCCAAAAGGUUUGUUGAUACGGUUCAAGCUAAUAACGGGGAUCCAUAAAAGAUUCAAUGCCCUUGCAGUUGUUGUUUAAACCUACAACAUCACCAUCAUGGUAUAGUUUAUGGGCACUUGGUCAUGAAUGGAAUGGAUCCUACGUUUACUAGGUGGAUCUUUCAUGGGGAAGAACCAAGUUCAUCAGUACAAGAUGAAUAUAGAGAAAUGCUAGAGACAUAUUUUCAUGUAUAGAGAUGCAUUCCUUCAUGAUGAUGAUGUUGUUGAACCUACACAAGAUAGAGAAGAACUGAAUUUUAAAAUUUUAGUGGAUGACGCAGAACUUCCCUUAUACACAGGUUGUUCUUACACAAAGAUGUCUGCAAUUGUUGUCUUAUACAAGUAUAAGGCUAGGCAUAGUCUAACUGAUAUAGCUUUUGACGGGCUUCUUCGUCUUCUUCAUGGUUUUCUACCACAUGAUAACAGACUUCCAAAUUCUUUAUAUGCAACCAAAAAAUUACUCAAUGAUUUUGAUUGAGGAUAUGAGAAGAUACAUGCUUGUGUGCAAGAUUGCUGUUUAUUUAGAAAAGAUUUAAAGGACAGGGAGACAUGUCCAAAGUGUGGUUCUUCACGGUGGAAAAUUAAUGAACGUACCAAAAAAAUUCAACAAGGAGUCCCUACAAAGAUCUUGCGUUACUUUCCAAUCAUACCAAGAUGUAGGAGAAUGUUCAAGUCACCGAUACACUAAUAGAAGUCAUGACGGCAAGAUGCGACAUCCAGUUGACGCAUUGGCAUGGAAUAAGAUUGAUAAUAAGUGGCCUUCUUUUGCUUCAGAUCCACGUAAUCUUAGACUCAGCCUUUCAUUCGAUGGAUUUUAUCCUUUCGGUGAUCUUAGUUCUAAAUAUAGUUGUUGGCCCGUGAUUUUGGUUGCAUAUAAUCUCCUCUCAUCUCUAUGCAUAAGGAGAAUUUAAUGUUGACAUUACUCAUUGUAAUACCCCGAAAAAUUCAAGGUGGAUUUUCAUAUUUUAGUGAAAAAUAAUAUUAUGGUGAAGAAUGAUUUUGGGUAUUUUAUCAAGUGAUUUUUUAUGAAGAUUAUUAAAUUAAGUGUGUUUAAUUUGAAGUUGGACAAACAUGACCAAAAUGCCCUUAUGUGUGGAUAAUUACCAAAAUAUCCUUGUAGGCCAAAAAAAAAAAAAAACCAAAAAGAAGCCACCGUGUAAGCCAAGCUUUUGUUAUUCUCUUCAUUCUUCCCCCCUUCCCUCUUUCUCUUCAAAAAAAUCUGAUUUUGGGGAUUAGUUGUUCAUCUAUUGGGGGGGGUGAGUCACCUAGUCUAAGUGGUGAGUCACUAGCCUAAGGGAUUUUUCUUGAUGAAGCUAAGAACUAGGGGAGGUAAGUUGUGGUAGGAGGGAGAAGAUAAUGAGAGAGAGAGAGAGAGAGAGAGAGAGAGAGAGAGAGAGAGAGAGAGAGAGAGAGAGAGAGAGAGAGAGAGAGAAGAAGAAGAAGAAGAAGAAGAAGAAGAAGAAGAAAACUAAGAACAAGGAGAAAAAGAAUAGGAGGAAGAGAAGGAAAAUUCUAUAAGGUGAGUAAAUUUCGAGUUUGUGAUUUUUAACUUGGUGUUUGUGUGUUUCUAGUUCCUUAAAGAGCAUGUUGAGUCAUUUGAGAGAUGGGAAAAUUGAAUUGGAAGAGGUUAAAUCUCUAUUUUCGGGUUGGGUGCAUAGAGUAAAUUUUAAAGUGUGGGUGUUGUUGAUUUUGGUUCUAUUUUGAGUUUUGUUGAGUUUGAUUGAUAGGUAUGAAGUUUAGAAGUGUUUUUGAAGCCUUAGGAACAACUUGGAGAUGUUAGAAUGGUUGGAAACGAAUUAGAACCAAAUCUGGAAAUUUGCAUAUUUCAGGAAAAUUGCAGUCCGUGAGUCUCAAUUUGGCUCUCCUUUUCUCCCAAUCCUUUGAUUUUUUAAGGACGAAAUUUGCUGUGAGUUAAACUAGACUUGGCCAGGAACAAAACACAAUUGAUUUCGUCCAAUUUGGUUGAGUUUUGAUGGGUCAAACACAGGUGCACAGUUUUAAAAAAAAUCUGUUUUCUGCAGAAAAACCAGCCACGAGUCCAACUUUAGAACUAGUUUUCUCCUUCGUUUUAGUUCUGUUUUGAGUGUGGUUUAUUGGGUUAGAAACUAGAGAGAAUAAGCUUCAAAUCCAUUACACGUUUGCUCAAUUUUGUUAACGUUUGGCAGGUCAAAAUGUGUCACAAAGUCUGAGUUUUUGAACUGAAAAACAGGGGAAAUUGUAGGAUUUUUGAGGAAGACGAUGAAUAGUAACCGGAAAUAAGCCCACUCGAAGCUCCGGCGCGUGGCCGCUGUUCCGGCAGCCUCCGACGCCAUAUUUUUUAGUCCAGUUGACUCGAUUUCUCGAUCCGAUUCCGAUGGUAUAUGUUUUUAGUUAAUCCGAUGUGGUGCAAAGUAUGGUUUGUUGUGGGGCCCACGAGACCCAAAUAGUAACUUUUGGAUAAUGGGUGUAGUUGGCCUUGUUUCGGUGUUGACAGGGCAUAGGACAGAGUUUUACAUUAUUUUGGACGAGAUUUGGCCGCUUUGGACCCUGGGUUGGUCUUAGGGGCAUUUUCAUCAUUUUCACGCAAAAUCUUUGAAAUGCAUAAGGUUGAGGUUGGACUUAGGUGAAAUAAAGUGAAGACUGCUCAAUAAUAAUUUGAAUUUGAAUUUGUUCAGGAAUUGGAUCAUAAGGGUAGAUUCGAUAACUCCGAGAAUCUCUUAAGGGUAAAUUUGGUAUUUUAGCUAGUUGGACAUGAGGUAGGGUUUCCUGAUUUCCCGAUGAUUGGGCUAUAUCACUUUUAAUCUUUGUGCUUAUAUAUGAAUAUUAUUGUUGCUUUACUUGGUGAAUAUUAUUAUUGAUGUUUCUCCAUGGAUAUUAUUUUUGAUGUUGGAAAUAUAAUUAUUCAUGUGAUUAAGCCUUAUAUAUAUUAUUGUUAUUAUUUGUAUUAUUAUUCUGCAGAGAUAAAUGGGGUUUGCAUUGCAUUACAUAUGCAUCAUAAAGACAAUGGUGUUUGAGGUGUGUGUGUGUGUGUGUCGUUUGAGGUAUAUUUGAAUAAUAAAAAUGUGGAAUAAAUUCAAGUAAUGGGAGCAGGGCCUAUAAUGAAAAGUGAAAGUUGAGAAAUUCGAGGUGAUGGGAGCAGGGCCUCUAAUGAAAAGUGAAAAUUGAGAAAUUCGUAAACAAAAGAAAACUGGGUUAAGAGACGGAGGGCGCUAGUUCAUAUUUUAGGGUAUUCGGAGCCACAAUGGUAAAAUGCAUGGUAUGGGACAUGCAGACUUGUUGCCCUAAGAUAUGAAUUAGUGGGAUUAGAAGGGAGUGAGUUCAUGGCAUUACUGCAUAUGCAAAUUUAUUUAUCUGGUAUGGUUGUAUAAUUUCUGUAUCUUGUGUUGUUUGAUGCGUGACACUUUGAUUAACUGUGAUAGUUGACCUUGAAGGGUUUGACGGUACUCUACUGGGCAUUAGAAUGCUCAUACCCUAAUAGAUUGUGCAGGAUUCAAGGCGAAGUUUGAGGAAGCGGGUUUCAACCGAGCUACUAGGUUUUUGUUGUCGAUUUGUGUAUUUAACUUUUGUAAGUAGUCAACGGUUUGAAAAUAUAUUAGUGUGUAAUUAACUACGAGCUACUGCGACUCUGAUUCUGUGUUGUUAAGUAAAUUUAUAUUUAUUUGUGGCUUUUUUUCUUAUCAUAUCAUGGUUGUAGGAUUUUAUUCUUAUGACUAUGGUAUGACUCACACCUUGAUUCGAGAAUAUUCCUUAUUUUCGAAUCGGGGCGUGACACUCAUCCCAAGGCCAAGGCAACCCGGAAAUGAUAUAGAUGUAUAUUUGGAACCACUUGUAGAAGAUUUGAAAGAGUUAUGUAUCAAGGGUAUAAGUGUUUAUGAGGCUUUCAACAAGUCCACAUUCGAUCUGAAAGUUGUAUUGAUGUGGACAAUAAACGACUUUCCAGCUUAUGGGAAUUUGUCCGGAUAUUCCACGAAGGGUGAGAAAGCAUGUCCAAUGUGUGGGAUUGACACAUGUUCAAAGUGGCUGACUCAUAGUAGAAGUGUGUGUACAUGAAUCAUAGAAGGUUUCUUGCACACAACGAUCCAUUUCGGGGAAAAGCAGGGUGGUUUGAUGGAACUAUAGAAUGUGGGCGAAAGCCUAGAACAUUAACCGGUUAAGAAAUUCUUCAAGUAGUGAAGAAUUUCAAUAAUGAUUGGGGAAAAGCAAAGAAAAAGAUCAGCACAAAAAGGAAGAGAGAGACAGAUAAAGAUUCUAUAUGGCCUUGGAAAAAGAAAUCAGUUUUCUUUUAGUUGCCUUAUUGGGAGGUUUGUCAUUUUACCUCUGAUUUUUAUUCAAUUUUAUUAGGACUUUAUACUUUCUUUGUGUUUCUGUGGAAGACUUAUUGCUAAAGUUGAUAUAUCAUUUCGUUGUGAUGUAGACAUUAUUAAUACGUCACAAUUUAGACGUAAUGCACAUCGAGAAAAAUGUUUGUGAGAGCAUUGUUAGCACUCUCUUGAAUAUGAAGGGAAAAACAAAGGACAACUUGAAAUCUCAUAAGGAUUUGAAAGAUAUGGGAAUCGGGAAAAAUCUGCAUCCAGAUGAUGAUGGGGCUAGUUGUAAAGCGGGAUCAUGUCACGGCAUUGUAUAGCUGAGCCUUCACACAUCCAUAUUAUAAUUUAUUUCUCAUUUCCAUCUAAAGUAAUAUGUAUGUUUUUCUUUUUCUUUUUUGUAGCAAAAGUUCAAUCUUGAUGAUUGCCACAAGAAAUAUACUUUUCGAAAGUUACGCAAACUUUGGAAGGAUUAUCGAUCCAAUUUAGUGAAAAUGGUGAUGAAGCAAGCUCAAGUGGUUGGCCUACCACGCACUGCUUCUCUUCUCAAACCGGACAAUGUAAAAACUAUGGACGAAUGGCACUCAUUUCUCAAAGAACAAAGUAGUCAAGAAACUAGAGUAAGUGUGUCUUUACUUUUUCAUCUUUAUUGUGUCUUAAUCCUUGGUGUUGGCUGCCAUUGAUGAUGUUGUAGAUAUGGAUUGAGUGUUUCACGAAUUUGAUUUGAGUGAUACAUCUUAUAUUUGGAUAUUUACCUAUGUUUGUUGGGUCAGAUUGAUUUAUAUUUUAGCGUUAAUUUGUUAUGUUCUCUCUUUGCGUAGGAAAAGUGUCAAAAGCAAAAGGAAAUGAGGGCAACACAAACUUUAGUGCAUAGAACGAGCCAUAAAAGCUUUGCCUGCAUAAAGGAUGAACUGGUAAAAAUGAUAUUAGUUUGAUAUCAAUUUGUAGUGUGAGUAUUGACUUCUUUUUUCUUUUUGCAGCGACAAAAAAGUGAGACACCUGAGGCAAUUUCAAGGACUGAUGUUUGGAUCUAUGGAUACGAAAAGAGAAAGAAGAGUGAGGAUAGUGACGUUGAGGAUCUAGAUUUAGUGGUAAAAACUGUUUGCUGCAUAUUUUUAGUGUUUAUCCUGUGAUUGAUAUUUAAGUUUUUAUUUUUGUGGUGGUAAAUUUUCAGAAAAAAGUGAAAAAGUACACAAAAGAACAAGGACAAUAGAAAUGUUCUAUUAAAGAUGAUGCUGUAGCAAAAGUACUCGGUCCUAAUCCACGAGGACGAGUAAGAGGAAUGGGGUUUGGGGCAACCGUUUCAAACAUUGAAAGUCAAGUUCGUGUUCGUGAUCAAUUCAAUAGAUUGGAAAAUGAGGUUAUAGAAUUGAAAAACCAAAUGACAGAUCUUCAUACUCAAAUAGCAACAUGGGAGAUUAACAUUGUAAGUCCUAUUAAUAUAACAGAUAUUCUUACUCAAAUACCAAAUGUUUGAGUUAUAAAUUUGUUAUUCAAUUAAUGUCUUCCUUAAUGUUAUAGGAGAAGGAAAACUUAAGUGUCCAACAUUCUGCUAAUGAGAGUGUACAAAGCAAACAAAAGGUAAAUAAUAAUGUUCAAAAUUCUGCUAAUGAGAUGGCACAAAGCAAACAAAAGGAAAACCCCACUGAGAAUGCAAAAUGUAAACUGUUAAAUUGGAUUGGGACAAUGAAGUUGUUGGAAUUGGGGAAUUUGCACCAACUGAUCCCAAUUCAUUAGUCCAUCAUGUGCCUCUUGGUCAUGAGUGCUGGAAAGUUUGGGUGAACGAUGUAAUGGAUGAUAAUAUGGCCUUGUAUCGACCAACACGUGAGUUCUUUCUUCUUCAUGAAGCAUUAGGAACUACAAUUGCAUGGCCGAUCAAGUACAUCAAAUUGUGUUAGCGUUUUGAGGUAAAUUCUUCAUUCUUCUUUUACAUGUAGAUGGUAUAGUUCUCAUUGUAUAAUAAUCAAGUCAUGACUGUGCAUAAUCAAUGUUAAAAGAGCAUAAUAUAUAUCAUUGUAUAUAUAUCAUGUUAUAUAUACGUUUUCUACUUACUGGGAUCCACCUUUGUUGUGAUUUUAAAAAAGAAAUGACUUUUUCUAUUUAUAUAUUUGAUAUCCUGCAAGUUUUUCUCAAAGGGUCAAAGAAUGCUCAUGAAUAUUGUCUACUACUAAAGGACAUUAUUUUAGCAUACACUACUACAAAAAAGCAAAAAGACGACGGUAAAUCACCGUCGUGUAUUCGGUUUUUCAAUGGUCGUGGAAUCCACCGUCAUCUUUUCCCUCAUAAACCACGACGCUAAAUCACCGUCGUUGUUAAAAUAUACAACGUCAUCAACAAAUACAAAACGACGUCUUUGUACUGCAAAAAGAUCUAAAAAAGCAGUCGAGGAUGAGAAUAGACGACCAACUCUCUAAAAAAACCGUCGUUAAAAAGAAAAAAUAUGACACAUAUUAAGAGAAUAAGGCCGCAAGAUAGACAUACAACGACGAAAAUAAAAAUACGACGCCGUUAAAUAUCAUUUUCACGACAAUAAAAAAUUUGACGUCUUUAAAUACAUUAGAAGACGACGUUAUUGAUACCUACUACGUCGCAUAUAUAAAAACAGCCGUCGUAAAAUUAAUUUUCCACUUCGAUUUUUCGAUAAAAGAUGACGUGGAAAUAGUUGUCAGUGUCAUUAUUUACGACGUAUGUAUUUAUAGAGUAGACGUUGAAAAACGAAACAACGUCGGUUACAAAUAUAUGAGAGUCGUAUUACAAAAUUUAUACGUCAUAUUUUCAGAAACAAACAACGACGAUAAAUAUUAGACGUUGUUAAAUAAAACAACGUCGGAAAACAAUAAAAACAGACGUGUUUAGUCUGCUAAAGUUCUAGAAAAUAGUCGAGGAUGAGAAUAGACGACCAACUCAAACAAAUCACCGUCGUUAAAAAGGAAAAAUAUGACACAUGUUAAAAGAACAAGGCCGCAAGAUAUACAUACAACGACGAGAACUAAAAUACUACGCCGUUAAAUACAAUUUACACGACAAGAAAAAAUAUGACGUCUUUAAAUACAUGAGAAGACGACGUUAUUGAAAUAUACUACGUCUCUUAUUUACAAACAACCGUCGUGAAAUAAAUUUUCCACUUCGAUUUUUCUAAAAAAGAUGACGUGGAAAUAGUUGUCAGUGUCAUUAUUUACGACGUAUGUAUUUAUACAGUUGACGUUGAAAUGCGAAACAACGUCGGUGGCAUUUAUAUAGUCGACGUUGUAUUUAUAUCUAUCAUCAUUACUCACGACGCACUUAAUAAUAUAGACGACGUUGAACUUCUAAACAACGUCGGUUCCAAAUAAAUGAGAGCCGUAUUACAGAACAUAUAGACGGCGUUGAUUAUGAUGAGAGCCGUAUUACAAAUAACGUCGUUUAAUUGUUAUUAGACGGCGGUUAUAAUGAAUUUUCGUCGGAAUUCAUUUCGUUCCUCUUCGUUUAUAAAAGAACUUGCGACGUGGAAAAUGUAUGAUGACGUCGUAUUUUUUAACGUUCAGAUUAUAUAUCUCGUUUUUUAGACGUCGGUAUUAUGGGAUUGGAGUCGUGUUAUUUUGAAUUACAUGGCGGUUCUUAAUCCUUCCCCGACGUGAUAUCCUGAAUAAUUGCUUCACAAUAGCGUCGUGGUUCUUCAUUGUUACGUUGCUUAAUCCUUCCCCGACGUGAUAUCCUGAAUAAUUGCUUCACAAUAGCGUCGUGGUUCUUCAUUGUUACGUUGCUUUAAGACGUCGGUAAAUAUGCUGAAUAACUGGUUCACAAUAACGUCGUGUUUUAUUUGAACGUAGAAAGUGAAGAAAUCACAUUACAAUAUAUUACAAAAUUAAUGUCAUACACUGCCAAUUACAUAAGCAUCAUUCAAUCCAUAUAUCUUCACACCCAUCUCGAAUAUUUUGACCGCCUAACUCACCCACCAGUUCAUCAAAUGUGUCAACAUUUGGCAUCCCUCUAGUAAAUGGCUCACACUCAAUUAUCACAUCACCUAAGACUUCAUCACCAAUAACAUCAUUAUAUUCUCUAUUAGGCAUUGAUAACACUACCGACCAACCACGAUGCAUCGGGUCGUCAACAAAAAAUAUUUGUUUGACUUGAGAAGCCAAAACAAAUUGGUCAUUCCUAUGUCCAAUUUUACUCAAAUCUACAAGGGUAAAUCCAAGUUCGUCGACUACAAGACCAGAACUAUCUAUCCAAUCACACCUAAAGACUGGGAUUGUAAACUUUUGGUAGUCAAGGUCCCAAAUUUCUUGAAUGACACCAUAGAAACCCAUAUUUGAGAGAAUUGGGUUUUUAUCCUUGGCACUAGCAACUUGCAUGGUAUGUGCAAGUAAAUAAACUCCACUAUUUUGAGUUGUCCGCACAUCAUCUUGUGCCUUGAUAUUGAAUUUAAUACCUUUAAUAAGAUAGCUCCUAUAUAAUGGCACUGACAUGUUUGGACCAGCUGCUAGCCACCUUAAAUUUUCUGAUACGCCAUGAUUGUCUUCCUCAAGUUCACUUUGAACCUGCAAAUUAAUCAUAUCUUAAUUCAAUCUAACAUAUAAAUAAGAAGAAAAUUAAAAGAGAAAUAUGUUAUUCAACAACAUAUACCUUGAAGCGUAGCCAUUGAAUGAAAGUGCUAUUGUGCUUAUCCUGCAGCCACUUUGUUCUCUUUCUAAAUUUUGGAUAAGCAAUCUUGAUGUGGAUCAUAUGUUGCCUACAUGACACGAAAAAUUCAAGCAUUACGGUCCCAAAUAUAGAAGAUAAACAUAAGAAAUAAUUUAAAAUGGAAACUUAAAGAAUAAAGCUCAUACGUACUCGAUAUAAGGUAGGACUUCCUCCGUAUUCUCCAAGACAUAUAGAUGUGCUUGAUUCAACAGGUCCUGAUCAACUACGCUCACUGUGCAACCUGAUAAUGGCUUUGAAAGUCCCAUCUUUUGGCUUGAAGGCACUCCAACUGUACUAACAUCAGAUAAAUGCUGAGUACAAAACUCUACCGCUUCUUCAGCUAUAUACCGCUCAGCAAUGCAACCUUCGGGACGAGUACGAUUCUGAACAUACCCCUUCAGCACUUUCAUAUAUCUUUCAAACGGAUACAUCCACCUAAAAUAUACUAGCCCAGAUAGACGAACUUCUCUGACAAGAUGUACUACUAGAUGAACCAUGAUAUCAAAGAAUGAAGGGGGAAAGUACUUCUCAAGCAAACACAGAGUAACUACUACAUCUUCUUCCAACUUAUCUAGCUUGGAAACAUCAACAGUCUUUGCACAUAUAGCAUUGAAGAAGAAGCACAAACGAGUUAUUGCAUACCUUGUAGGCUUCUCCAAAACAGAACGAAUUGCCACAGGGAGCAAUUGUUGCAUUAAGGUAUGACAAUCAUGUGAUUUAAGGCCAAGAAGUCUUGAAUCUUGUAAAGAUACAAGAUUUUUAAUAUUUGAAGAAUAACCUUCAGGGACCUUCAUACCAUAGAAAGAAUUGCAAACCUCUCUCUUCUCUGCUCUUGACAAAUUCUAAGGCCCAGGAGGCAGACGAGUACGUCUUUCUCCAUACUCGGGUUGCAAAUCAGUUUUGACCCCCAUGUUCAAUAAAUCUAAUCGAGCAGCAAUCCCAUCUUUAUUUUUUCCAGGGAUCUCCAGCAAUGUACCAAUGAUACUAUCGCAAACAUUCUUCUCAAUGUGCAUAACAUCUAGGGCAUGCCUCACAGGAAGGUAUUUCCAAUACUCGAGAUCAAAGAAUAUUGAUUUCUUCUUCCAACAAACUCUGUCACCAUUUUCAACCAUAUGCAGCACUUCUUCUCCGGUUAAUGGCUCGGGAGGUAUGCCAUAUUCAGGUUUCCCAUUAAAAGCUGCACGUUGCCUCCUAUAUGGAUGAUUGAUUGGUAACCAUUUUCUAUGCCCAAUGUAACAAAUUUUGUGGCCAUUUUUCAACCUGUGACUAGGUGUAUCAUCGCCGCAUAUUGGACAAGCUUUAUAUCCUUUAACAACACAACCAGAUAAGUUUCCAUAUGCGGGGAAAUCAUUAAUUGUCCACAUUAAUGCAGCUCUGAGUGUAAAGUAUUCUCCAUUAUGUGCAUCAUACACUCCUCUAAUCCCAACCCACAAGGAUUUUAAAUCAUCAAUCAAAGGCUCCAAGUAGACGUCUAUAUCAUUUCCGGGUUGUUUAGGACCGGAAAUCAAUAAGGUUAACAUCAUGAACUUUCGUUUCAUGCACAGCCAUGGAGGGAGAUUAUAUGUAACUAAGAUAACCGGCCAACAACUAUAUCUGCUACUUAGAGAACUGUGGGGAUUGAAUCCAUCAGAUGAAAGAGCCAAUCUCAAGUUUCUCAGCUCAUUACCAAACUCAGGCCAUUUAUCAUCAAGAAGUUUCCAAGACGGGGAAUCCGCCGGAUGAGACAUCUGACCGUCAAUUGAUUUUCUAGCAGCAUGCCACCAAGUCAAACUCUUAGCUGUCUCAUGUGAUUGAAACAUCCUUUUAAACCUUGGAAUUGGGGGAAAAUACCACACCACCUUCGCUGGCACACCCUCUUUCAAGAUUGAAUCUUUGCCUUCCUUCCACCUUGAGAUACCACAAGUAGGACAAUUAGUUGAAUCCUCAUACUCCUUCCUAUACAAGAUGCAAUCAUUGGGGCAUGCGUGCAUUUUCUCAUAACUCAGCCCCAAUGCACACAAAGUCUUUUUAGCCUCAUACAUGGAGGUUGGUAUUGUAUUUCCUUCUGGAAGCAAAUCGCCUUGAAGUAUUAAUAAUUCUGUAAAACAGACAUCACUCAUCCCAUGUUUUGCCUUCAAAUUAUACAACUUCACUAAUGCCGAUAACUUCGUGUACUUUCUACAACCAGGGUACACUGGUUGAUCUCCAUCCCCAAUCACAUUGGCAAACUCAUACGGAUCCGAACCAAAAUCACCAAAAUCAUUAUCAUCCAUAUCAAUUUCUUCAGACACAAAACUGUACCUACUAUGGCCAUCAUCUUCUUCAACAUUUCUACUAGCAUUAGUAGUUGCUUCCCAAGGUUCUCCGUGAAAUGUCCAAUUCUUAUAGCUUUGGUCAAUUCCAUUAAAGUAUAAGUGAUCCCUUAUAAUUCCAACCCCAAACAACUUCAAAUUAACACAUUUAACACAUGGACAACGGAUAUGUGUUGUAGUUAGAAGAUUUUCUACAGCAAAGUUCAAAAAUGCUUCCACCCCAAAUUCAUAUGCCUUCGAUCUUCUAUCCGAGUGCAUCCAUGACUUAUCCAUCUCCGACACUAUAACCUAUUAUCUAUAAUAAAGUGAAAAUACAGGCAAUGACCAUCACUAUAGCAGAUUAUACAAUGAUCUAAUCGCAAGUAAUACACAACAGAGACGACGGGUUUUAAACAAAAACAUACGUAUUUGGCAUAUAUAGACGACGGAUUUUCAACAGACGUCGUCUAUUAUAAGUAAUACAAACGACGGUUUAUGAAAAAACCGUCGUGUAUAAGUAAUACAACGACGGUAGUUUAAAAAAACCGUCGUGUAAUCGUCGUCGUAUGCCUUAAAAUUCGUCGUGUCUCAGUUUAUUUUCAAGAACACAAAACCCAUUAAGAACACAACAUAUAUAUGAAACCAAGCAAGAAACCAACAUAUACAUGAAACCAAGCAUGAAAACAAUAAAUCCAUUCCCAAUUGAACAUAACAUAGGGUGAUUAAAAGAUACGACAAAAUUAAAUCCAUUCCCAAUUCAACAUAACAGAUUAUGUAAUCCAUGAACCCAUUAAACAGAAAAUCCAUGAACCCAUACCUAUAAGCACAUUAUUAACAGAUCGCAAAGCAUACACAUGAACCCCUUUAACAAAACAACCUAAUAUCAUUCAAUGAAUUUACAAGGGGAAGAUAGGGUUUGUACUUACAGGUUGGACGAGCUCACAGAUUCGACGGAGCCUGGAGAGUGCAACUUUUAAUUAGAGCAGAAGUGAGAGAGCGAAAUGUUAUGUCGCGCGAAAUCUGAAAAUUUUAGGUUUCAGGGUUCGAAGUAUAAGAAUAAGAGCCAAAUCUAAAAAAAUUUAGGUCGCGCGAAAAUUUUUAGAGCUCGCGCGUUUUAAAACGUCGAAAGAAAAACCAAGGCGAAAGUUCUACAAGUACCGACGUAAAUUUAAUAUUCCACGACGGAAACUUCAUUUUUCGGAUUAAGAACGUAAGGCCGUUCAUUUUGAAGCUUCAUUUUUCGGAUUAAUUUUAAAUUUAUUUUGAAUUUUUUAUAUAACGACGACUGAAAAACCACGUCGGUGUUAAGAAAUUAAAGACGUUGUAAAUUAUAUAAACCGACUUACAUAUUAAAAUGACGUCGUUUAAAGCGUAAACCAUGUCGUAUGUUUUUCUGUACGACGUAAAAUAUGUAUUCCACGACGCAACCACCGUCGUUAAAAAUUAAUACCCUAAACCCAUAAAACUAAAUUAUACAAUUUAAAAAAUUAAGUUUAUAAAAGGUUUUAUGGUUUUAAAGCCUAACAUAUACCCUAGACUACCCAAAAAUUAUACUUUAAAAAUAAACCCCAAUAAAUAACAACCCUAAUCUCUAAACCCUAGACUCUAAACCCUAAACCAUAAAACUAGAAGUGAUUUUAUGACUCAUCAAAACAAUUUUGUUUUGGAUGGUCAUUUUAAAUUUUUGUUAUUCAAAAUGAAUUUUUUCAAGGUUUAUGUGGAAGAAAAUAUAUCAAUGACUUCAUAGGAGUUGACUUUUCAAUUUUCUGAUUUAUUUUAAAUUUAUUUUGAAUAUUUUGAUAUAAAAAUAAUAAAAUAUUCUUACCACAACAACAAACCACGUCGGUGUUAAUAAAUUGUAGACGUUGUAAAUUGUAAUAGACUACUAAGUCGUUAAAAUGACGUCGUUAAAAUGAGAAACCAUGGCGGCUAUUUAACUAUACGACGUAAAAUAUAUAUUCCACGACUUAACCGCUGUCGUUACAUAAACGUCGUCGAUGAUACCCUGAACCCUUAAGAAAUUGAAGAUGUUGUAAACCAUAAACGACUCAAUUGUUCAAAGAACGUCGUCUAACUAUAUUUUUACGUCGUAUUUGUUUAAAACACGAAACAACAAAAUACGACGGUUUUUGACUUUAUUAGGUCGUUGGAAAAGUAUUACACGUCGGUUAAGCAAUUUGUAUGUUUGUUUUUUUUUUUAAUUUAAGAAAACCUCAACAAAUUUUUACAUUACAUAUUAUAGAGAAAAUUUGUACAUUAUACAUAAAUAUCAAGUGUUCAAUAAUUGCCCUGUUUAAUAAUUUGGAAAACAAACUCUGCCCAUUCAUUCCGGACUUCAUCAAUGGCUUCUUGGGGGUAUGAAGCUUCCUGAUUUCCCUUGGCAUACUGCAUAAACAAUGACUAUUAGGGUUUAUAAAUAAAAAGAAAUUCAAUCACAGACGACGAUAUUUUUCAUAACCGACGUAGUAUAUCCAUUCAACGACGUUAAUUUUACAUGAUCGUCGUUGAUAAUACAAAAAACGACGUGAAAUGUAUGAAGGUAAUUUCUUCUUACCUUAUUCUCAAACCCCAAGGAAGGAUCCAUGAUGAUGUCCCUCAUGAAGCGCAUCACAUAGUACCCGCAUUCGACAUUGCUGGGUUGCUUUGGUGUGCCUGAGAGAGUUUUUCAAAUUACAUUUUUACGUCCUGCUCGGGCUAUGUGGGUAUUAUAUAUUUUUAAAGCACUGUUCACGAUGUUUUUCGCCUCUUCGUCGACCACACGAUGACCUGGCAGAGGAUCCAGAAAAUAGACGGUCUCCUUCUUUGCUCUUACAAUCAGCAAGAUCCAAUGACGGCUGCACAAAAUUAAUAUAAAAACGACGGUUAUUUACAAAAACGACGUAUUAUAGUAUUUCACACGACGAAAUAAAGUAGAUAACGACGACAUUAUAUAUUUAUCACGACGAUAAAUAAAUACCGACGUGGUUAGUAGUUUCAAACGACUAAAUAAAAUAAAACACCGACGUGGUUAGUUUAUAAGCUGUCAUUUAUUGAAAAUCAUAAAAACAAAAUCCUAAGGAGACUAACCCUGGAUUGUAAGGCAUCAUGAAAAUCUGUUCACCGUCUGUCUUCUGAAGUCGAGCUGCUACCAGUCGUGAUCUUUCAGUUAUUGUGCCAGAGUUGGCACUAACUGUAGCAGGGUCGAUAAAGCCAACCAUGCUGCACAUAUUGGCUUGUUUCAAAACAUCGUGUAAGUACCUAAAUACAUAAAAUAAUAUAAACAAGUCAGCACAAACAAACACGACGGUUAUGUAUAAAAAAACGACGUAUUAUAAUAUUUCACACGACGUACUGAAAUAGAUGAGGACGUUAUAAUAUAUUUAUCACGACGGUAGUUAGUUAAGACGACGUGGUUAGUUAGUUAAGACGACGCAAUAUAUAAACCAACGAGGUAUUAUUUUAGAAGUACAAACCUCAUAUAUACAGCCAAUACAGUAGCUCCAAUUUCUUCCAUGCCUGCAAAUUGUGUAAUAUCUUCAGGCAGGAGGAAGGUAUCGCGCUCACCACCAAACACCUCCUUAUCAAUUGUAAAUUGGAGUGUCUUAUCCUCAGGCAGGAGUGUCGUUUCCACAAAACGACAAAGGGUUUUUAAAGAAGAUGGCGCCUCCAUAUUUGAAUAAUCACCAACUUCAAUAACCUGUUGAAAGAAAUAAAAAAAAUGACGUGGUAAUUCAAUAAAGACGACGGUUUAAGGAAUAAAACGUCGUCUUAAAAGUAUUUAAACGACGGUGAAAAAACUGUCGUGGUAAUUCAAUAAAGACGACGGUUUUAUGAAUAAAGCGUCGUCUGAAACCAUUUAAACGACGGUGCAAAAACCGUCGUUUAAAUAUUUUAUUACGUCUUAAAAAAAUUCCGCCGUCUAAGUUGUAAACAAACGACGGAUUAAAUAAAAAUAUCGACGUCUGAAAUUUUGAAAAACAAAUAAAAAAGGCAAAGUUAUGUGAACAUACCUUGUCGUCAUGCUUUUCUUCAUCUUCUUUCUCCUUUUCUUCUUCCUUUUCUUCAUCUCUUUUUUCUUCUUCCUUCUCUUCAUCUGGCUGAUGUUUCCCCAUUUUGGCAGUAUCAUCCUCCAAAUGUAGGGAUCUCACAUCACCUCCAGAGCAGCUAGCUUUGUCAGACAUUGGAUUUUUGGGGCUUUGGCUAAUUCUUGGUUUAAGCAUGCUUGGAUCAAAAUUGGGAAUUAAUUGGGAAAGCUGACUCAGGAAAUGCUCCCUCUCAGCCUCUACCAAUUGUUUUGUCCUAGCCUCCAUCCUUAAGGCCUCUUCCCUUGCCUUAGCCUCCAUCUUUUUAGUCUCUUCUUGAAGGAGAACUCUUAAACUGUCCUUCAAACGGUCGUCAAAGCUCACCCUCUGUGGUUUGGGCAAAUUGAAAUAUUGCCUUGGGGAAACACCAGCACCAACUCCCCUCACUCUGCCUGGAUGCUCGGGGCCCAAAGCCAUGGUCAGCACAUCAUUGCUGCCAUCUACUCUGACUUUGCCUUCCGAGACUUGUUUAUGCAAUUCAUCCUAAAACAAAGAUAAACAAAAAAACACACGACGGUUAUUUAUGUACAAACGACGUAUUAUAUAAUUUCACACGACGCAAUAACGUAUAAACCGACGUUAUUAUAACUUAUCACGACGGUAGUUAUACCGAUGUGGUUAUUUAUUUAAAACGACGAAAUGAAUAAACAACCGACGUCUUAUGCUAUAAUUAAAGAAAACAGAGUAGUGAUUCCUAUUUAGACCGUUAACGACGUUUUUAAAAAAGUUUCGACGUGGUAAUAUCAUUCAAACGACGCGAAAAUGAACCACCGACGUCUUAUACUAUAAUUACAGAAAAUUAGUAGUGAUUCCUAUUUAGACCUUUAACGACGUUUUUAAAAACUUUUCGACGUGGUAAUAUCAUUCACACGACGAAAAAUAUAACAUACGACGUAAUAAGAAUAAUUCACAGUUUAAUAAAAAUUUAAAACAGAGUGAUAGUAGGCUUACAAUUAAUUUUGCUUUCUCUGCCACCUUUGGAUCAGGGAUGUUACCAUGUUUGUCCUGUCUAGCUCUCUUCCAUAAGGUAGAUCGAUCAAUUUCUACCCCAGGCAUGGUUUCCUCCAAUUGAUCCUCCAAUCCAGCAUAUCCUUUUCGAGACAAUCGAUGAUUGUACUCGAGUUUCUCCCUAAUCUGUGCAUGUUGAGAAUGCACAGACUCAAAAUCUUUGGAUAGCCUUGAAGCUACAAAGGCAUCCCAUUGUGCUUUCUCUAUGAAUUUAUAUGUUUCAGGGGGUUGGCUUAAUUUCUCCCUGUCAUUGGUGUAUGGAAAGAUAUAAUGCCUCGUUAGUGUAGACUUGAAAUCCUUCCAUUUCUUGGAAGCAGAAGCUAAAACAGAGGUCUUGCCCCCUUGGCCUACGACAAAAGCCAUGUCAACUGCUUCCCAAAUCUGCUCCUUUAUAUCCUUGGGGAUUUGGGACCAUUUCUUGUCCACAAGUGGGAUCCUGGAGCGUGCCAACACACCAAUAUACGACUGCAUCUCAAUAUGUGCUUGGCCAACACCUUUCCCCCUUUUAUUGUACUCAACAAUUGGCCUCAGUUUCUGAAGCUUUCUCUUCACAACACGAGGCAUUGUGCUCAUACCUCGACCAAUCUUUGAAUCAUCAGAGAUUGUUGUCUGGCUGGUUGGUUCUGUCUCAGCAGAUGAUGAAGCAAACUUCAUCUUCUUCGAAGACUUUAUCUCCUUCGAAGACUUGUCUUGAGGAGCUACCAUUCCAAGCUUCUUGGAGCCAGAAUCCUUAGUUUGUUGUUGAGAAACCAUUCUAACAGACAAAACUGCAAGUGAAAAUAUUUCAGGAAAACAUUAAGAACACAAACGACGGUAUUAAAAAAUACGACGUAUGAUAUGAUUUUAGACGACGCAAUGAAAUAAUCUCAGACGUAAUAAAUGUUUAAAACCAUUAUUUAUAUAACGUCGUGGUAUAUAUGUUCACACGACGUCAAUAGUAAUACACCGUCGUGGUAAACUAUUAUUUAUAUAACGUCGUGGUAUUUAUGUUCAUACGACGUCAAUAGUAAUACACCGUCGUGGUAUUAACAUUCACACGACGUAAAACAAUAAGAUAUUUUGUCGUCUAUAUUAGAUACCAACCCUAGUUUCUUUUUCUUUAUAUUUUAUCAAAUAAGGGAAAAACAAAAACCAUUGUUCAGAGAAAUCAAACCUGCAAUUAAACAAGCAUAUAAAAAAAGACUAUUAUUUUAAAAACAACUUUGUCAAUUUUCAGACGACGCUAGAACAACUGACGAACCGUCGUGGUCUACCGUCGUCUUAUUUAGUUGAGGUAGUUGUCUUCAAAGUUGGAAACUUUCCCUCUUUGUCUGUAUAUUUAUACCAACCCUAGUUUCUUUUUCUUUAUAUUUUAUCAAAUAAGGGAAAAACAAAAACCAUUGUUCAGAGAAAUCAAACCUGCAAUUAAACAAGCAUAUAAAAAAAGACUAUUAUUUUAAAAACAACUUUGUCAAUUUUCAGACGACGCUAGAACAACUGACGAACCGUCGUGGUCUACCGUCGUCUUAUUUAGUUGAGGUAGUUGUCUUCAAAGUUGGAAACUUUCCCUCUUUGUCUGUAUAUUUUAUCAAACUUGGAAAGAAGUAAAAUGAUUUUGGCCAGAAAAAAGGUAAAAAGAUUUUUCAAACAAAAAACGUAUGAGCAUGCAAAACAGUAACCAAAAUAGUGAAAAUGAAAGCUUACCUUUUGCGUGCAAUGAAAGCAAGAGGAAGAUGAUCGAUGUUUAAGUUCAGAGACGACGAAGAAGACGAGAGGAAGACGAUGAGAAACUCUGACAAUGCUCUGACAAGGAAAAAAGACGAAAAGGUUUCUUUGGGAGAUUGAAAUUUUUAAUCGGGUUUGGAAACAGUGCAUGUGUAAGUCGAAAAGUUGCUUACAUAUAAAACCAUUUCAAAAAAAUAAUACGGCGGUUACAUUUAACUACGUCGUUUUUAACUAACACGACGCAAUAUUUUUCGUUCGACGUGGACUCAUUUCAUUUAACGUCGUUAGGUUUAAUAUAACCGACGUGGAUUUUAAUUUUUAAAUUAUGAAUAGAAUUUUUUUUCCCGUGACCUUUCAGUUUAUUUUUCAAUUACAGUGCGUUAUAAAUAGAGUUUUUUUUUCGGAGGAAAUUUAAAACGAAGGAAAUUAAUAUUCUGCAAUAUGUAAAGUUUCUUUUUUGGAUGACAGAUUUAAAUAAAAUAAGAAUAUAAAAACAACGAAUGUGUAAGUCAAGUAGACGAAAAGUUGCUUACAUAUAAAACCAUUUCAAAAAAAUAAUACGGCGGUUACAUAUAACUACGACGUAUAAAGUACAAAAUACGACGGUAAAUUUAACUUCGGACGUGGUAAAUAAAUACAACAGUAGUGUUGUAGGUACCGUCAUAGUAAACUCAAAAAUUAAAGUACAUAAGUAAUAACUCGCGUCAUGGUAGAUUAUUUAAGACGUCGUGAUUAUUAAUUUACCGACGUGGAGUUCUGUAAUAUACGUCAGUAAUACCGACGUUGAUGUUACAAUUUAAACGGCGGUUUUUUGGUAAGGACCGCCGUUGGUUUUAAAAAUUUAUUCUAUAAAUUUGUCGCUUUCAUUCAUUUUCGCGGUUUACAUUUAGGGUUCCAAGUUCUUCCUCUCUCAGAGACACUGUCUCUCACAUCUCAAAGACAAUAAUUUGGAGGUCUUUCUCAAAGAGAAAUUGAGCUUACAUUUAGGCUAGUUGACAAGAAGAAGCUUGUCAACUAUCCUUCUCACUUCCUUGAUCAAGCCUGAUAGGACACUUAGUGCUUCUGAAUACUCCUUGCUUUCCAUCAAAAGAGAUGCAAGCCUGGCCUCCACUCGCUGUCGAAGGAAAGUUCGCUUCUCAGAGAAAUCUGAAGAUCAGAUGUGCCUGAUCCUCUGCUUGAUUUUUUUGACUAAAAAGAUCCGUCAGAUUUGUGAUAGCCUCUUCCUUUAUCCGUAGUUGCUGGGAGAUAUGAUGAAGACAUUGUCAAUGCUUUGAACUAUACAAGUCCUGCAGAAAGAUAAAGGACCAAACUGAAUCAGUAGUUGCUGGGAGAUAUGAUGAAGACAUUGUCAAUGCUUUUCUCGUCGUCUAUAUUAAGGUAAGAUGGCGGUAGAUUUAUAAUUACCGACGUAGAUUAUUUUGUUAAACGUCGUUAAGUGUACUACAACCGACGUGGAUUUUAUUUUUAAAUUAUAAAUAGAGUUUUUUUUCCAGAAUUCUUUCAGUUUUAGUUUUCAAUUACAAAGCGUGAUAAAUAGAUUUUUCUUUCCCGAGGAAAUUUAAAAUGAGGGAAAUUAAUGUUCUAGAAUUUGUAAACUAACACGAUGCAAUAUUACUAACCCGAGGAAAUUAUAAAUAGAUUUUGCUUUCCGAAGAAAUUUUAAAUUAAUUCAGUUUGAAACAAAACGACAGUUUUUUGUUAUGCCGUCGUUUUUAACUAACACGACAGAUUUAAAUAAAAUAAGAAUAUAAAAACAACGACUGUUUUUUUACUACUGUCGUCGUUUUUCGUCGUCUUAAGUAAGACUAAGACGACGUAAUAUAUUUGUUGAGCGAUGUUGAUUUGUUUUUAAACGUCGUUAGGUAUAAUAUAACCGUCGUUGAAAAUUGUCUCUCUGAUUGCAAAUUUGCAACGACGUUGAUCAACUUCCAAAAAAUUGUCUCUCUGAUUGCAAAUCUGUGUCAUCUGUUAAGAUUAUUUUGUAUUUUAAAGCCGUGGAUUUGUUUGUAAUUAUACGGCGUCUUAUACGAAAACCUCGUCGUGUUAUUUUAUGAGUAAAAACGGCGGCUUUUAUUGAAAUCGUCGUCUUUACUUUCUACGUCGGUCUAUUCAUAACUUCUGCCGUUCUUUGUUUGCUUUGAUUUUACACUGCGGAAAUCUGUUUCAAAUAGACGUCGGUUGUUUAAUUAGGUACGUCGUUGUUUUUGAACAGCCAUUUGAAUCUCCAUUUUUUAGUUGUCUAAGGUGGUAUUACACGACGGUGUUUUUAGAACCGUCGUCUUUUUAAAAACCACGACGGUUUUCACUUAGACCGUCGUUGUUUUCUGGUCGUCUUUUUCACUUUUUGUAGUAGUGAUAGGUUCAUGUUAGAGACUUAUUUUUGUGGUUAUCUUCACUAGUGAAUGGAUUCGAGGCUGUGAAAAUGUUUGGGAAUGUUUGGCAGCACUCUUAUGUGUUUCUUAUGUACUCUUAAGAGUUCGUAUUUUGAAUUGAUUAUGAUGGUGAUUUCAAUGAUUAGUUUUUUUAUAUCUCGUAUAUUUAUCUGAACUGAAAUGUGUUUCUUUGUUAAACUCAAAUGCUAGGGUUAAUAAUGAAGAAAUGUAUUGUCAAAUUGAAUUGGAAUAAUCAGGAAAUUUGAUUAUAUUUAUACAAAUAAAUAAAUAAACCCACACAGUCAAGACGUGCAAAACGAGCCAUUAGUAAGUAUGAAAUUAAAGCUUUUAUGGCACGCUUAAGGAGCCGUGUAAUGUACACCAAUUAAGGCGUGAACAAUGUGCCGUAAAUAUGUAUCAAAUAAAGCUUUUAUGGUCCACCAAAAGAGCCAUGUAAUGUAUACCAAUUAAGGCGUGCAAAAUGCGCAGUAAAUAGUUGUCCAAACCUGAUACGAGAACUCAAUCAUGGCGCGCCUUAUUAACGCUUGGGCAAGCGGAUGCACGCUGUAAAAAGAAAAGGCUUUUUAAGGCUUGGCCUUUCGUGGCACGCAGCCACAAGCCGUGAAUUGUCAUUUACGGUGCGCAACGCACGCCGUAAAUACUCGAUUUUCUUGUAGUGUAUAAAGAAAGAGAAGAUAAAGACAGAAGAACAGUAAACAAUAGUAGACUUACUUUGAAUAUGUCUGAGCUUUUCCAGAAUUCCUCUUAGCCAUACUGCUUGACAAGCACAAGAAGCUGUUGUAAUGAAUUCAUCUUCGGUGGUGGAUAAAGUCACCAAUGGCUGCUUCCUUAAAGACCACGACAUAUUCCCUAAACUCAUUUUAAAAACAUAACUUGAUGUGCUCUUCUUAUCCUCUAAAUCCCCAGCAUAGUCGCUAUCCCUGUAGGCUAUUAGUUCCUCAUCUUCUCCAUUUUUGUAGAACACACCAUAGUAUGUUGUACCUUUCAAAUACCUUAAGACUCUUUUAGUAGCCUGCAAGUGAAGCUCAGUAGGAUUUGCCAUGUACCCAUUGAUAAGACUCACUGCAAACAGCACAUCUGGCCGAGUAGCAGUUAAGUACAUUACACUUCCUACAACUUGUUUGUAAAAGGUGCUGUCAACCUUCACUCCAUCUUCAUCUCUUGAAAGCUUACAACCAGGAACUGGGAUUAUGGACUGGAUUGCUUCUAUCCAUUUCAAACCUCUUCAAUACCUCCAGUGCAUACUUCUUUUGAUUAAUAAAUAUUCCAUCUGCCCUUUGCAUCACCUCAAUACCAAGAAAAAAUCUCAUCUUCCCAAGGUUAGUCAUGUCAAAUAACUCUUAUGUCACUCACUUAGAGUGACAUGAAAUAACUCUUAUGUCACUGUCGGACAAUGACACAAGAGUUGUUUAAUGUCACUCUAAGUGAGUGACAUAAGAGUUAUUUCAUGUCACUGUCGGACAGUAACUGGACCGGUUUGUCCAAUUUUGGAGACACUGAACCAUUUUGUCCUCAUGCCCUCCUAUUUGUCCUUAUGUGAUAAAGCCCUUUUUUAAUAUAGGUGAUCAUCAUUAGCGCCCCUAUGCUCCCACCUUUAAUUUUUUGGUAGAGAGUAAAAUGAAAGCUUAGAUGUUAACACAUUUGAAGUUUUCUAGAAAAGAGAGUAAGCUUUAACUCUCGUUCUCCUCUCUCAUCUCUUCUUCUCUUUCUCUUCCUAUAUUUUCUUCUUAUCCUCUCUACAUCUCUAGGUUCGAUUAGUGAACCCAUGUUAAUGGUGGUUCGAUGGUUGUGGUUGUGGUGGUUGAUAGAUUCAUCGAUCAAAUUUGGAAGUAAGAGUAAGGGCACACUGCCUUAACCAACUGGCUUAACCCAACAAAAUUUUUAACACUAAAGCUUAUGCUUAUUGGACGGAUCUAAUUUUUAAUUUCCAAUCUUUUUUUAGGGUCACCGUUAUUUAUCAUGGCCAAUACUACUACAUUAUUAUAUGCCUAAGCCCUAAUGUUGUAUAUCUUCCACACGUAUGCCAUGUGAUCAACGUGAUGAUUAUUAACAUUGUAGAAGAGAUAAUUACUAAUUAUAAUAUGGAGAUUGAUGGGGAAGUAGGAAUUUAUAAGUUAUAGUACAAAAUGAAGAUGGUUUUAUUGUUGGAAGUAUGAUACAGAUUUUGUGUUCUUGAGAUGUUGGGGAUUUUGAUUUUGUUAUUAAAUUUGGUGAAAUUUAGUGAAUUGGAUGAACUAUAAGGAAGAUUUUUUGAGAUUUUGCUGUGUAAUUGAUAUUAGGAUUGAAAUUGGAAGAGGAAAGCAUGGAAUUUGGCUGGGAAUUCACUGAAUUCGCACCAGGGACCUGUUUGCAAAGUAUUUUGCAGUUUUUGGGGCAGUUUUAUAAUUUCUUGAAGUGUAAGCAUCAAAAGCUUGGGGACAUAUUUCUAAUUUUAAAAAAUGUUGAGACAUUAAGGUAAGUUCGGUAAAGCAAAUGCCCUUAAUGGAGUUGGAAUCAAUGGCGAACGCACAUUGGGACAAGACGGGUCGCACGACCCCUUGGGAUGCCGGAAAUACAGCUGUGGACUCCAUGAGCGACUCCUUGGACAGCAGCAAAGCGACCAUUUGUUUGCACACAAGGUGCUCGGUGAAAGUCCCCUAUGGGUAAUGGAGAGAAAGAAAGUGAUGGGGAGGGAGAGAAGAGAAGAAAAUAUGAGAGAGAAGAAGAAGAAAGAAAGAAAGGGAAAAAACAAGAAAAAAGAGUGAAGAUAGAUGGGGAUGGAGUGGUGGGGGAGGCUGGGAAGAAAGAACCAGAGAGGAAGAAGAAGGAAAAUAAUAAAGAGAGAGAGAGAGAGAGAGAGAGAGAGAGAGAGAGAGAGAGAGAGAGAGAGAGAGAAUAAAAAAAGAAGGGGAAAUAUUAAAUAAAAGGAAAGAAAGAGAGAAUCUGAAAAAAAAAAAAAAAAAAAAAACACCAAACGGAUGAGAAAUAUGGAACCGAUGUCGUGUCAAAUAGAAACUGUAUGAUAUUGUAUCAUACCAUUUAUUAUGCAACACCGAACAACAUGGUAUGAGAUUGGCACGAUUUGGGUUCGGUAUCUGUUUUUCUGUUUUGAUGCCUAGCAUUAUCUGGCCAAACGACGUCGUUUGGUACAUGGCUCAUUCCAUUUUUUUUUUUAAUUGAACUAACCUAAAAACUAUGUUAUUUUGAGCCAGGCUUUAAAAAAAAAUUCUAUACUUUUACACUAAGACCCCUUGCCCCGAGAAUCCUGGAUCCGCCACUGGUUGGAAUAGAGUUAAAGCGGAACAUAUGGAAACGUAGAUAUAAAGAAAUUGGACAGAAUUUAGUUACUUAUGUACGGGACAAAUGGUAACACUUUUUGUUGUUGUACUAGGGACUCCAGUUACCGUGAUACUUAUGAUUGACCGUGGCGUUAGUGAGGUAUAUCUUACACUUGCAUUGAAAUCGAGGUAGGUAGUAUAUUGAAAAGGAUCUUUUAUGUAGUUGAGUCACUCAAAAAAUAAGUUCCUAAUAAUUUAUUCACUCAAAAAAGAUAAUCAAACAUUACAGAAACUUGGAUGAUACAAUUAUUCUUAAUAAAAUCAAAGUCUCAAUAUAACUAUAUAAACUGAGAUCCAUGAAAGAGAAAGUAAAUUUCAAUAUUUAUUUACAAGGAGGCAUAUAAGCAGGUGCUGGGAGCAUGCUGGUUUCAGUGGUGUUUCCAUUUGUCACAAUGAGUACAGUGGCCAUUCCCCAGCUGGCGUGCCUUUCCAAAUGACAGUGCAUAAACCAUACUCCUGAAAAUAAUCAUCAAAUAAUUCAUUUCAAUAGUUAGUUAACUUAUCUCCAUGGUUGCUCUUAAUUAAUUUGCCUAAUUACAUACAUCGUACAUGUGGCAUGUGAGAUGUACAUUAUUAUUAUUAUUAUUUGUCAGAAUUUGAAAAGAAGAGGAGAGCGGUGUCAUUGGGGUUUGAACCUGACACCAUUUAUUUGCAAACAAAUACUCUUACCACUGAGCUAUGAACCCAAUGCCGUGACAAGUACAUUAAUUAGGUGGCUAUAGAAGUAGAACUUACCAGGAUUAUCAGCCUUAAAUCUGACGGUUGCCCAUCCAUUCUUUGGUACACCAAUGGUGUUUACUUCAGGUGGAUCAACCAAAUUGUAGGUCUUAGGGGCCUGAUUAGGGUCGAAAUUCCCAGAACCAAUUCCAACCAAAUAGAAGUUGAAACCAUGAAGAUGCAUCGGAUGGUUCUCAGCGGCAAUCAUGUUGGUCCCUUGAUAGAUUAUCUCAACUUCUUCACCAUAUUUAAUCAUCCUCACCUUCGUUCCAAAGUAAGGAUAUAUUGUGUCGUUUCGCACGUGUCCCGUGAAGUUGAAAAUAUAAGGUUUGUGUGGGAAAUUAGCUGAGUAAACUCCCUUAAUUGACCUGUACAAAGGCAAUAAGGUCAUUUAAGUUAGAUAUUUUUAAUUAAAAAACAAAAAACAAAGUUCUAGUUUUGCAAAACAAGAACAAGUAAUAAGACGUGGAUUAGAGAAGCCAGAGCCCCUCUUGCAUUUGAGUCCAGCGAGUAUAUUAAUUUAAACUAUUAUUUGUAUUUAAAAACGCACGCUUUUGGCUCAGUUACCAUUUUACUCUUCUACGCGACUAUUCAUUUCCUUUCAGUGAAGUGUUUAAUUGGGAAACGUUAUCUACAUAGAAAACUCUCAUUAACGUAUACAAUAAUUUGACAUUAACCAAUUAAUUUGAGCAACUAAUUCAAAUUACGUUACGUACCCGUGAUAGGCUUGCAGUAUAUCAAUCGAUGGAGUCACAAAACUGAUGUUGUUUAAGCUUGCAGCAAGUGCAUUGUUAUCUGGGCCAUCACAAGAAGAAUUGGGACAAAUUCUUUCAUUUACGGAAACAGAGAUGAAGAGCGUGUGUGUGAUGUUUAACGGGACACAAAUGGGGUAGUCUUUGCUUGCCAAGGCCCUUACUUGCGUAGUGAAGUUUGAGGCAGCCGUUCCGUCGGCCGGAUUGGGAAAAGUCGGAGUGGGAAUGGUUGAGGGGGUGGUGCUGCCGUUAUAUUGAAGAAUGGCAGAGGUGGUGCUGUUGUUGAAUGCAACAUCCCCAUCAACAAAAGGAGCGGAAGCUACGUGAUAGGAGCUGGGAGACUGGUUUGCAACUACCAAAAUGUCCAUGGUUUGGCCUGGAGUUAUCACGAGGUAGGAGGUGGUUAUAGGUUUAAGGUAUGCAGCAUCUUGAGCUACCACUGUGAGGUUGUGGUUGGCAAUGGCGAAGAACAUUUCUUCGUUCAACACCGCGUUGAUUAAGCGGAGAAGAUACGUAUUGCCAUAAUCAACCACCCAACGGUAUGUUGUUGCUGCAACAGGAAAUCAAUCAGUUGUUAGCAAAUAAAUGAUGUCAAAGUAUGUUAGUUGUUAGAAAUAAACAGUGUUCAUAGUGAAUCAAAUAUGAAUAAAUCAAACACUAUAGUAGAGUAAUGUUUGAAUGAAAUAAUAAUGUCUUUAGUAAAAUAAUUGUAGUUGAUAUAAUCUUCCACAAACAAUAUUUUAUUUGAGAGUAACUUUUGAAGUCUCCUACGAAUUUUAUUUCGUAGAUCCAAACAUGAGAGAGAAAACUCCGAACGGUCUAUAUGUGCCUAAUUGCUAAACUAUAGUCAAAUAUAAUACUCCCUUCAUAACUCAGGGUGACCCACCAUUAUCCCAACUGAGAUUUUGAGUCUCACUUUACAACUAACCAUCAAGUCGGUUAAAAGUUAAAUUAAAAAUGUUGACAUGAUUUUCUCAACAACAAAAAAAUGUUGACAUGACAUGGGCGUACUUAUGAAACGUCUAACACAUGAGUGCCAUGUGUGCCAAAAAUAAAAUAAAAUAUUUCAUUUUAAAAAAGUUUAAUUUAAGACCCAGCCCUAGCCCCACCGACUUCCCUCACCGCUACCCUGUUACCAGCUCAAAUGGGCCUCCGCCCCCACUGCGAUACCCAAAGCAAUCCCUCCAACUGAUAACAUCCCCAAAGCAAUAUUAAAAUCUUUGCUCAGGGUUGCACCUGUACCAUCAAAAUGAGGGGGACUUAUUGUCCUACUUAACUGGUUUAAUACACGUCGGUGUUAUAUUUUAAUUUUUAUUAAACGGGUUUCAAAUCUGAAAAAUCUCACAUCGAGAAAAAAAAUACCACUAAAUAGCUAUUUUCAACUUGCUUACUACAUUUGGCCUACACCACAAGUCAAUAAAGUAUACCGCUUUGCAUGAUACUCCAUAGACACCUAGAAGUUUCUUCAUUUACGCGGGAAUGUUACCAUCCUCCUUUAUGUCAACCCCACUGAGAAAAACACUCAAUUGCUUUUCUCGCGUCCACAUAUAAUAACAAAAGAUAAUCAAAUGAGAUUAGGUUUGGAUAUUUGAUUAUAAUUACCAUUGGAACACGCAUUAUACAAAUCUCCCGGCUCUCCGUUGAUUGUGAAGGCAUCUGAAACGUUUGGAUCGGCACCUGUUGCGAGAGCAUUUUCAAUAAUUUCAUUCACGUCUCCUUUGUACCAGGAUCCUGCCAGCGAACCAGAUGACAAUGGAAAAUAAUUAUUGAGAUUCGAUGAUGUAACACCUUUUGUUUUCAUGUCUGUGGUUGUGGCAUGGACAGCAGUCCUUGUAAAUGGUUAAUAACUGAUGCAUAGAAAUUUUUAUUAAAAUAAAAGUACCUAGAGCCAGUGUUUCUUCUCCAUCUGGUUUUGUAAAAGGAUAAGUGGUGUUGAGAGCUGGUAGAAUAAUGAUGGCACCAUAGACUGUGGCACGUGUCCAAUCGCUAUGAGCAUGCCACCAUAAUGUUCCUUCUUCAAUGGAGAAGAUAACCUCAUAAGUGAAGUUUGACCCUGCUUGAAUAGGGCACUGUGUUAUGUUCUCUGGUCCAUCAUACCAUGGAUUUCGUGGUUGCUUCACUCCAUGCCUGUAAAUAUUAAACAAGAUUAAAAAGUUUGUCUGCUAGCUUGAUUUUCCUUUUCUUCUUAAGGUGGAAAACUAAUUGAAGCAGUCAAAAUAAAAUCGAAGGUAUUAUUUUUGUGUUUAUUAAAGAAAAAGACUAAAGACUAAGCAUGCCCGUUCAAACACUAAGAUUUGCAUGACUUCUAGAUUGCUGGUUUUAUGUUCGAAUCCUUAAAGCACAGUAUAUGUGAAAACCCUCCACCCUCUCUAGUUUAGACUAUCAUUUACAUUUUUUUUUUUUUUAAACACACACACAUAAGAAAUACCCAACGUUAAGGAAAAGAGUUGCUUACAAGACAUACAUAUAUUAGACAAGGAAAAAGAGUUCCCUACCCCACUCCCUUCCUCUAGCCUUUUAUUUUUCUAAUCUUUAUAAAGUUAUUCACACUUUCACUUUCUCUCUCUAAAAGACUAGGACCAGGUCACAGUCAUGAUCUUUCUUCCUGUAAGUAAGCUAUUGGAAUUGGCCAGAGAGCCCAUCAUAAGAUGUAGAAGAGAAUAUUCCAAGUGAAGGCUAAUUUUCCACCAAUAAGCUUAAUUAUCCAUCCAGCUUAUCUUUAAACAAUAGUUAAAAGCAGUUUUGGACUAUUGGUCAAUGCCAAAAAUAAAAAUAAAAAAUCUAGAGCUAAGCUAAUGAGAUUGGUAGUUUUUACCAAUGAAGGGUGACACCGUAUGAGCCUUGGUUGUGGACAUUCACAAAAGCAGUGUCUCCCUUCCGGACGGUGAUGGUCGGCCCCGGCAAAGUCCCAUUCACAGUUAAGAUGGUCUUUGUUUCGCAAAGCCUUGUAAAAUUCAAUUCUGUCAGCUGCAAAACAAAACAAAGCAACGGAUGAUGAUGAACAUUCGAAGGCUGUAAAAAUGGUGUUAGUGUAAUGCAGGAAGCACUUACAACAAAAUCAUAAUAAUGGGUAUUUCCAUUAGCCUUGCAAAGACCCAAGAACAUAAACCCUACACAGGCUAAGACCCAACUCAUUUUCUUAAACUCCAUUUCCAGGUCUUGGUUUUUCCUAGUGUGUUCUUCAGGUUGCCCUUGAAGUGUUGUGCGGUUUUCGGUCUCAGGUAAAGACCUAUUUAUAGACAGACUUCAUGGCAAGUUGCUUCUAUUAUUAGUAGCCAAAUUACGCAAAGUUAAAAAAAUAAAAUAAACAACUUAAAUAAGUUCAGUGCACGACAAAAAUAAGUUGGUCCAGUGCACGACAAAAAUAAGUUCAGACACUAGUACCGUGUAUUAGAUAAACAACUUCAUGAUCAUUACUGAACAGGAGAACGUCGACUUUUUCCUUAAGUUGUUCAUAUAUCCUGUCAUCAACUGGGUUUUUGUCGGUAAGUAUUGUUCUGUGCCUCGAUUACCAGUAAGAAUAAUAAAGUAACGUCAAACUAGACUGACUAGAUUUUUAUUUUAUUUUUUGGAAAAUCAGAUAUACUACAAGUUUAUCCUCUCUUGUUUUUCCAACUAACGUCCCAGGUUUUAUUGUCGGUUUGAUGAAUAAAGUUCCCCAUAACGUUGGGGGUACUCUAAAAACUUAGUUUAUCUUUAUACCAUAAAAGCAACAACUUCCUUUACUUGUAUCCCAGAGUUUUGAUCCAUUUUGUAUUCUACACACAUCUUACGGGUUUGGAAAAGUUACAUAUUAGGUCAUCUCUAAGUAAGGGCUAUAUCCUCAAAUCUAGUUUAAAAUUUCUAAAACUAAUCUCUAAAAGUGUGCUCAAAGGGGUAUAAAAAAGAAGAGGGCUACACAAAGGGCUAAUUCCUAACCCGGGUUAAAUACUUGGAUGGGGCUCAGCUGACGUCACCUAGUCGUUAGGUGACAUCAGCUAGUUUAUUUUUUAAAUCCGAAAAAAAAAUGAUUUUUUUUUCACUUUCAUACUUUUACAUAAUUUCUCACAAUCUCUUCAUUUUUUUACAAACUAUCCUUCAUCUUUUUCUAUUUAAAUUAAUUUUUAAGUUGGUUUUAGAACAAGAAAAAAUAUAAUCAUAAAUCUAUAGGGCUAAUCACGUGGAUGUCAAAAAUCAUAUCCCAAAGAAUUUUUCUCUUCUAAAAUGUAUUUUAAAUAGAAUAUAAAUAGUAGUUAAAUUAAAUUAACUCAUACACUAAAAAUUAUUAAAAUAUUAAAUUUAGUCAUUUGCUGUUGGAGACGGUUAAAAUAGAGCCAGUCACUAUUCUUUAUAAAAUUAUUUUUUACAAGGUUAAAUAUUGACACGUGAUUAAAAAAAUGUUAUUAUAGUAACACUGAUGACAAGUGAUUAAAAAAAGCCUUACUAAACACGGAAAAACACUAAAUAUUCAAAUUCCUUGACAAGUCGACUCCUAUAUUUGCUUUGAAAUAUUCCAUGCUUCUAUGUUCUAGCAGCAACCUUUUUUUUUCCAUGAAGCUCAAUUUUACAAGGGAAACUUAUUUAAUAUUAUCCUAAAACCAAACAAAAGACUCCAAACUAGACAAAUCAAGCAAACCUCGCAAGUUGAAAGGGUUUAAGGUGGCUUCAGAAGAAACAUGUUAGGAAUCCGUUAGACCUUAUAAGUAGUGUAGCAUACUCAUUAAGAACCAUAAUAAGAUGUCUCAGACUCUUAAUUAAUGUCUAAAAAUCCAAAUUUGAUUUGCUUUCUCUAUGAAAUUAUGUAAAAGAUACAUGAUGUUUGUUUAAAUCAAUUGACAAUACUUAAGGAGGAACUCCUUCUUGUUGGCAUGACUUGUGACUUUCCUUGCACCCCAACGAUUCCCAUAUUAAUUGUAAUUGAUUUCCCUUUUAUUUGUAAUUUUCUACUGUAAAUAGAAUUAGGAGUUAUUACUUGGCCUUCAAAAUUUUCUUGUACUAUAAAUAUGACCUCCAACAAGGAGAAGAAUACAUAGAAAAUUCUCACAAACAAUAUUUUCUCAUAGGUUUUCAUAUUUGAGCACGGUAUCAGAGCCCAACUCACAAUUGGAAGCCCAAACGCAGUUGGAUAGCCCAAAGAGUAUUUCACAUCUCUUCGUCACAUACGCGCCAUGCAGAAGUUGGGCGACAUUUGUGGGAGCAUAUAUUUUAGCGACCAAUGAGUGGGUGACACGUGGAAAAGGAAAAUUCCCUAGGUCAAUUAAUUACCCUAAUUAAAUCUUAUUUAAUUAGGAAAAUUAUAAUUGAUUUAAGAUGAGAAUAUCUCCCUAAAUCAAGGAUGAGAUUUCCACCGAAUCUCCUUGAUUAAUUCCAAUCUCCUAUUUUUGAGUAAGAAUAAACCUAAUUAAAUAAGGAUUAUUCUUCAAACUCUAGCUAACAAGGAGCACUAUAAAUACAUGGCUACAUCACACAUAUGAGGUAAUCUGAUUUUGACACGAGAAAUCUCUCCCUCUCUCACGCCAUUCUCUCUCUCUCUCUCUCUCUCUCUCUCUCUCUCUCUCUCUCUCUCUCUCUCUCUCUCUCUCGGCUCCGGCCACCUAGUUCUCUCACCGAGAGAGAACUCCGACCACUUUAGCUAUUGUCAUCUUCUUCAAGGUCCAAUCAAACUAACUUAGGUAUCGGAGGGUCUUUGGCCAACACCUCCCGGGUGUGGUCUAUUUAUGACAGGAACCACCCCGAAUUCCUCGUGACGAAGCCUGUGAUUUUUCCGACAUCCAACUGAUGUCGGGCCUACUUACAAAUUUCAAACAUCCUCUUCCCCUAAAAUAAAGGAAAAGAGGGCCGAGACUUCUACCGAAAUUUUAGCAGAGUCUCCCCUGAAAAAUGAACUUUACCAAAUUUUCCAAUCUAAGACUUCUACCGAAAUAAAGAUAUACACACCUCACACCAUCAUCAUGUACCAGGGGAAAAAUAUCAAAUCCGGGAAUCGUUUGACUAGACCACAUAGAGGAAUCCUCAACAACCAUGUGGCCAGCGACGAGCCGUCCAACAGGGGAACUAGGCUCCAAGCACACACAACAGAAUCCUCAAUACUCGUGUGCCUAUGACAAGUCCUACGCACACAGACUACCCUACUAAGGGUCUACAAAACACCCCGUCAAAGGUGCCUGUGAAAGGACCUACCCCGAAUUUUUCAAAACCCGAGGCGAACCCUUUGAAAUUUCCGACAUCAUCCCGAUGCCAGGCCCACUUAGGCUGCCUACGUACCCUCCUUGAGGGAUCAAGCCACACGUAGUUCUUCCCUAAAACCCAAUUCUACACUUAGGCGAUACCUUAUUUCAUUUCUCUGUAUUUCACAUAAUCUCCCCAUACGCCGGUACAACCAACGCCACGUAUGGGGUCUGUCAACACGCCGGAUAACCUACGCCACGUGCGACCAUGCCAUACUAUCAUAAUAUCUCCCCAUACGCUGGUACAACCAACGCCACGUAUGGGGUCUGUCUCAACGCCGGAUAACCUACGCCACGCGAAACCUGCACAUCAUAUCACAUAACUCCCCAUACGCCGGUACAACCAACGCCACGUGGGACCUCAACAUCAUAUCACAAAUCUCCUCAUACGCCGGUACAACCAACGUCACGUAUGGGGUCUGUCGACACGCCGGAUAACCUAGGCCACGUGAGACCAUGCCAUACUAUCAUAAUAUCUCCCCAUACGCCGGUACAACCAACGCCACGUAUGGGGUCUGUCUCAACGCCGGAUAACCUACGCCACGCGAGACCUGCACAUCAUAUCACAUAACUCCCCAUACGCCAGUACAACCAACGCCAUUUAUGGGGCCUGUCCCAACGCCGGAUAACCUACGCCACGUGGGACCUCAACAUCAUAUCACAAAUAUCCCCAUACGCCGGUACAACCAACGCCACGUAUGGGGUCUGUCGACACGCUGGAUAACCUACGCCACGUGCGACCAUGCCAUACUAUCAUAAUAUCUCCCCAUACGCCGGUACAACCAACGCCACGUAUGGGGUCUGUCUCAACGCCGGAUAACCUACGCCACGCGAGAGCUGCACAUCAUAUCACAUAACUCCCCAUACGCCGGUACAACUAACGCCACGUAUGGGGCCUGUCCCAACGCCGGAUAACCUACGCCACGUGGGACCUCAACAUCAUAUCACAAAUAUCCUCAUACGCCGGUACAACCAACGCCACGUAUAGGGUCUGUCGACACGCCGGAUAACCUACGCCACGUGCGACUAUGCCAUACUAUCAUAAUAUCUCCCCAUACGCCGGUACAACCAACGCCACGUAUGGGGUCUGUCUCAACGCCGGAUAACCUACGCCACGUGAGACCUAAAUUUCACUUGGUGGUACUUGUAGUAUAACCAAAAUCCGGGGAGGUACCUAAGGUAGUGCGUACAGCACUCCAAACUGACAUUCUAGACUCUUUUGUACCGUUGUACAAACAUAUAUAAUUAUAUAUAAUUAUUAUAAUAUUGUGUAACCCUCCGCAAUAGUCUAGCUCCCGAUAAUCCACCCUGGAAGGGUGAGAUUACUCUGGGAAACUCGCGGUCAACCAAGGGUCAAACUACCCUAACCCUGGUCAAACGGACCUGCGGAGCCUACGACCUCCGAUUUACGAUCCGAAAGUCCCUAUGGGUUUUACAAGGUAUAGGACACUCGGCCUGCAAGUUUGGUUCAGAUCGGACGGUCGGAUCGCUCACGAUCGCACGAUCUGACGGUUAAUAUAAAAUAUAAACUUUAAAUUAUUAUUCGGAACAUCUGGGGCUUCGAUUCACAAUCCGUGAAUUCCUACACUAUCCUAGAAAUACCUAGAUUAACAUAUAUUAAAUUUGGGACCAUCCAACGGUCCCAACCUAUCGAACCCGGAUAACCACAAUAUGCGAUCGUCCGUUCGAUAGUCAAACGACGUCCGAAUUGAGAUCCGCGAAAUCCUACACACUCGUGACAACCUAAGGAUCUCAUCGAGACACAGUGCCACUUUUCUACAGUGCCCACGCGCCGCUGCACGUGCCGGUAGCGCGUGGGUGCCCAAAGCGAUAAAGCUUCACCGGAAAAAUCUCAACACCACGGCUCCAAACUCCUACCCUAGGUAUAACACCCUAUUUGGAGCCACUUUUGUUCUUGGGCCUACCCCAAAAACUAACCGGAAGUGGCCAGAAUCGCGAUCCCAAAACCGGCCGAAUUUCAAUUCGAAAAUCGAAUUGGCUACGGUAAGAAUCAAUCCAAUCCUACCCAACAGGCAGCUAGAUCAUGCAGAAGGGAUGAAUUUCCAUACCUUGAUCGCCAGAAAUGGCGGCCGGAGGAGGGAGAUCGGAGCCGGCGAAGUUCGGGCGACAACCGGGCGAAAAUCUCCAUUUUCUAGCGGCUGGAGCGGCGGCCGAUGUCGGGGGAGGGCUGGGUCGUGACGCCGAGGCUGAGCCGGUCCUUUUGGCACCGGUCCCGUCCGCAGCCGCGGCCGGUGGCCGGAGAUACGAGGAGAGAGAGAGAGAGACCGACGGGAGAGAGAGAGAGUUCACGGGAGGGAGAGAGAGAGAGAGAGAGAGAGAGAGAGAGAGAGAGAGAGAGAGAGAGAAAAAAAAAUCUGAGUUUUUAUAAAAAAUUUCAUUUCGAAAUAUUUGCGAUUGUGCCAUUGGGUUUCUUUUGACCAUAUCUCUCUCAUUACAACUCCGAUUCGAGCCUACUGCGUGUCUAUGAACUCGUCUCAGUACGACCUAUCCAAAAAUACUAGUCAUUACCCCAAACUCUCUCCGGUUAAAAAUAUGACUAAAAUGCCCUUAUCUCAAGGGUAAAUUUAUAAUUUUCCUUAAAUAAUUAAAUAAUUUAAAUAAGGGCUAAAUUUGGGGUCGGGGUGUUACAGCCUGGGUUCCGACAUAUCCAAGUAUCCAUGUCUGAGUAUUCAUAUCCAAGUUUCCAAGUACCGGGAAGGGGAAACUAUCCAACUGGGGAUCGUUUGGUUCAACUACACGGAGGAAUCCUCAACAAUCAUGUGGCCAGGAACAAGUCGUCCAACUGGGAGAUUGGACUCAUCAACACGAACAAUAGAAUUCUCAAUACUCGUGUACCUGUGAUAAGUCCUACGCACGUAGACUACCUCACUAAGGGUCUACGAAACACCCCGUCAAGGGUACCUGGGUUCCGAUCAUAUCCAAACCAUAACCACCGUUUCCAAGUAUCCAUUAUCCAUCAAUUCCAAUAUUAGUAUCCAAGGGGAGUACAUGAGAUGGUGUGUCAUCUCCAAGAUCCAAAAUCCACUUUCAUAAACUAAUAAAUAAUAAAGAUAAUACUCUCCAAAUCCAAUUUUCAAAACAAAUCGUUUCUAUAUAAUAAAUAUAUAUAUAUAAUACCCAUUCUGCCUUUUUGAAAACCAUAUUAAAAUCAUAAUUAAGAAAACCAUCGAAACUAAAUAAGCUCAUUCGAUUUAAUUAAUAUUCAAAUCACUAUUCAUAUAUUUAGGAAAUACACCACCUCUAAAAAUCCCACAAGACAAUAUAAUAAAAUCCAACACCAUAUUUAAAUUUCCCAAAACCAUAGCCCAUCAAUAUAUACAUACUACUUCCAACAUUUUCAAAGAUAUUGCAAUUCAAAGUCCGAUAACCACAUAAACUGAUGCACCAAAACCAAAAUUCAUAAUAUACCCAAAGUCACCAUAACCCUUUAUAAAUAAUAUUAAUAGCACUACUAAUAAUAGUAAUAAUAAUACGCAUUCCCAAAAUUUCCAUAAUCACGUAUUCCAUCCUAAAAAUUCACUAGUUUAAAUUAGAUCACCCAUAACUUUCAACAUCCGUUCUCAACAGAAUUUCCACACACAAAUAACACACCACUCAGCAAACCAGAAUGCGUAACCCUUAUUAUUCACUUUCCAAGACACCUUUUUUAAAACCCGCAUCGAUAUCCAAUGUACCCAUAACCCAAAUACAUAGACAUAUAUUUGAGUGUAAACAUAUAAUCAACAUUUAAUUUGUUCACCCGUUUCGUGUCACUACUACAAAAAGUGAAAAAGACGACCAGAAAACAACGACGGUCUAAGUGAAAACCGUCGUGGUUUUUAAAAAGACGACGGUUCUAAAAACACCGUCGUGUAAUACAACCUUAGACAACUAAAAAUGGAGAUUCAAAUGGCUGUUCAAAAACAACGACGUACCUAAUAAAAAAACCGACGUCUAUUUGAAACAGAUUUCCGCAGUGUAAAAUCAAAGCCAACAAAGAACGGCAGAAGUUAUGAAUCGACCGACGUAGAAAGUAAAGACGACGAUUUCAAUAAAAGCCGCCGUUUUUACUCAUAAAAUAACACGACGAAAUUUUCGUAUAAGACGCCGUAUAAUUACAAACAAAUCGACGGCUUUAAAAUACAAAAUGUCGCCGUAUUAAAUUAAUUUACAACGAUGGAAAAUAUAAAUAUAUCGACGUCAUUCUCGUAUAGUUCUACGACGUUAUCUUUAAAUCGUACUAUAAAAUUUAACGUCGUAUUUAUUCAUUUUAUACGUCGUACCUUUAAUUUAAACCGUCGUCUUAAUAAGAAUUUUUGUUAACAAUUUUUUCCUUUAUUUUCUUAUCCUACGUCGGUAGAUCUACUUAAUGACAAGAAUUGAAAUCUGUCAUCCAAAAAAGAAACUUUACAUAUUCCAGAACAUUAAUUUCCUUCAUUUUAAAUUUCCUCCGGAAAAAAAAACUCUAUUUAUAACGCACUGUAAUUGAAAAAUAAACUGAAAGGUCACGGGAAAAAAAUUUCUAUUCAUAAUUUAACAAUUCAAAUCCACGUCGGUUAUAUUAAACCUAACGACGUUAAAUGAAAAGAUUCCACGUCGCAAAACAAAUAUUGCGUCGUGUUAGUUUAUGGUUUCUUUAAUAGUUUCAGUUUCUUUAACAGUUUGGUCCUUUAUCUUUCUGCAGGACUUGUAUAGUUCAAAGCAUUGACUUGUAUAGUUCAGAGUAUAGUUCAAAGCACUGAUUCGAUUGCUCAUGCUUUAUCGCAUUCAUGAAGCCAUUUCUAUUCUUUAUCGCAGUCUUGAAACCCAUCUUCUUUUUCUGAAGCUCUACGGAUAAAGGAAGAGGCUAUCACAAAUCUGACGGAUCUUCUUAGCCAAGAAAAUCAAGCAGAGGAUCAGGCACAUCUGAUCUUCAGAUUUCCCUGAGAAGCGAACUUUCCUUCGACAGCGAGUGGAGGGCAGGCUUGCAUCUCUUUUGAUGGAAAGCAAGGAGUAUUCAGAAGCACUAAGUGUCCUAUCAGGCUUGAUCAAGGAAGUGAGAAGGCUAGUUGACAAGCUUCUUCUUGUGGACAUAGAUUUGAUGCGAGUAAGCUCAAUUUCUCUUUGAGAAAGACAUCCAAAUUACUGUCUUUGAGAUGUGAGAGACAGUGUCUCUGAGAGAGGAAGAACUUGGAACCCUAAAUGUAAACCGAAAAUGAAUGAAAGCGACAAAUUUAUAGAAUAAAUUUUUAAAACCAACGGCGGUCCUUACAAAAAAACCGCCGUUUAAAUUUUAAAAUCAACGUCGGUAUGACCGACGUAUAUUACAUAAAUCCACGUCGGUACAUUAAUAAAACCGACGUGUUAAAUGAUCUACCAUGACGCGAGUUAUUACUUAUGUACUUUAAUUUUUGAGUUUACUACGACGGUACCUACAACACUACUGUCGUACUUAUUUACCACGUCCGAAGUUAAACGUACUGUCGUAUUUUGUAAUUUAUACGUCGUAGUUAUAUGUAACCGCCGUAUUAUUUUUUGAAAUGGUUUUAUAUGUAAGCAACUUUUCGUGUACCUGACUUACACAUGCAAUGUUUCCAAACCCGAUUAAAAAUUUCAAUCUCCCAGAGAAAACUUUUAGACUUUUUUCCUUGUCAGAGCACUUUCAGAGUAUCUCAUCGUCUUCCUCUCGUCUUCUUCGUCGUCUCUGAACUUAAACAUCGAUCGUCUUCCUCUUGCUUUCAUUGCACGCAAAAGGUAAGCUUUCAUUUUCACUAUUUUGGUUGCUGUUUUGCAUGCUCAUACGUUUUUUGUUUGAAAAAUAUUUUUACCUUUUUUCUGGCCAAAAUCAUUUUACUUCUUUCCAAGUUCGAUAAAAUAUACACACAAAGAGGGAAAGUUUCCAACUUUGAAGACAACUACCUCAACUAAAUAAGACGACGGUAGCUUCUUAUUUACGUGGUUAAAUAUGUAGACCACGACGGUUCGUCAGUCGUUCUAGCGUCGUCUGAAAAUUGACAAAGUUGUUUUUAAAAUUAUAUUCUUUUUUUUAUUUGCUUGUUUAAUUGCAGGUUUGAUUUCUCUGAACAAUGGUUUUUGUUUUUCCCUAAUUUGAUAAAAUAUAAAGAAAAAGAAAUUAGGGUUGGUAUCUAAUAUAGACGACAAUAUCUUAUUGUUUUACGUCGUGUGAAUGUUAAUACCACGACGUCAUAUUAAAAUACCGUCGUCUAUAUAAGAUUCCAAAACUUUCUUUCUUGACCUUGUAUUUUAUCAAAUUAGAAAACAAAAACCAUGGUUCAGAAAAAUCAAAUCUGCAAUCAAACAUUCACAGAGAAAGAAAGAAGGGUUUUGGAUCCUUAUAUAGACGACGGUAUAUUAAUACUGACGUCGUGUGAACAUCAAUACCACGACGUUAUAUAAAUAUUCCGUCGUUUAUAGUUAAUUAUUACGUCAUUUGUAGUUAAUUAUUUCGUCGUUGUUUAAUUACCUUGGUUUUAAACAUUUAUUACGUCUGAUAUUAUUUCAUUGCGUCGUUUAAAAUCAUAUCAUACGUCGUCUUUUAUUAAUAACCGUCGUUUGUGUUCUUAAUCUUUUCUUGAAAUAUUUUCACUUGCAGUUUUGUCUGUAAAAAUGGUUUCUCACCAAGACCAAAGUAAGGAUUCUGGCUCCAAGAAAAAUGGAGGUAAGGAGCAAGUACCUCCUCAAGAGAAGUCUUCGAAGAUAAUGAAGUCUUCGAAGAAGAUGAAGUUUGCUUCAUCAUCUGCUGAUACAGAACCAACCAGCGCGACAACAAUCUCUGAUGAUUCAAAGGCUGGUCGAGGUAUGAGCACAAUGCCUCGUGUUGUGAAGAGAAAACUUCAGAAACUGAGGCCAAUUGUUGAGUACAAUAAAAGGGGGAAAGGAAUUGGCCAAGCACACAGUGAGAUGCAGUCCUAUAUUGGUGUGUUGGCACGCUCCAGAGUUCCACUUGUGGACUUGAAAUGGGCUCAAAUCCCCAAGGAUAUAAAGGAGCAGAUUUGGGAAGCAGUUGACAUUGCUUUUGUAGUAGGUCAAGGGGGCAAGAACUUUGUCUUAACUUCUGCUGCCAAGAAAUGGAAGGAUUUCAAGUCUACACUAACGAGGCAUUAUAUCCUUCCAUACACCAAUGACAGGGAGAGAUUAAGCCAACCCCCUGAAACAUAUAAAUUCAUAGAGAAAGCACAAUGGGAUGCCUUUGUAGCUUCAAGGUUAUCCAAAGAUUUUGAGUCUGUGCAUUCUCAACAUGCACAGAUUAGGGAGAAACUCGAGUACAAUCAUCGAUUGUCUCGAAAAGGAUAUGCUGGUUUGGAGGAUCAAUUAGAGGAAACCAUGCCUGGGGUAGAAAUUGAUCGAUCUACCUUAUGGAAGAGAGCUAGACAGGACAAACAUGGUAACAUCCAUGAUCCAAAGGUGGCAGAGAAAGCAAAAUUAAUUGUAAGCCUACUCACUCUGUUUUAAAUUUUUAUUAAACUGUGAAUAAUUCUUAUUACGUCUUAUGUUAUAUUUUGCGUCGUGUGAAUGAUAUUACCACGUCGACAUUUUUUAAAACACGUCGUUAAAGGUCUAAAUUGGAAUCACAACUCUGUUUUCUGUAAUUAUAGCAUAAGAUGUCGGUGGUUCAAUUUCGCGUCGUCUGUAUUAAAUUACUACGUCAAAAUGUUUUAAACAACGUCGUUAAAGGUGUGAAUAUCAUCCUGUAAAUAAAGCAUAAGACGUCGGUGGUUUAUUCAUUCCGUCGUUUUAAAAACUAACCACGUCGGUUUAAAAACUACCGUCGUGAUAAAUUAUAAUAACGUCGAUUUAUAUGUUAUUGCGUCGUGUGAAAUUAUAUAAUACGUCGUUUGUAUAUAAAUAACCGUCGUGUGUUUUUGUUCUUACUUUUUUAUAUAUCUUUGUUUUAGGAUGAUUUGCAAAAACAAGUCUCGGAAGGCAAAGUCACCGUCUCUGGCAGCAAUGAUGUGCUGACUAUGGCUUUGGGCCCCGAGCAUCCAGGCAGAGUCAGAGGAGUAGGUGCUGGGAUCUCACCAAAGCAAUAUUUCAAUUUACCCAAACCACAGAGAGUGAGCUUUGACGACCGUUUGAAGGACAGUUUAAGAGUUCUCCUUCAAGAAGAGACUAAAAAGAUGGAGGCUAAGGCAAGGGAAGAGGCUUUAAGGAUGGAGGCUAGAACGAAACAAUUGGUAGAGGCUGAGAGGGAGCAUUUCCUGAGUCAGCUUUCCCAAUUAAUUCCCAAUUUUGAUCCAAGCAUGCUUAAACCCAAAAUUAGCCAAAGUCCCAAAAAUCCAAUGUCUGACAAAGCAAGCUGCUCUGGAGGUUAUGUGAGAUCCCAGCAUUUUGAGGAUGAUACUGCCAAAAAUGGCAAACAUCAGGAAGAAAAGGUAACAAAUCUGAACUUUGAAUUCUCUGUUUUUUUAAAAACCAUUAGACGUCGUUAUUAUUAAUAAAACCGUCGUUUGAAAUACAUACCACGACGAUUUUAAAAAUAAACCGUCGUUUGUAUUUCAAUACCACGUCGUAUUUAGUUUACUUGUUUUACACGCCAUUAAACGUCGUUAUUUUUAAAACUUUGUGGUUUUUAGACGACGGAGGUAAUCAUUCCCGACGUCAUAGAUGAAGAGAAUAAAGAAGAAAAACAAGAUGAAAAGGAGAAAGAAGAUGACGACCAGGUAUGUUCACAUAACUUUGCCUUUUUUAUUUGUUUUUCAAAAUUCCAGACGUCGAUAUUUUUCUUUAAACCGUCGUUUGUUUACAACUUAGACGGCGGAAUUGUUUUCUAAGACGUAAUAAAUAAUUUACCACGACGGUUAUUUCACCGUCGUUUAAAUUCUUUUCAGACGACGUUUUAUUCUUUAAACCGUCGUUUUUAUUGAAUUACCACGUCAUUUUUUUUAUUUCUUUAAACAGGUUAUUAAAGUUGUUGAUUAUUCAAAUAUGGAGGCGCCAUCUUCUUUAAAAACCCUUUGUCGUUAUGUGGAAACGACACUCGUGCCUCAGGAUAAGACACUGCACUUUACAAUUGAUAAGGAGGUGUUUGGUCUAGAGCGCGAUACCUUCCUCCUGCCUGAAGAUAUUACACAAUUUGCAGGCAUGAAAGAAAUAGGAGCCACUGUCAUUGCUGUAUAUAUGAGGUUUGUCAUUCUAAAAUAAUACGUCGUUGGUUUAUUUAUUGCGUCGUCUUAACCGACUAACCACGUCGUUAGUAUGUACCGUCGUGAUAAAUAUAUUAUAACGUCGUUGUCUAUUUCAGUACGUCGUGUGAAAUUUUAUAAUACGUCGUUUUGUUAUACAUAACCGUCGUGUGUUUUUUUUGUAUAUGAGGUUUGUCAUUCUAAAAUAAUACGUCGUUGGUUUAUUUAUUGCGUCGUCUUAAAUAACUAACCACGUCGUUAGUAUGUACCGUCGUGAUAAAUAUAUUAUAACGUCGUUCUCUAUUUCAGUACGUCGUGUGAAAUUUUAUAAUACGUCGUUUUGUUAUACAUAACCGUCGUGUGUUUUUUUGUGCUGACUUGUUUAUAUUAAUUUAUAUAUUUAGGUACUUACACGAUGUUUUGAAAGGAGCUAAUAUGUGUAUCAUGGUUGGCUUUAUCGACCCUGCUACAGUUAGUGCCAGCUCUGGCACAAUAGCUGACAGAUCACGCCUACUGGCAGCUUGACUUCAGAGGACUGACGGUGAACAGAUUUUCCUGAUGCCUUACAAUCCAGGGUUAGUCUCCUUAACAGGAUUUUGUUUUUAUGAUUUUCAAUAAAUGACAGCGUAUAAACUAACCACGUCGGUGUUUUAUUUUAUUGAGUCGUUUGAAACGACUAACCACGUCGGUAGUUAUUUAUCGUCGUGAUAAAUAUAUAAUGUCGUCGAUUGCUAUUUUAUUUUGUCGUGUGAAAUAUUAUAAUACGUCGUUUUUGUAAAUAACCGUCGUUUUUAUAUUAAUUUUGUGCAGCCGUCAUUGGAUCUUGUUGAUUGUAAGAGCAAAGAGGGAAACAGUCUAUUUUCUGGAUCCUCUGCCAGGAAAUCGUGUGGUCGAUGAAGAGGCCAAAAACAUCGUGAACAGUGCUAUAAAAAUUUAUAAUUCCCACAUAGGCAGAUCAGGCCGUAAGGCAGUCAUUUGGAAAACUCUGUCAGGCACACCAAAGCAACCCAGCAAUGUCGAAUGCGGGUAUUACGUGAUGCGCUUCAUGAAGGACAUCAUCAUGGAUCCUUCCUUGGGGUUUGAGAAGAAGGUAAGAAGAAAUAACCUUCAAACAUUUUACGUCGUUUUUUGUAUUAUCAACGACGGUCAUGUAAAAUUACCGUCGUUGAAUAGAUAUACUACGUCGGUUAUGGUUGUCUGUGAUUGAAUUUUCUUUUAUUUAUAAACCCUAAUAGUCAUUGUUUAUGCAGUAUGCGAAAGGAAAACAGGAAGAGCCAUACCCCCAAGAAGCAAUUGAUGAAGUCCGGAAUGAAUGGGCAGAGUUUGUUUGCCUUCACCUGGAAUAGGGGAAUUAUUGAACACUUGAUAUUUAUGUAUAAUGUACAAAUUUUGUCUAUAAUAUAUAAUGUAAAAAUUUGUUGAGGUUUUCUUAAAUUAAAAAAAAAAAACAAACAUACAAAAUGCGUAACCGACGUGUAAUACUUGUCCAACGACGUAAUAAAGUCAAAAGCCGUUGUUUUUUGUGGUUUCGUUUUAAACAAAUCCGACGUAAAAGGAUAUUUAGACGACGUUCUUUGAACAAUGGAGUCGUUUAUGGUUUACAACGUCUUCAAUUUCUUAAAGGUUCAGGGUAGUACUUUGUAACGACAGCGGUUAAGUCGUGGAAUAUAUAUUUUACGUCGGAUAGUUAAAUAUCCGCCAUGGUUUCUCAUUUAAACGACGUCAUUUUAACAACUUAGUCGUCUAUUACAAUUUACAACGUCUACAAUUUAUUAACACCGACGUGGUUUGUUGUUGUGAUAAGAAUAUUUUAUUAUUUUUAUAUCAAAAUAUUCAAAAUAAAUUUAAAAUAAAUCAGAAAAAUGCAAAGUCAACUCCUAUGAAGUCAUUGAUAUAUUAUCUUCCCCCUAAACCUUGAAAAAAUUCAUUUUGAAUAACAAAAAUUUAAAAUGAACAUCCAAAACAAAAUUGUUUUGAUGAGUCAUAAAAUCACUUCUAGUUUUAUGGUUUAGGGUUUAGAGUCUAGGGUUUAGAGAUUAGGGUUGUUAUUUAUUGGGGUUUAUUUUUAAAGUAUAAUUUUUGGGUAGUCUAGGGUAUAUAUUAGGCUGUAAAACCAUAAACCCUUUUAUAAACUUAAUUUUUAAAAUUAUAUAAUUUAGUUUUAAGGGUUUAGGGUAUUAAUUGUUAACGACGGUGGUUGAGUCGUGGAAUACAUAUGUUACGUCGUGCAGUAAAUUAUCCGACAUGGUUUCUACUUUAAACGACGUUAUUUUAAUAUGUAAGUCGUCUAUUAUAAUUUACAACGUUUUCAAUUUCUUAACCCCGACGUGGUUUUUCAGUCGUCUUUAUAUCAAAAUAUUCAAAAUUAAUUUAAAAUUAAUUCGAAAAAUGAACGUCAAAAUAAACGGCGUUACGUUCGGUGUUUUCGUCGUGGAAUAUUACAUUUACGUCGGUUUUUGUAGAACUUUCGCCAUGGUUUUUCUUUCGACGUUUAAAAGAGCGCGCGCUCUAAAAAUAUUCGCGCGCCCUAAAUUUUUUUAUAUUUGGCUCUUAUUCUUAUACUUCUAACACUGAACCCUAAAAUUUUCAGAUUUCGCGCAACAUAACAUUCGCUCUCUCACUUCUGCUCUAAUUAAAAGUUGCACUCUCCAGGCUCCGUCGAAUCUGUGAGCUCGUCCAACCUGUAAGUACAAACCCUAUCUUCCCCUUGUAAAUUCAUUGAAUGAUAUUAUGUUGUUUUGUUAAAGGGUUUUAGGUAUAUGCUUUGCGAUCUGUUAAUAAUGUGCUUAUAGGUAUGGGUUCAUGGAUUUUCUGUUUAAUGGGUUCAUGGAUUUUCUGUUUAAUGGGUUCAUGGAUUACAUUAUCUGUUAUGUUGAAUUGGGAAUGGAUUUAAUUUUGUCGGAUCUUUUAAUCACCCUAUGUUAUGUUGAAUUGGGAAUGGAUUUAUUGUUUUCAUGCUUGGUUUCAUGUAUAUGUUGGUUUCUUGCUUGGUUUCAUAUAUAUGUUGUGUUCUUAAUGGGUUUUGGGUUCUUGAAAAUAAACUGAGACACGACGCCUUUUUAGGCAUACGACGACGAUUACACGACGGUUUAUGAAAAAACCGUCGUUGUAUUACUUAUACACGACGGUUUUUUCAUAAACCGUCGUUUGUAUUACUUAUAUUAGACGACGUCUGUUGAAUAUCCGUCGUCUAUAUAUGCCAAAUACGUCUGUUUUUGUUUAAAACCCGUCGUCUCUGUUGUGUAUUACUUGCUAUUAGAUCUUUGUAUAAUCUGCUAUAGUGAUGGUCAUUGCCUGUAUUUUCACUUUAUUAUAGAUAAUAGGUUAUAGUGUCGGAGAUGGAUAAGUCAUGGAUGCACUCGGAUAGAAGAUCGAAGGCAUAUGAGUUUGGGGUGGAAGCAUUUUUGAACUUUGCUGUAGAAAAUCUUCUAACUACAACACAUAUUCGUUGUCCAUGUGUUAAAUGUGUUAAUUUGAAGUUGUUUGGGGUUGGAAUUAUAAGGGAUCACUUAUACUUUAAUGGAAUUGACCAAAGCUAUAAGAAUUGGACAUUUCACAGAGAACCUUGGGAAGCAACUACUAAUUCUAGUAGAAAUGUUGAAGAAGAUGAUGGCCAUAGUAGGUACAGUUUUGUGUCUGAAGAAAUUGAUAUGGAUGAUAAUGAUUUUGGUUCCGAUCCGUAUGAGUUUGCCAAUGUGAUUGGGGAUGGAGAUCAACCAGUAUACCCUGGUUGUAGAAAGUACACGAAGUUAUCGGCAUUAGUGAAGUUGUAUAAUUUGAAGGCAAAAUAUGGGAGGAGUGAUGUCUGUUUUACAGAAUUAUUGAUACUUCAAGGCGAUUUGCUUCCAGAAGGAAAUACAAUACCAACCUCUAUGUAUGAGGCUAAAAAGACUUUGUGUGCAUUGGGGCUGAGUUAUGAGAAAAUGCACGCAUGCCCCAAUGAUUGCAUCUUGUAUAGGAAGGAGUAUGAGGAUUCAACUAAUUGUCCUACUUGUGGUAUCUCAAGGUGGAAGGAAGGCAAAGAUUCAAUCUUGAAAGAGGGUGUGCCAGCGAAGGUGGUGUGGUAUUUUCCUCCAAUUCCAAGGUUUAAAAGGAUGUUUCAAUCACAUGAGACAGCUAAGAGUUUGACUUGGCAUGCUGCUAGAAAAUCAAUUGACGGUCAGAUGUCUCAUCCGGCGGAUUCCCCGUCUUGGAAACUUCUUGAUGAUAAAUGGCCUGAGUUUGGUAAUGAGCCGAGAAACUUGAGAUUGGCUCUUUCAUCUGAUGGAUUCAAUCCCCACAGUUCUCUAAGUAGCAGAUAUAGUUGUUGGCCGGUUAUCUUAGUUACAUAUAAUCUCCCUCCAUGGCUGUGCAUGAAACGAAAGUUCAUGAUGUUAACCUUAUUGAUUUCCGGUCCUAAACAACCCGGAAAUGAUAUAGACGUCUACUUGGAGCCUUUGAUUGAUGAUUUAAAAUCUUUGUGGGAUGGGAUUAGAGGAGUGUAUGAUGCACAUAAUGGAGAAUACUUUACACUCAGAGCUGCAUUAAUGUGGACAAUUAAUGAUUUCCCCGCCUAUGGAAACUUAUCUGGUUGUGUUGUUAAAGGAUAUAAAGCUUGUCCAAUAUGCGGCGAUGAUACACCUAGUCACAGGUUGAAAAAUGGCCACAAAAUUUGUUACAUUGGGCAUAGAAAAUGGUUACCAAUCAAUCAUCCAUAUAGGAGGCAACGUGCAGCUUUUAAUGGGAAACCUGAAUAUGGCAUACCUCCCGAGCCAUUAACCGGAGAAGAAGUGCUGCAUAUGGUUGAAAAUGGUGACAGAGUUUGUUGGAAGAAGAAAUCAAUAUUCUUUGAUUUCGAGUAUUGGAAAUACCUUCCUGUGAGGCAUGCCCUAGAUGUUAUGCACAUUGAGAAGAAUGUUUGUGAUAGUAUCAUUGGUACAUUGCGGAGAUCACUAGAAAAAAUAAAGAUGGGAUUGCUGCUCGAUUAGAUUUAUUGAACAUGGGGGUCAAAACUGAUUUGCAACCCGAGUAUGGAGAAAGACGUACUCGUUUGCCUCCUGGGCCUUGGAAUUUGUCAAGAGCAGAGAAGAGAGAGGUUUGCAAUUCUUUUUAUGAUAUGAAGGUCCCUGAAGGUUAUUCUUCAAAUAUUAAAAAUCUUGUAUCUUUACAAGAUUCAAGACUUCUUGGCCUUAAAUCACAUGAUUGUCAUACCUUAAUGCAACAAUUGCUCCCUGUGGCAAUUCGUUCUGUUUUGGAGAAGCCUGCAAGGUAUGCAAUAACUCGUUUGUGCUUCUUCUUCAAUGCUAUAUGUGCAAAGACUGUUGAUGUUUCCAAGCUAGAUAAGUUGGAAGAAGAUGUAGUAGUUACUCUGUGUUUGCUUGAGAAGUACUUUCCCCCUUCAUUCUUUGAAUAUCAUGGUUCAUCUAGUAGUANNNNNNNNNNNNNNNNNNNNNNNNNNNNNNNNNNNNNNNNNNNNNNNNNNNNNNNNNNNNNNNNNNNNNNNNNNNNNNNNNNNNNNNNNNNNNNNNNNNNUCAUCUAGUAGUACAUCUGUCAGAGAGUUCGUCUAUGUGGGCCAGUAUAUUUUAGGUGGAUGUAUCCGUUUGAAAGAUAUAUGAAAGUGCUGAAGGGGUAUGUUCAGAAUCGUACUCGUCCCGAAGGUUGCAUUGCUGAGCGGUAUAUAGCUGAAGAAGCGGUAGAGUGUUGUACUCAGCAUUUAUCUGAUGUUAGUACAGUUGGAGUGCCUUCAAGCCAAAAGAUGGGAGUUUCAAAGCCAUUAUCAGGUUGCACAGUGAGCGUAGUUGAUCAGGACCUGUUGAAUCAAGCACAUCUAUAUGUCUUGGAGAAUACGGAGGAAGUCCUACCUUAUAUCGAGUACGUAUGAGCUUUAUUCUUUAAGUUUCCAUUUUAAAUUAUUUCUUAUGUUUAUCUUCUAUAUUUAGGACCGUAAUGCUUGAAUUUUUCGUGUCAUGUAGGCAACAUAUGAUCCACAUCAAGACUGCUUAUCCAAAAUUUAGAAAGAGAACAAAGUGGCUGCAGGAUAAGCACAAUAGCACUUUCAUUCAAUGGCUACGCUUCAAGGUAUAUGUUGUUGAAUAACAUAUUUCUCUUUUAAUUUUCUUCUUAUUUAUAUGUUAGAUUGAAUUAAGAUAUGAUUAAUUUGCAGGUUCAAAGUGAACUUGAGGAAGACAAUCAUGGCGUAUCAGAAAAUUUAAGGUGGCUAGCAGCUGGUCCAAACAUGUCAGUGCCAUUAUAUAGGAGCUAUCUUAUUAAAGGUAUUAAAUUCAAUAUCAAGGCACAAGAUGAUGUGCGGACAACUCAAAAUAGUGGAGUUUAUUUACUUGCACAUACCAUGCAAGUUGCUAGUGCCAAGGAUAAAAACCCAAUUCUCUCAAAUAUGGGUUUCUAUGGUGUCAUUCAAGAAAUUUGGGACCUUGACUACCAAAAGUUUACAAUCCCAGUCUUUAGGUGUGAUUGGAUAGAUAGUUCUGGUCUUGUAGUCGACGAACUUGGAUUUACCCUUGUAGAUUUGAGUAAAAUUGGACAUAGGAAUGACCAAUUUGUUUUGGCUUCUCAAGUCAAACAAAUAUUUUUUGUUGACGACCCGAUGCAUCGUGGUUGGUCGGUAGUGUUAUCAAUGCCUAAUAGAGAAUAUAAUGAUGUUAUUGGUGAUGAAGUCUUAGGUGAUGUGAUAAUUGAGUGUGAGCCAUUUACUAGAGGGAUGCCAAAUGUUGACACAUUUGAUGAACUGGUGGGUGAGUUAGGCGGUCAAAAUAUUCGAGAUGGGUGUGAAGAUAUAUGGAUUGAAUGAUGCUUAUGUAAUUGGCAGUGUAUGACAUUAAUUUUGUAAUAUAUUGUAAUGUGAUUUCUUCACUUUCUACGUUCAAAUAAAACACGACGUUAUUGUGAACCAGUUAUUCAGCAUAUUUACCGACGUCUUAAAGCAACGUAACAAUGAAGAACCACGACGCUAUUGUGAAGCAAUUAUUCAGGAUAUCACGUCGGGGAAGGAUUAAGAACCGCCAUGUAAUUCAAAAUAACACGACUCCAAUCCCAUAAUACCGACGUCUAAAAAAUGAGAUAUAUAAUCUGAACGUUAAAAAAUUCGACGUCAUCAUACAUUUUCCACGUCGCAAGUUCUUUUAUAAACGAAGAGGAACGAAAUGAAUUCCGACGGAAAUUCAUUAUAACCGUCGUCUAAUAACAAUUAAACGACGUUAUUUGUAAUACGGCUCUCAUCAUAAUCUACGCCGUCUAUAUGUUCUGUAAUACGGCUCUCAUUUAUUUAGAACCGACGUUGUUUAGAAGUUCAACGUCGUCUAUAUUAUUAAGUGCGUCGUGAGUAAUGAAUACAUAUAAAUACAACGUCGACUAUAUAAAUGCCACCGACGUUGUUUCGCAUUUCAACGUCAACUAUAUAAAUACAUACGUCGUAAAUAAUGACACUGACAACUAUUUCCACGUCAUCUUUUUUAGAAAAAUCGAAGUGGAACAUUUAUUUCACGACGGUUCUUUGUAAAUAAGAGACGUAGUAGAUUUCAAUAACGUCGUCUUCUCAUGUAUUUAAAGACGUCAUAUUUUUUCUUGUCGUGUAAAUUGUAUUUAACGGCGUAGUAUUUUAGUUGUCGUCGUUGUAUGUAUAUCUUGCAGCCUUGUUCUUUUAAUAUGUGUCAUAUUUUUCCUUUUUAACGACGGUGAUUUGUUUGAGUUGGUCGUCUAUUCUCAUCCUCGACUAUUUUCUAUAACUUUAGCAGACUAAACACGUCUGUUUUUAUUUUUCCUGACGUUGUUUUAUUUAACAACGUCUAAGAUUUAUCGUCGUUGUUUGUUUCUGAAAAUAGGACGUAUAAAUUUUGUAAUACGACUCUCAUAUAUUUGUAACCGACGUUGUAUUGUUUUUCAACGUCUACUCUAUAAAUACAUACGUCGUAAAUAAUGACACUGACAACUAUUUCCACGUCAUCUUUUAUCGAAAAAUGAAGUGAAAAAUUAAUUUUACGACGGCUGUUUUUAUAUAUGCGACGUAGUAGGUAUCAAUAACGUCGUCUUCUAAUGUAUUUAAAGACGUCAUAUUUUUAUUGUCGUGAAAAUGAUAUUUAACGGCGUCGUAUUUUUAUUUUCGUCGUUGUAUGUCUAUCUUGCGGCCUUGUUCUCUUAAUAUGUGUCAUAUUUUUCCUUUUUAACGACGGUUUUUUUAGAGAGUUGGCCGUCUAUUCUCAUCCUCGACUGCUUUUUUAGAUCUUUUUGCAUUACAAAGACGUCGUUUUGUAUUUGUUGAUGACGUUGUAUAUUUUAACAACGACGGUGAUUUAGCGUCGUGGUUUAUGAGGGAAAAGAUGACGGUGGAUUCCACGACCAUUGAAAAACCGAAUACACGACUGUGAUUUACCGUCGUCUUUUUGCUUUUUUGUAGUAGUGUGUUUGUUCUCGUGAUGGUAGGCUGAAGUUCCUCAUUGCCUUGAAAACUAUUGCUUGGUCAAAAAGUUAACUUUUCUUUAGUGUGCGAGUGUGCCACUGCUAGUAAUGAAAAAUCCUAACAGACUUCGAAAAUAGAUAACUUGCGCCCCAAGUUACUGAUUUCUAAACAAGUGAAUGUGAAUUUGGGUGAGGAAUAUCUCCCAAGUAAGUUCUUUUCUUGCCUCAGACUGGUGAGCACUUCACAAUUUUCACAGUACAAUAUUGGUAGUUCUGGCCAGAAUAAAUGAUGAGAAAAUGAACUGUUUUUUAGGCAGAACUGCCUUUUACAAAACUCAAAAGGGAAAAACCAACUCUAGAAAGACAAAAAGAAUGCUGGACUUCCAUUUCUGCAUGGAUAGAUGCUUCUGAUCCGAGCUGGACUUGGUAUGUCUGUGCUGAACUGGACUGUCAGCAACUUUAAUUGUCAAGUUUCAGCUGUAAAUCGAUACCAACGUUCGAGUUUGGCAUAGCUUUAAUCUAUUUCAAGUCCUAUGAGACUGUUUGAACGGUCAGAAUUGCAGCAUCUUCAGUCUGAAGGGGUAGAAGUCACUGGAUUAAAGGAUUACUGAAUUGGAACUACACUGUGAUGCCUGUUUUGCUUUAUCAGGGCUCUCCAUAAAUUUGUUGAGGUUUUCAUAUUUGUAAAAACCCAGGCUCUGCUUGUUUUGGCUUUUGCUGCACCAAAUUUGCAACGAAAGAAAUCUCGUUUUUUAGACUUUUCUCUAAGUCUGAAACUAAUUUGUAGCUUGCUUCUUUCUUGUGGCUCAAUGAGCUUUUGGUUGCUUCAGUGUUUUGAAGGUUUUUGAGAUCAAGGGAUCAUUUUGAGUUUUUGCUGUUGAUUGAUUUUUUUGGUUGUUUGAUUGAUUGUCUUUGUUCUGUUCACCCUUUCUUAUAUUUAUAAGAAAUGUUUUGGAGUAGGAUUUCUAAUUCUUUUAAUAGUGGGUGGUAAAAUUUCUCAAAAGAUCUCUCAUUUUUAAAUGCAAAGAAAAAUGGGUUCUAUCAAUUUCUGGCAGAUAAGCCCUCAAUAGUUAGUUCCUAAGGCAGUCACUUCCCUAUUUUUCUUGAAAGAAAACCUAACCCUUCUUCCAAUUUAACUGCUCCUUGUAAGAAUUCAAACUGUGAUGGUUAGUUUUGAUCUUCCAGAUGAACAACUCCAUGCACCCUACUUAUCUCUUUUAGAAAAUAUAGCCUGCUUAUCUCUUGGAAAUGGCACCUGUUUUGGUGCAGAACUUCUCUAUAAUAUAUAAAAUUCUGACCUUCUUCUUUUGGCUGAGCAAAUAUAGAGAAGUCCUUCUGUAACACCUGCCCUUAUUAAUUUCCUAUCAACCUCUCUGUAAUAGUUGAAAAUUUUGACUUUUCAACGUUAGUUAGUCACGUGGGUUUGUUUAGGAAAGAUCUUUUGAUUUUGUCAACCUUCUAAGGGUAGAUUUUUUAGAUGGUAAAGAAAGGUUGGGCUAGUCUCUUUUUAGUGGAUAAGAAAGCCCCAAAUAUUUCCGUCUUAUGGCCCUUUUUUUGAAAAAGAGAUGGGCCCAGUGUGCUAGAAAUUGGCCCAAUCUUAAAAGACUCUGAUGGCUGCCCAUUAUUUUGACAUGGGGUUUUUUGAUUUGGGCUAUUGAUUCCAAUUUUGAACAAAAAGCCCAAAUUGCUUGGAUCCUGGGUUUUGUCUUCCUGGGCUUCCAUCGCUGAGCUGGGCGUGCAUAUUUUGGCCCAACAUAAUUAGAUCAUUACAGACACCAAACCUCUCUAUCCAGCCAUGAGUGAAUUAUAAUAAUAAUCAUCAAAAUAAAGCGAUAAUAAUAAUAUUAAUGAUAACAACAAUGAUAAUAAUAAUAAUAAUAAUAACAACACUAACAAAAGUAAUCCAUGGAAAUACCAUAAUCAUAUCUUCCAAACGCGUACCCUCAAACUAAGAGCUACGUAAAUAAAUCCCUGAUGUGUUCAAGCUAAUGCAUAGAAAUCUCUUUCUUUCUAGUUUAUCAUAGAAUUUUAGUGAGCCUCUCACCACCUACUUUCCGUUCCAUCUUAUUCACAUUUUGCUUAAACACAUUGUUUGUCCAUAUAUACUCGACUUUGCCUAGCAUAUCAAAAGGCACAAAUACAUCUUGCAUCAAGGGACUUUAAAUUCUUUCUUUCUAGUUUAGUAAUGAAGAUUUGGGGAUUCGAACUUGAAAUCUAUUCCAAAAGACGAGACGGUCUCAAAGACCCGCGGUCAAUGGUUUGGUCAAACUUUACUAUUUUUGGUCAACUGGGCUUGCGGGGCCCAUGGCCUCCGAUUUCAAUUCUAAAGUUCCUAGAGGUCCAACAAAGUCUACUGAACACAUCCUGAAAGUUUGGUCUCGAUCGAGGAGUCGGAUUGCUCGCGAUCACACGAACAAACGGUCACCAUUUUACAUAAUCUUUGAACCAUUGAUUCAGAGUAUCCGGGACCCCGAUUCUCAAUCCGUUCAUUCCUACACAAUCCUAGAGGUACCUAGAUCAACAUAUUUGGAAAUGGAGUCAAUUCAACAGUCCGAAUGUAUCGAACCCGGAUAAGGCCUAAUAUGCGUAAAUCCGAUCGACCGUCAAACGAUAACCAAAUUCAAAUCCGAGCAUGCCAUCAUGCUCGGGACGACACGGGGAACAUUUUAGGACCAAAUGAGCCACCCAAACAUGGCCCACAAGCCACCACACGAACCGACAACGCGUGGGAGUCUUGAGAAAAUUCUAGAGACCUAAAAAUUCUCGAAACACCCAACAAUACAUAUACCUACGUGAUCAGGACAAUGAGUAGAGUAACUUUUGCUCUUGGUUUAGUUUGUAUAAUAAUGUUUUGGAGCAACUUUUGUUCUUGGGCCGCGGUUAAAAAGUGGCCAGAACUUACUGGAAUUUCGAACCGAAUACCGACUGAAACUUUGAAUCGUAAAACGAGUUGCAAAACUUCAAAAUCUAUCCUAACCAACCCAACCAUCAGCUAAAUCACGUUGAAAGCAUGAGAAAGCAUACUUAGAUAGACAAAAAUGGAGGCAGAAAUUGUUGAAAAGUUUGACGAAAUUUAGGCAUGUUUUUCGCCAUUUCGGGCAACGAUGAUUGUCAGUUGCGGCGGAGGAAGGAUGAGGUGGGAAGAGGAAGCUGAGCCAGUCGUUUUGGUACCGGUCUUGUGGCCAACGGUGGUCGAACGUGAAAACUACCGGCCAAAAUGUGGCUAGCUGGAGCUUGGUGGCGAGGAGAGAUGAGAGGAAGAGAGAGAGAGAGAGAGAGAGAGAGAGAGAGAGAGAGAGAGAGAGAAGAAAAAAUCUGGGUGAGAGAGAAAAGAAAAAAUCUUGGUUUGUAAAAUUUCAACUUCGAGUUAUUUACGAUUGUGUCCAAAAUAACCCUACCCCCAAGGGUAAAAUUGUAAUUUUGCAAUUAAUUAAACUAAAUCAUUUAUAUAUAUUAAAUAAAUGGUUUAAAGUUGGGUCAGGAUGUUACAAUUUACUCCAACUUUUUUCGUAGAGAUCGAGGGAGAAGAAAGAGAAGGAAGUUCGAUGGUCAAAGAAUCUAUGUGUAAAUAUUCCCUGUGUGAAAUUUUGCUCAAACAUUAAUGUUGCAAUUCGUCUUUGAAUAAAAAUUUUCAUUCUUUAGCAUGUAUAUAUGUGUAUAUAUAUAUAUAUAUAUAUAUUGUACAAGCAAUAUAUCAUAUUUGGAGAGAGGGAAUUGAAGCAUAAGUCUCAGAAGCAGGGUAAUUAUAUUCUUAACCACUUUAGUGGAGUAUGGAUUUAUAUAGUUGUGUUGUGUGUUGGGCAUAAUAGAUAGAUCAUGUCAUCAUCCAUGCAUUCUUUCCUGGUGUGUCCCAUGUUUUCAAGAACAUACAUAUUUUGUUUCACGUUUCAAAUUUAAAACAAGCUCUUUUUAAGGACUUAACUACUAAAAAAAUUGAAAUAGAAGACGGAGAAAAACCGUUGUCUUUUUUCUUUGAAAAUCAUUGUUAAAUUGACCGUUAUUUUUUGAAUGUUAAAUUACAACAGUGAUCCAUUGUUGUCUAUUAAUUAUAAAAACGACGCUUUUACUAUAAACUGUCGUUUAUUAAAGGUAAAGCUAACGGUUUUGUUAAACGAACCGUCAUCUAUUAAUUGUAAACACAAUGGUGUGUUUGAAAGAAUCGUCGUUUAUUAUAUCUAAAGAUGAUGGUUUUUAACCAACAUCCUAACUCUAAAGACGACGGUUGUGUUGAAAAACCCAUCGUGUAUUAUCUAAAUUUAAAAAUAAAAUAAAACAUAAAGAUUUUCAACUAAAAUGAGGUCGGCUUGACAGCUUUCGGUUUUAGUAUAAUAAAUAUUCAAUAUCUUCUUAGGGUCUCCCUUUCUUAUACAAUUUCCAUGUACAAAGCAUGAUCAUGCGAAUUGUGAGGCUAAUUAGGCUGAAAACGCUUUGACAAAUUUCAAUCGGUAUAAUUAAUUUGGAUUAAUUUGUUCUGUAGUGAGCGUCUUUAAUUUUCUUGAAACUAUAAAUAUAUAUAUAUAUAUAUAUAUAUAUAUUGGGGUGACAUGCUCCUUAUUAUCUUCCAACCAAAAAUAAAAUAAGAUAAAAUAGGAUAAAUUACAGUAAACCCCCCAACCUAUAGGGUCAUUUACGAGUCCAUACCCGAUUUUGGGGACAUUUAUGGGUACAUAAUGUCGCGGAAAACCUACAGAUUGCCCUAUCCAUUAGCGAGUCCGUCAGGAAAUCCGUUAUCUGCCUACGUGGCAAACACUACUACAUUUUACCCUUUGCGCGACGAAUAACAAAACGUCGCGCAAAGUCCCAUUUAGUCGCACUAACUUCAGCGCGACAAAAAAUUCGUCGCGCAUAUUCCGUCGCGCGAAGAUCGUGAAGAAAGCCUUUGCGCGACGAGGUAAAACCAUUCGUCGCGCAAACAUGUGCGACGAGUAAACCAUCGUUGCACCAACGGUAUGGAGACGAAACAACUGUUCGUCGCAUAAAAUUUGCGCGACGAACAAGUAUUCGGCAUACGUAUAUUUGCGCGACGACAAGACUAGCGCGACGAAAAACCAUUCGUCGCGCAAAACUUGUUUGGGAGACGUAGAUGUUCGCCGCAGAACCAUUCGCGCGAUGAGAAAGUUUUCGUCGCUCAUAUAUUUGCGCGACGAAAUUUCUGUCGUCGCGCAGACGAUAUGCGCGACGAACACAUUCGUCGCGCAAAACUUGUUUGCGAGACGCAUGUAUUCGUCGCGCAAGAAUUAAAAGUAAUUAAAAAGUUAAAUUUUUAUUUUUUGUGUGGGUUUGCGCGACGAAACAUUUGCCGUCGCGCAAAAAUAAUAUUACAUUUUUUUAUUUUUUUUAUUUUUUAUUUUAAAUAAAAUUGGUUUUUUUUUUAUUGAUUAAACAAUGAAAUUGCAAUAAAAAUAAAUUAGAAUAAAAUUCUUUUAUAAAAUAAGAUAAAUGUAUUACAAACAUAUAAAUGUUUAUGAUGAAAAUAAAUACACUAAUCAAAUAAUGAAUCAAAAUCAACCGUGUCGUCGCCAGUAUGCUGCUCGGAGGUCUGGGCAUUCACCGGGGCAGUGGUCUGAUGGGGCUGCGCGGGAUGGACGGGCUCGGAGGUCGGCGCAUCAAAAUGCGGGACUGGAAUGCCGGACUGUGCGAGGGACUGCAGAAUGACCGACAUCUGGCUCUGAAGAGUGGCCACCUGUGCUGUCAAAGCAGUGACCUGACUGUUUGACUGCGCCGAUGAACGAGGUCUAGGCUCCCUCCUCCGGGCAUUCCCCAUCCCUCGACAAUAUGUCCCCGGCCUCCUCCCGAGAGUCUGAUCCAACGUCUCCGUCAAGAUCUGAAAUCCAGCAUCCUGUGGAGGAGCCACAGACUCGAUCGGGGUCUCGGGAGGAAGCUGGGAGGCGGACUCCUGAAGAACCAACUGGCUCCUCUCCACCAUCGUCGUCUGUUGAACAUAACAUAAAAUAUAAAUUAAAACAUGCAUAUAAAUUGAAUGCGUAACAUAAGAAUUAAAAUUAAAUAAUACUUACAUGAAGGGACUCGGCCAACUCAUUCCCGGGUCGAACAUAAACGUCACCAAAGACGUCGAUCUCUGGGAACUUGGACCCCUCCUAAAUUGAACAAGAGAAGAAAAAUAUUAGUAUGAAAAAAAUAAAUUAAUAAAAAUGACAUUAAAAAUGAAAUAUAAAUUUUGUGAUUAUUACCCGACGCCGUGCAUCCAUCCUAUACGAAAAGGGUCUGGAGCCGGAAUGGUGGAGAAGGGUCUUCUUCUUCCUAUUACCCUUAUUCACUUGGGCUUUAUUCUGUUAUACAAAAAAUGAAACAUAUUAGUUAAAAUAUAAAAAAUUAAAUAAUAAUGAAAUAAAAAAAUAAAAUAAACAUUAAUAAGUAAUAAGUAAUAAUUAAACAAAUAUAAUUAAAAAAAAUACCGCAAAUUCGGGCGCUUGAAAAUGAGCGCAGAGCCACUCCCAACUAUCCUCCCGCCCCUCAAGCUCCUUCGGGCAACCCUCAUGAAGAGCGACUUGCGGAUCAUCAUAGGCCUGAAAAUGGUGGUGCAAGUCGCUCUUCCACUGCUUGUACCUCUCAGCGAAGAGUCUGUUGAGGUACGUCAACGACUCUUCGUCGAGAUCCUCCAAGUUAUAGUUCGUCUGUAAUCAAUUAAUUAGAUACGUUAAGUAAUAGAAAUAUACACAAUUUUAAAGAAAAAUAUUGAAAAUGUAAGGUACAUACCGACAACUGGCCGCGAACCUCCGCCUUGAUCUCGUCAAGCAUGACCCUCCAAGACUUCCAUUGCAUCGGGCAAUGGGUUCGCACGACGUGGCCAAUGUCGUGGGCCAAGGAGCUAUGCAACUCUGCCGUCGGUGCAGCCCGAUGGCGCUAGUCGUACCCGAUGCUGAUACGACUGUUGGUCACCCGAGUGACCUUCGCCGUCUUCAGCUGACGACACGGUCCUCGGGUGUUCUUCUUCGCUGCAAAGCAAAAGGUAUUAAUGUUAAAUAAAAAAACAUUGUUAAAUUUCAAUAUAAAAUUAACAAUACAAAAGUGUAGUUAUACCUGACUGUGAUCCCGAGGCACCAGUACCGUCGGUCGAUGUCGUGUCGAUGGAGUCGGUGGGCCGGUGCCGCCGCCUAGCACUAGCUGGCUGCGCCACGGAUGACGCAGAUGACGCAGGCGCCUGGGGCGACUGGGACGCCCCGGGACCAACCACCACGUGGUCCAUCAAAGCUGGAGCAGUGGCAGCAGAUGCCGACUGAGCCGGGGGAUCCGAACUCGGUGCAGUCGUCAUCGUCCUACCACGUCUAAUCAAGUCUGACAUCUACACAUUUAAUUUCAUUCAGAAUUUAAACUAAUUAAUUAAAAGCAUAGCAUGACCUAGGGUUUGGAAUUUCGGAGUAUCCGGGACUCCGAUCAACGAUCGGUCGAAUCCUAAACGACCCUAGAAACACAAACGUACAACUACAUGAGUUUCAGUUCGAUCCAACGGUCCGAACAUAUCAAACCUGGAAAUCGCACAAUAGGCGAAAUCCGAUCAAGACUCAAACGGCAACCAAAUUCAAACCGGCCAAAACCUAGGGUUUUAAUUCCUAUUUCCUAUAGCGAAAAUUCACAAAAUCCUAACCAACCAUCAGCUAACCAGUAACAUAUCCAUCCAGCCAAUCAAUCAUAACAAACAUACAGAAAUCAUAACACAAAUACAAAAUCAAAAUCAAAAUCAAAACUGACAGAAAUCAUCAUAACACAAAUACAAAAAUAAAAACUGAAUUAACACAUACUUCAAUGGACACAGAGUCGAUAGAGGCUUACAGUGGCGCAGAGAAAACAGACGCGGGAGUGGCCCAGAGAAAAGAGAAGCGGCAGUGGCUACGGUGGUGAAGGCAGGGAGGCUACGGUUGCGAGGGCGACGGCAAGGAGGCUACGGUGGCGACGGCGACGGCAAGGACGCCACGGAACGAGCGGAGGUGGCUGAGGUGACGGCGGAGAGAGAGGACAUAAUUCAUUGCGCAAAAUCGUUUUAAUGAACCUUGCGCGAUGACAAUUCCGUCGCGCAAAACAGCAUUAAUGAAUCUUGCGCGACAACCUAAUUUAUUCGUCGCGCAAAGUUUUUGUUCACCGCCAAAAUUUUGGGAUUUAGGGUUUAGGGCGAGGCGGAAAUUGAAGGGUCUGCGCCUUUUGCGCGACGAAGUAAAUGAGCGUCGCGCAAAGGAUGAUAUUGCGCGACGGAAACAUUAUAUUCGUCGCGCAAAACACAUUCUCGGCGCCUGAUAUUGCGCGACGGAAACAUUAUAUUCGUCGCGCAAAACACAUUCUCGGCGCCUAAAAAUUGAGAUUUAGGGUUUAGCGGGAGAGGUAUCUGUCUUUUGCGCGACGAAACAAGUAACCGUCGCGCAAUAUUACCUUUGCGCGACGACUAUGUAUUCGUCGCGCAAAACACGUCUGGCUGCAAAAAUUUUGGGGUUUAGGGUUUGGCUGGAGCUGAAGGGCCAUUGCCUUUUGCGCGACGAAGACGUGUUAUUCGUCGCGCAAGUUCAAGAUUGUGAUUCGGUUGAAAUUUUCGCUAAGUGUUCAGAGGGUUGAGGGAUUGCGCGACGAAUAAACUAUGUAUUGCGCGACGUUUUUGUUUUAUUCGUCGCGCUAGUGUAGAAUUUCAUUGGGUUAAAAUUUUCACUAAGUGUUGAAAGGGGAUGGAGGGGUGGACUUUGUGUCCCAGAUUGCGCGACGAACGAAACCAUAUCCGUCGCGCAAUCAUAAUAUCUUUCACUUUGCGCGACGAUAUUAUGUGUUUCGUCGCGCAAAACCUAAACCCUAAAAUGUAAACCCUAAACCCUGAGCCCUAAGCCCUAAACCCUAAACCCUAAAAUAGUUUCAAUGAUCCAACCGGCAAACUUAUUUUUUUUUUCUUGGAGAUCGUAUACGCCAAAAAUCAAAACGACCAAACAUUCAGAUAUCAGAAAACGGGACAAAAUAUUUCGACGGUUAUAAAUGAAAAGUCAUGAUUUAACGGUUAUUUUAAUACCGAUUCCAAUCAUUUUUUAUAGCAACAUUUGUUGACCCUAUAUGAAUACAAUGACUGAAUUUGAUCUUCAAUUUCAGAUUUUUACACUAGGGGAUACCACAUAAACGUUAAGUUACAUUUUGACAAAUGUAUGAACAAAUUUUUGAUUUUUGGUGAAUAUAUGAUUUUGAUAGCACACGCAGUCUACAAAACUAGUUUCAGUCAUCCAGCCGUCAAACUUGUUUUUUGACAAUUCGAGAUCUUGGACAGCAAAAAUCGGCCAAAAAAAACAUUCAGAGAUUAAGUAACGGGGUAAAACUUUUCGACGGUUCGAAAUAAAAAGUGAUGAUUGAACGGUUAUUUGAACUCCGAUGUUGAUGAUUUUUUGCACCAACAGUCCUACACUCCAUAUGAAUACAAUGAACUACUUCGAUCGCCAAUUUCAAGUAUAUAUGUGUGUAUAUAUUAUACUAUAACGUUACGUAAUAUAUAUUUGCGCGACGAAGUCACUCUUAUCGUCGCGCAAAAGUACCAUACGCGACGCACAUAUUUUCGUCGCAACACUAGCUUUAUUCGUCGCGCAAAAUUUACGCGACGCAUUUUUAUGCGUCGCGUAUGGUGUUUUUGCGCGACGAUAAUGAUACUCCGUCGCGCAAGGAUUUGGCGCCAUAACUCCACCUUUAAUUCAAAUUGUGUAUGCUUUGUAUUUUUUGGAAAGGUUUUGUAUUCAUCAUUUUUUAUGCUUUGUAUUUUUUGGAAAGGCUUUGUAUUUCUUCAUCAAAACCAAGCUAAAUUGAUAAUUAAGAUUUGAAUCGACCGAAUUUAUCGGUUUGACUAGAUUGAUGCCACUAAUCAUGAACCAAAGUCAAGAAAAAUAAGUGGCACACAGCUAAUAUUGGAGAAAUAACUUAAAUUUUCUGUUUAAACAUGAAGAAAUAACUAUAUCUCAAAAGAUAAAAAUAAUAAUUGAAGAGGCCUUAAGGCAUGAAUAAAUAAAUAAAUAAAUAAAAACCAAUCAACAAGCAUGGGGUCGUAAUAAGUACUGACGAAAGUAUUGACUACAGUAUUGACAUUCCAAUGAAGUUUGUGAUGAAAUAUGGAGAAUGAAUACACAACUACAUAUGGACGACUGCAUAUAUUCAAAGAUUUGUAUUACACAAAAUGAAUACACUAACAUAAUAAAUUUACAAAUAAAUUCAUUAUUCAUCAUUUGAACUAUAAUAACUUUCGUUAUCGUCGCUAUCAUCACUCUCGGUCUCCCAAUCUUCUUCCUCCUCCUCCUCUAUAACUGCAUCAUCGGCGUUGCUAGGGCCCACUGCAACAUCGUAUCGGGGAAGAUCACCGAGGUCAAUUGUAAUUGACUGAAUCGGUAUUUCGACUGAAGACACUCCUUCUAUUUGAAACGGUUCUUGUAUAACAUUUGUAUCUCGAAGUGUUUCCGCAUCAUUUUCCAUUGAAGAUUCUAAACGUUGGUCAGCCACAUUGUCGACGGCGUUGUCACUUGGGUCUAGUUCUGGUAUAUCAUACACGUUCCUAUGAUCCAUCUUCUGCACAACUUUCCACCCGUUCCCGGCUUUAGGGUCAUCUAGAUACACAAUUUGGGACGCCAUGUGUGCCAAAAUGUACGGGUCGUCAUCAUACCAAGUUCUGUUAAUGUUCACAGACAGUACUCCAUGGUCGAUUUUAACACUUCCCGCCCUAUUUGGGUUGGUAUCGAACCAUCGACACUUAAACAUGAUGACUUGGUAUCGAUCUUUGUAAAGCAAUUGCACGACAGUUGUCAGUUUGCCGUAGAAAUCAAUGUCCGUACUUUCGCCUCCACCUGGGACAUGGACACCGCUAUUUUGCAUACACAACUUGUCAUCUCGUGCGGCCCCCAAAAAUUUGACGCAGUUAACAUUACAACCCGAGAACAAUUCAGCGCGAAUUGGGCCGAACGCCAAGUUAUAUAACUCAUCACUGUAAGUGGGGGAAUUCGAUGAUUUCAAUUUAUUCACCUAAUAGUAUACAAAACCAUUUACAUGUUAGUCAGACAAAAUUAAAUACUACAAUUUAUAUCUGUCAAUUAUAAAACACUUAUAACUUACAGAAUCCAAAAACCAUUGUGGAAAUAAUUCACGGUGUUUCCGGGCAACCAAAUGUGAUGGAUGUUCUCGCUUCAUCAUCUGUUCAUGCUCAUCUAAGUAGGCCAUUAUCUCAUCACAAUUGUUCAGUACGAACCAAUGCGCUACCUCCAUGUCAUUUCUAGAAAACGACUCUCCUCGUCCAGGAUCUCCAAAUGGUCGUGCGCUUUGGGCAAAAACAGAAAGUUUUUCAUUUCUCAUACCUCCGUCAUUAUUGCGUUGAGGACGAUUGAAAACCGUCUCCACAUCUUUUAAAUACAUUCCACAGAAAGUAAGCGACUCAUAUUGAACCCAAGCCUCUAUAAUUGAUCCUUCGGGCUUUGCCCUGUUGCGUACACUUUUUUUCAGCUCUCCGAGAAGCCUGCCAAAAUAAAACGAUAUGAUACAAAUUAGCAAAUUGUCGAUAAUGAUGCAUACACAAAUUAUAAAGAUUAUAUACCUUUCUAUUGGAUACAUCCAGCGAUAGUUGACAGGACCAGCAAGCAAUGCCUCUUCUGGCAAGUGAACCAUCACGUGUAUCAUACUUGUAAAGAAAGCUGGCGGAAAUAUCAUCUCAAACUUGCAUAGGACUUGGACAAUGUCAUGGCGCAACUGAAACAUGUCUGUCCUUCGCAAUGUUUUUGCCGUCAGUUGGGAAAAAAAUCUGGAUAACAAGAUGAUUGGCUUCACCACAUCUUCCGGCAGUAGGUGUCGAAUACCCAUAGGAAGUAGGCGUUGCAUAAACACAUGGCAGUCAUGGCUCUUAAGUCCAGUAAAUUUACCCCCAUCGACAUUCACGCAACGUGCGAUAUUAGAAGCAUACCCAUCGGGAAAUUUGACAGACGAUACAAACUUUAGAAACUCUUUUUUGUCAUUCGGUUUCAUAGAAAAGAAUGCAAGAUCCCUUCUAGCUUUAUCACUGUAUUUCUUCAUCCAUAAACCCCUUCGUAUGCCCAUUCUUUCCAAAUCAAGACGAGCUUUGAUCGUGUCCUUCGUCUUCCCCUCGAUAUCUAGAAUCGUGCCCACCAAUGUGUCGAAUACAUUUUUCUCAACAUGCAUCACAUCUAGAUUGUGCCUCAAUUUCAGUUUCGACCAAUAUGGGAGCUCAAAAAACAUAGGCUUGUGCGUCCAGUUCAAAUGUGUAGAAGGUCUGGUCCGACUAACUGUUUUUCCGAACGGAGCAAAAUCCAAACGGUUCAACUGUUCCAAGAUCUCAUCACCGGACCAUUCUCUAGGUCUGAGGCGACGCUCUGUGUUCCCGUCGAACUCUUUAUCUUUUUCCCGCCAUUCGUGGUCCCAUGGCAACCAUCUCCGAUGACCAAGGUAACAAACUUUUCCUGCGUGCCAACCAGAAGUUACAUCUUCCUUGCAUACAGGACAUGCCAUAUAACCCUUUGUGCUCCACCCAGAAACCAUUGCAUAUGCUGGGAAAUCAUUCACAGUCCACAUAACUGCUGCCCGCAAAGUGAACAUCCUCCCAGUUGAUUUAUCGUAUGUGCGAACACCGUUUGUCCAUAAAUCCUUCAGCUCAUCAACCAGAGGCCUUAAGUACACAUCAAUUGACCUGCCAGGAUCCUCAGUUAUCAAAACAGUCAUCAUCAUGUAUUCUUUUUUCAUGCAUUUCCAAGGCGGCAAAUUAUAUGGGAAUGCGAAAAUCGGCCAAGUGCUGUGGUGUUGGUUUAGAACCCCAUACGGAUUGAAUCCAUCAGUGGCAAGUCCCAAUCUAACAUUUCGGGGAUCAGCAGCAAACUCGGGGAACGUUCGAUCGAACUCUUUCCAUGCCUCCCCAUCAGCAGGAUGCCGCAUCACAUCAUCGUCUACCCAUUUUUCCUUAUGCCAUCUCAUGUCUGUGGCAGUAUGCGUCGACAUAUACAAUCUCUGCAACCUAGGUUUAAGGGGCAGAUAACGCAUCACUUUUUGUGGUAUCUUAGUCGUUCUAUUCUGGGAUGUCAUUUUGAACCUCGACUCAUUGCAUAUAGGGCAUGUAUCCAACGUUUCAUGCUCUUUGUAGAAUAACAUGCAAUUGUUUUUGCAAACGUGGAUUUUUUCAUAACCCAAUCCAAGACCAUGCAACACCUUCUGCGCAUGUUUAUGGUCUUUCGACAAACAAUUGUCCGUCGGAAGCAUUCUCUUGAAAACCCCCAAAAAGUAAUCAAAACACAAGUUCGACAUACGAUACUUUAUUUUUCCGUGCAUUAGCUCCACAAUGGCAGUGAGAACGGAAAAGCUCUCGCACCCCGGGUAUAACUCUUGGUUGGCAUUUUUUAACAGUUUUUCAUACUGUUCAAACUCCGCACUGUCUAUUGGUGUAGGCACGUCAUCUUCCCCUUCCUGAUUGAUGUUGGUCGAUGCGAAUGGAAAAGCAUCCUGUAUAAUACCCAUGACUUGAUCAUUAGGAUCCACAAUAGGUUCAACAUUGUCCACUCUCGGGGCAUUUGAAGAAGAAGCAUGGUCUACUUGUUCGCCGUGAAGGUUCCAAAUGCUAUAUGUUUCAAUCAUUCCAUUCCUUACUAAAUGAAAUCCAACAUUUUCAAUUGUCUCCCACAACGUGUUGUUACACCUCCUACAAGGACAACGGAUUCUAGUUGCACCCGGGUUGUGUCUACGUGCAAACUCAAUAAAAUCCUCGAUUCCAUCCAAGUAUUCGUCUGCGCAUCUAUUCGGGUUCUGUAUCCACCUUCUGCUCAUAAUUCCUGAAACCACAAUCACGACACAACAAUCACAACAACUUCAUACGAAGUUAUAAUGUCACCUUAUGCCUCCGGUAAGGGCCCUAUCCCAUUCGGGAAUGCAUAGUCCUGUCACGUAACCUACGGCUACAUGAGAUUAGAUUUCGACGUGGAUUAAUUUCGGCAGCAUCUCGACACAGUUCUUGAAGUGGGCAUAGGUAUAAAUACCUACGUACCACCCGAAGAACGUACCGAGAUGACACCGAAAUCUCCACAAUCGAAACCUAAUCCUGUAGCCGAAGAUUAUGUGACAACACUAUGCAUUACCAAACUGUCCAAAUAAUGGGACAAUUCAAGAAUUAAUUGGACCUCAGUCAUGCAUUACGCAUCCAUGCACGAAAUCCAACUAAUCUCGAACGGGAAACUACGUGUUACUAAAUAUAAAAAUAAAAGUACGAAGUUAAUUUCAAUUAACUUCGUACAUCACAACACAUUGUGCUAUGUCACGCACAAUUUCACAACAUUAUACACAUAUAACUUCACAAAAAAAUUACAAACAUAACAAACAAACUUUUACAAUAACAUACCUUCUAAAUCGUUCUCCACCAAUCACCAAUCACAAAUAUCCCUAACGAUAACAAAAUUAAUAGCGUUACUAAGAAUUUACAUUAAUACAUUUAAACUAACGACAAAAAAUACAUACCCAAUGAACGUACUGAAUUCACAGCAGAGCAAUGGCAGGGAGAGUGAGAGAGAGGCAGAAUGCAGUGGGAGAGUGAGAGAGAGGCAGAAUGCAGAAACUGCAUUCUGCCUCUGCAAUGGCAGAUACUAAAAUGAAGAAGAAGGACUUUGCGCGACGAACAACCCAAUCCGUCGCGCAAACUGCCGUCGCGAAAACCCACUUUUCCGUCGCACAAAAAAAAAUUUCCGUCGCGCAAUUACCUGCCGACAUCAGGUUUUUUGCGCGACGAAUAAAAUUAUCCGUCGCGCAAAUAACAUUAUUCGUCGCGCAAGAUUUAUAUUACGUCGCGCAAAUAACAUUUAUUUCGUCGCGCAAGAAAGCAACGGCAUUACACUUUACGCGACGAAGGUAAUUCCGUCGCGCAAAAACAGUUUUUUCCACUCUGCAUUUUGCCGCCAAAAUUAAGUAACCCUCGUUUUCUUACGCGACGGUACUUAUUUCCGUCGCGCUAAGGCGUCUUUUGCGACGAAAAAGUUCGUCGCGCAAAGGUUUUUACAGCAACAAAAAUUAGACAAUUUUCUGUCCAUCUUUACGCGACGAAAUAUUUUUAUUGUCGCGCAAUAUUGUCAUGCGCGACGAUUUUUAUCGUCGCGCAAGAUUCUGGGACCAAAAAUAAAAACUGGGUUUUUUUCCCCGACCUUUGCUCGACGAAAUUAGUUGUGGUCGCGCAUAGAUUGUUUGCGCGACGACGAUAUUUCGUCGCGCUAGAGUUCUGCUCUUUGCGCUACGGUAUUUUUUUUUCGUCGCAAUAGUGAUUUUUGCGCGACGAAGAUAUUUCGUCGCGCUAGAGUUCUGCUCUUUGCGCUACGGUAUUUUUUUUUCGUCGCAAUAGUGAUUUUUGCGCGACGAAAAUAUGUUCGUCGCGCAAACAGUAAAUCGUAGUAGUGAAAUGUGGAUUCCAUUUUUUAAUUGACGUGGACUUACAGGUGGACAAAUAAAUAAUAAAAAAUUAUAUACAUGUUAAAAAUAAAUUUAAAAUAAUAUUAAAAUCAUUAAAAAUGAAAAAAAAAUAGAAAAAGGUAAAAAGACGCAAACAGCCCCAUUCCAUCCCCCCCUUCCAGCCCAACCUCCAACCCACCCUCCCCAAACCCUCCGAUUUGAACGCAUUCGAUUUGAAAGAACAAGCUCAAGCCGUUUGAACGCCCAAUUCUGUUUGAAAGAACACCCAGUUUUGUUUAAACGCGUUCGAUUUGAAAUCGUUCUCGGCCAGACUGGACCUAUCCGGGCUGUUCAAAGACCAUUCGUACGGCUCUGCGAAGGACAACGAGCGUUUCGUGUUGGAGGAGAUGAUGAAGAAGGUGGAGAAGGAGAAGACGAUGCCCUCCUCCUUCCUCUGCCGCUUCUUCGUCCUCGUUGCUUGCCCAGUUAAUUGACUGAACAUCGGUAAUCCCAAACAACAGGCCGUUUUCUGCAACCAGCCUAGGUUGCUGGGGAGGGAAGUCCAUUCCUUGAAUUAUACUAAACGAAUUCGGAUUCUGAUAUUAUUCUCAGCCAAGCAUUUUCUAUUUCAUAGGCACUGACGUUUGGGAUGCGAAAUUUGACUGGCCUCGAUGCCGUGAGGCUGAUCGAAAUUUGGGAUGUGAAAUUUGAAGUUGAACUCAACUAUGGUUUGGGGACGGCGACGACCACGACAUUGUUUUGGGGAAAAUGAUCAGAUCUGUGGCAUGAAGGAGGUGUUAAGGCUGGGAUGGGUGGCCUGAGUAAGCUUGGGUGGUGGUUUGGGUGGCUGUGGGCUAGGAGGGGAGGAGAUCGGGAGAGAGAGAGAGAGAGAGAGAGAAUCUUGGUAGGGUUAUUGUAUUUUAUUUUUUUAUUUUUAUUUUAGCCCCACGAGAAUUGUUUGUGCCAAUCCAUGCAAGGGUGAGUACCAUUGAAGGUACGCAGCUGGAGUCGGGGGUCGAUCUUGCGACCUUUGACUCCAUGGACAAAGUUGAUAAGAUCAAAAGGUGACACCCCAAAUGUUCCUUGUUGCUUCAGAUUGCUGUAUCGAAUGAGAAGAGCUCGUGGCAUUCAUUUGGGACCAAAUUUGGAUGUUGCCUGAGGAGGUCGCACCACUCCUCAGACACGCACACAAACUAGGGUUAAGAGUGGUGGGAAGUUCGUUCCACGUGGGAUCGAAAGCAUCUAAAUCUACCGCAGAGCGAUAGCUGCAGCUAGAGCUGCAUUUGAUGUGGCUGAUGAGCUCAAAAUUCCCAAAAUGCAUGUCCUUGAUAUUGGUGGUGGGUUCAAAGCAAAUCAACUGUUUGAUGAAAUAGCCGAGACCAUAAAUGUUGCCAUCAAAUAAUACUACUUUUAUGAUCAUCAGUCAGAUUCUGAUCUGAAGGUGAUGGCUGAGCCAGGAAGGUUCUUUGCUGAAACUGCAUUCACAAUGGUUGCAAAUGUGAUGGGGAAGAGAGUGAGGGGAGAGCAAAGAGAGUAUUGGAUUAGUGAUGGAAUUUAUGGGUCAUUUAAUCUUCCAGCAUAUGACAAAUCCUCUAUGCAAAUCUCACCCCUACAAAUUCUAAGUCCUCACCAAAAUCAAGUGACAUAUUCAUCAACAGUUUUUGGGCCGACUUGUGAUUCAUUGGACAUAGUUGUUGCUGACUGCAAACUGCCUGAAUUAAAGCUGAAUGAUUAUCUUGUGUUCCACAACAUGGGCGCCUACACAACUUCUGCUGGAACCAACUUCAAUGGCUUCUGCAUUUCUGCUAUUCCUACGUACGUGGCAUUUACAAGUGCUAAUAAUUAAACUAGAUUUUGUUGGGGUUCGUAUGGCUGAUGCUAUUUUACUGUAAUUUCUUCUUUUAUUCUCUAUUAAAAGAGAAAAAACUGUUAGAAGUGGGGAAUGGAAAAUAAGUUUUUUUGACUAGUUUCAAAAACAAAAAUUAAAGUAUUGUGUGAUCUCUCUCAUUUUUUUACUUUAAAUCUUGUUUGACUGUUUUGUGUGAUCAAAAAAUUAUUAUAUUAUGGGUAGAUGACAUGGUUUAUAUUUCCCAUUUUUAGUAUAAAUAAAUAUUUACUAAUAUUAUAAUACGUGGAUAACUUGUAUUACGUGUCUGUAUUUUAGUAUCAUCCUAUAUACUCAGGGCUCGUUUGGUACAUCAUACUGUAUUGACUAAUUUAUGUCAAAUAGUAUUAGUUUGUUUCAGAGAGUAUUGACUGUUUAUCUAUAAUAUUAUAAGUCGUUUUAGUUCUGUUUUGGAUCAAUAAUCUAACUAAAUUAUACUGUAUUUGGUACUUCGUAGGAUAACAUCGGAUCAUACUAUUUUUUUUAAUUCUUUGAUAACUUGACAGUCGCGGGGAUGAUGAAUUGAUAAUGUAACCAAUAAAAGACGACAAUAGAUAUCCAGCUAACAGUCUACAACUCAACAAAAGUGAGCAAUCAAGAGCACAUGUUUAACAAGAAAGAACUUGUAACCAAUAAAUCAGUAACACCAAGGGCAUCUGAGGGCUGGAAAACUCAAUCUUGGUACUACAAAUUUCAAGUUUCCAAUCUCACAAUGGAAUUUCAAAUAGUAUUGUGCUUUAUAAGAGAUAUAGGUGCAACAAAUUGUACUAGUAGAGAGAUAUGCAACAGUUCGCAUUAUAUUUGUAACACUUGAAAGAAAAAAGACAAUUAAAAAAAAACGAAACAUGGGAAAACAAGAAUCAAUAACACGUACAAAUUAAUAAUUCCAACUCAAAUGGAUAUCAGCAGAGAAGUUUUUUUGCAACUAAUCCCAGUGUUCCAUGCUUCUUAAAUUAAACAUUUGAUUUAUAAAAAAAUGUCAAAAAGGAAAAACUUAUGACCUAAUUUCCACAAAAAUUGAAUAAAACAUGAAAUAUAUCACUAUAAGAAAAUUGAGUAUUUACUGCGUGCUAUUUAUGGUAUGCAUUUUAUGCACGCUGUAAAUGUGUUUUUCCAUCCUCUUUUUCCGGCGUGCAUUCAUAGCGCAACUUAAAUGAAUUUUUUCUGUCCUUUUUUACGGCGUGCUUUUACAAUGCGCCGUGAUUUUUAGGCAAUAAUGGCGUGCUUUUGAUGACUCUAUUAAUGGCGUGCAAAAUAUGCACACCGUGAAAUCUAAUCCUAUUAAUGGCAUACAAAAUAUGCAUGCCGUGAAUACAAAACUAAUUCUUGUUUUAAAGUCAAGGAUGGAUCCCAAAAUGGUAAAGCCCACUACCUAAUUGAUUGAAGAGAAAUGAUGAAGCUUGUCUGCCAUCAUCGCUUGAGAGCCAACCACAUAUCCAUGGGAGGCAAUAACACUACCAGAUUUUGUUGCCUAUAAAAUAAGGCUUCAUCCUCACUUGUAAUUGAUAGAACAAAAGUCUUAAUGAAAAUAUCAUAUUUCUAUGCUCUCUAUCUCAAUUUUCUCUACAAUUCCUCUAGAUUUAUAACACGUCAUCAGCACGAAUAUCUCUAAAAUACCAACUAGGAUAUUCGAUCAAAACACUCUGCUUCAUUGCUUUUCUUUAUCGGGUUUGAUUGAGUUGCUCAUGCUCUUCUGUGUAUCGAUAUAGCUUAUGUGAAACUUUGUUAUCACUGUCUCAGCUCUUUACUCUCUCUCUCUCUCUCUCUCUCUCUCUCUCUCUCUCUCUCUCUCUCUCUCUCUCUCACUCUAUAUAGCUUCAAAACACAAACCCAACAAAACAAGUUCUUGAGGAAGAUCAGACCAGUCAGCAAGAAUUAUUUUUCCUUGUUUUGUGCCACAAUUCCACCAGUGCUUCAGUCUUCAUCUCUGGGGAUGGAUCAGAAACCUGAAUCGAGCAAAGUAUGCGUUACUGGGGCAUUUGGCUUUCAGGCAUCAUGGCUUAUAUUAAACGACUUCUGGCUAUCAUGUAACUGGAACUGUUAGAGGCUAAAGGAGAGAAAAGAUCAGACGCACAAAACAUGAUAAGAUAAUCUCUGCCUUUUUAUCUUCUCCUUUAAUUUUAUUAAUAUUAUUAAUACCCUACAAGAACAGCACCCACCAAAUGAUGAGCUUCCCAUCCUAUUUUCAAUUAUUAUUAUUCUUCUAUAUUAUUUAAUAUUAAUAUUAGUGCAUGUGCUGGUGGCAGGUCAAAUGAAAAGGCAGUGGCAAGUGUGAUAUUGAUCACUUUCUUUGCUUGCCUGAUUAUAUAUUUGAUAUAACAUGCUAUAUAGCUCACAUAUUAGUAUAUCAAUAUAUUAUAUACAUUAACAAUUACUUAUAUACUAUAUAUAUAUAUAUAUAUUAAUUCUAUGAAUGGUUUCACCUCCUAUAUUUUUUUAGUGGUGGUUUUAUCCUCACAUUUAUUUACUGUAUGGUGUAGGUUCAUUACCCAUACAAUUUAUUUACUGUAUGGUGUAGGUUUAUUACCCAUACAACAGUAUUUAUUUAAAAGUGUAGUGCGGGUUUAUCGUCCACACAACUGCCUUUAAUUUUAUUUAAGAGUAUGUAGCAGAAUUAAUGCUCAUACAAGCACAUUUACUUUAUUAUUGUAUGGUGUGGAAUUAACCCCCAUACAACAAGCAAUUUACUUUUAUUUAAAGUAUGGUGUAGGAUUAACGUCCAUACAUGAGGCAAUUUAAUUUAUGAAUUUAUUUUACCGCACAUUUAAUUUUAUUUAAGGUAUGGUGCAGGAUUAACGUGCAUACAACAAGCAAUUUAAUUGAUGAAUUUAUUUUACCGCACAUUUACAUUUAUUUAAAGUAUGGUGCUAGUUUAUCGUCCAUACCAGCAAUUUAUUUACAAGCAAUUUAUUUUAUGAAUUAAUUGUGCGGUGUGAUGAGUUUUUAUAGUAUACAGAUUAGGACCAGAAGUUCUUUGAUCCUCAUCAGACAAUUACAUCAGGACUUGAAGAUCCUUGAUGAUGAUAAUGAUAUGAGAGUUGGCAGUCUCUCUGGUACUAUACUUGUAAAGAAGAGAUCGGACUUGAAGAUCCUUGAUCCUUGACAUGUAAAUAAGGACCUAGAGUUUCUUGACGAUGUAACAGUAUCGUAUUGGUUAAAAGUAUCGUACACAUGAAUAAUAACUGUACUGGCAAAUGUACUGUACACAUGAACAUACACAAAAUUCAUGACUUGAUGAAUAAUACCGCAUACAUGAAUAGUGACGUAUGCAUAAAUAUUAACCAUUUUGGGUAAACCGUCACUAUAUACAAAAGGGAAUAUGCAGUUCCUUAAAGUCAUGGAUGAGCAAUUAAAUGAGAUGCCAGAAGUUCCUAAAAAUAUGGACAAUUAUGUAAGGGCUUGAAGUCCCGAAAUAUGUACAGAAAAUUGUAAAAAUGUCAAUACCAUGAGAAUAUGUGAUUUUGGCCCGAAGUUCAAAAUCUAAGAGUAUUGAAUGCCCAUACUAUGAGAAUAUGUGAUUUGGCAUAAAGUUCAAAAUCUGACAAUAUUGAGAACUUGAAGUUCCUAUAGUUAAAUGGACAACCCUUGAGGUAUUAUUACAAAUUGUGGUGCGCCACAUAUUUCUUUGGCAUAAGAAAAUGAUGAAUUUAAUAAAGUUCGAUUAUGUUAUAAUCGACAUCUCAAGGAAGAAAUAUAUUUUGUGAAUUCCAGUCAUUAAAAAUACACCGUGAAAUAGAUAAUAUCAGGAUAAACCUCAAAUGAUGAAUUGAGGCUCCCCACAUAUUUUGUUGUAUUUGGGCCGGAAGACAGUGGAUCCAAAUAUGUGAGAGAUCCCGAACCUGAAGUUUUGGGUAUAUAGUAGUUAAUGCUCUUCACUACUAUAUUGCGAUAUUAUCAUGAUUUUUACUCAAUUCAUAUUUCAUGUCCAUUUGAAAAGGACGAAUAAAUUCUGAGGCUGUCUUUAGCCCGGGCCAGAAGUUUCGGGCUCACAUGCAUUGAAAUAUGUAAUUUGAGAGAUUUGAUGUGGUUCUUCAAACCUAUAUGGCAGAAGGUUCCAAACUGUCGUUUUGAAAAGACGUAAAAACUACAGGUGCAAGUUUAAGAAUUUGCAUAAUUAUUAUAACAGGAAAUGAGCAUAUAACAGAUGGAUUUUUUCCACGGGCAAUGAAGGUGCAGGCUCUGUAAAAUUUAUAAAAUUACAUUAUAUUUUGGAAGCCUUUGAAGGAAGAGGACGGCGCCUCUUUAAGCUUAGCCAUGAACCUCUUGUGGUCUCCCAAAAUCUUUUCAUUGGAAACCUGCAGCAUGUCUAGCCUUCUCAGAGUAUCAAUAGAGUACAAACCCACCAAUUUCAACAAGGCAUUAUUUUCUUCUCUAAGUUUCUCAACCUCCUGUUGAGACUCAUGAAGCAUUCUCUGAAGAGACGAAUUUUCAGUAGUCAGCUCCUGAACCUCGUUUUCUUUAGCACGCAAACAAUCAGUCAUGUUAGAAAUAGAAGCAACACUCUGACUGCUAAAAGUCAUUGAGUAAUCAAUAGCCUCUUCAUCAGACCUCACUAAUAACAGCAUUUCAUCCAUUGGAAUGAGGAAAUUCCUAGCCACUAUGACAAUAGUCGCAUCAUUCAUCAUCACAGAAUCAUUAACCGUGAGAUGACGAUUUUGAGAUACAAAGGAUGGACGCCAGACUUUGGCAUCACGAGUUGUGUUGGGAGUAACAUUUAAAUCAAUAUGGUUUGGGUAAGAAGAAGAGAGCCAUUUUUAGGAAAGUUUUAAGAGAAGCUGAAUUUUCAGAAAAUGAAAGGAAGUUGAGUUGAAACGUUCUCCAAUCAGGUCUUGCAGAGGCAAUAUCUAUUAGAGAAUAUAUGGUAACAAUUUCUAGGAUCCCAAUAUUCUCUCGGGUCCCCAUAUUCUCUUUCCCAUAUUCUACAACCUCACGCAGCCUCCAUUAAUGUAUGUCGGCACUUUCGGCAUUCUCAAGUAUUAUUUUCGUCAAAGCCGAUCUUGCUUUGUGGAUUUCACGGAUCUAAUUUUUCAAAAGCACAUCGAGAACCCCGCGAAUUUUUGUGGUUAAUUCGAGAUUCACCGGACCUAACUAUUCCGCUCAUUUAUGUGUAAAUGUGAUACUAACGAAAUUUUCUUUGCAGAAGACAUCCAGUUUUCUCCAUAUCUAGUGAUGCAAAAUCCACUUGUUUUUCCUAUCAGUGAGCACUCGAUGUGCUUGAGAAGCGAGACUAUCUCUAAUCAUCCAUUCAGGAACCGAGACUAUCCCUGAUCACGUUUCAGUUAGAUCAGGGAAUUGUAAGGACGACCACAUACUCUAAUCUCCUGAGAUUCUUCUAGACUAGGAGAAAUGAGAGUUUGUUGUCUGCUCCCACCAACUUCCUUCCUUGAUUGCUUACCUUAUCCUGCAAUUAAUAUCACAAUUUUUUUGCAUUUUUUCUCUUUUUAUAACUCUCUGUUCAUAAGGGAUUUUAUUUCUUUAGAACGAACAUCCAAAGAAAGAAUCCAUGAAGUGAUCCUAACUCUGAGGGUUGUUUGCUUUUUACAGAGAGAAGAAUUGUGAUUUUUGCUCUUGCAGGAUAUAACUAGAUCAUCAAGCGCUACAUUUUAUUUACUGGGCCGAUACGAGCUUGAAUGACACUUGAGAAAAGUUUCUCCCACCUAAGGAUGAGUUUUUUAAAAAAAAAAAAAUUUAUAGAGAUUCUAGAGCGUAUCGUAAUGGGGCCAAAAGGUUUGUUGAUACGGUUCAAGCUAAUAAUGGGGAUCCAGAAAAAAAUUCAAUGCCCUUGCAAUUGUCGUUUAAACUUACAACAUCACCAUCAUGGUAUAGUUUAUGGGCACUUGGUCAUGAAUGGAAUGGACCCUACGUAUACUAGGUGGAUAUUAAUUUCAUGGGGAAGAACCAAGUUCAUCAGUACAAGAUGAAUAUAGGAAAAUGCCAGAGACAUAUUUCAUGUAUAGAGAUGCAUUCCUUCAAGAUGAUGAUGCUGUUGAACCUACACAAGAUAGAGAAGAGCUGAAUUUUAAAAAUUUAGUGGAUGACGCAGAACUUCCCUUGUACACAGGUUGUUCUUACACAAAGAUGUCUGCAAUUGUUGUCUUAUACAAGUAUAAGGCUAGGCAUAGUCUAACUGAUAUAGCUUUUGACGGGCUUCUUCAUCUUCUUCACGGUUUUCUACCACGUGAUAACAGACUUCCAAAUUCUUUGUAUGCUACCAAAAAAUUACUCAAUGAUUUUGAUCUAGGAUAUGAGAAGAUACAUGAUUGUGUGCAAGAUUGCUGUUUAUUUAGAAAAGAUUUAAAGGAUGGAGACAUGUCCAAAGGUGGUUCUUCACGGUGGAAAAUUAAUGAGCGUACCAAAAAUAUUCAACAAUGAGUCCCUACAAAGAUCUUGCGUUACUUUCCAAUCAUACCAAGAUUUAGGAGAAUGUUUAAGUCACCAGAAAAGGUAGAACAAUUAACAUGGUAUUACACUAAUAAAAGUCAUGACGGCAAGAUGCGACAUCCAAUAGACACAUUGGCAUGGAAUAGGAUUGAUAAUAAGUGGCCUUCUUUUGCUUCAGAUCCACGUAAUCUUAGACUCGGCCUUUCAUCCGAUGGAUUUAAUCCUUUCGGUGAUCUUAGUUCUAAAUAUAGUUAUUGGCCCGCGAUUUUGGUUGCAUAUAAUCUCCCCCCAUCUCUAUGCAUGUCCAAGGAGAAUUUAAUGUUGAUAUUACUCAUCCCAGGGCCAAGGCAACCUGGAAACGGUAUAAAUGUAUAUUUGGAACCACUUGUAGAAGAUUUGAAAGAGUUAUGGAUCAAUGGUGUAAGUGUUUAUGAUGCUUUCAACAAGUCCACAUUCAAUCUAAAAGCUAUAUUGAUGUGGACAAUAAACGACUUUCUAGCUUAUGGGAAUUUGUUCGGAUAUUCCACGAAGGGUGAGAAAGCUUGUCCAAUGUGCGGGGUUGACACAUGUUCAAAGUGGAUGACUCAUAAUAGAAAGUGUGUAUACAUGAAUCAUAGAAGGUUUCUUGCACACAACCAUCCAUUUUGGGGAAAAGCAGGUUGGUUUGAUGGAACUAUGGAAUGUGGGCGAAAGACUAGAACAUUAACCGGUUCAUAAGUUCUUCAAGUAGUGAAGAAUUUCAAUAAUGAUUGCGGAAAAGCAAAGAAAAAGAUCAACAAAAAAAGGAAGAGAGAGACAGAUAAAGAUUCUAUAUGGCCUUGGAAAAAGAAAUCAGUUUUCUUUGAGUUGCCCUAUUGGGAGGUUUGUCAUUUUACCUCUGAUUUUUAUUCAAUUUUAUUAGGACUUUAUACUUUCUUUGUGUUUCUUUGGAAGGCUUAUUGCUAAAGUUGAUAUAUCAUUUCUUUGUGAUGUAGGCAUUAUUAAUACGUCACAAUUUAGACGUAAUGCACAUCGAGAAAAAUGUUUGUGACAGCAUUGUUGGCACUCUCUUAAAUAUGAAGGGAAAAACAAAGGACAACUUGAAAUCUCGUAAGGAUUUGAAAUAUAUGGGAAUCCGAAAAAAUCUGCAUCCAGAUGAUGAUGGGGCUAGUUGUAAAGCGAGAGCAUGUCACGGUAUUGUAUAGCUGAGCCUUCACACAUCCAUAUUAUAAUUUAUUUUCUCAUUUCCAUCCAAAGUAAUGUGUAUGUUUUUUUUUUCUUUUUGGUAGCAAAAGUUCAGUCUUGAUGAUUGCCACAAGAAAUAUACUUUUCGAAAGUUACGCGAACUUUGGAGGGACCAUCAAUCCAAUUUAGUGAAAAUGGUGAUGAAGCAAGCUGAAGUGGUUGGCCUACCACACGCUGCUUCUCUCCCCAAACCGGACAAUGCAAAAACUACGGACGAAUGACUCUUAUUUCUCAAAGAACGAACUAGUCAAGAAACUAGAGUAAGUGUGUAUUUACUUUUUCAUCUUUAUUGUGUCUUAAUCUUUGGUGUUGGCUGCCAUUGAUGAUGUUGUAGAUAUUGAUUGAGUGUUUCACAAAUUUGAUUUGAGUGAUACAUCUUAUAUUUGGAUAUUUACCUAUGUUUGUUGGGUCAAAUUGAUUUAUAUUUUAGCGUUAAUUUGUUAUGUUCUCUCUUUGUGUAAGAAAAGUGUCAAAAGUUCAAGGAAAUAUGAGGGCAACACAAAAUUUAGGGCAUAGAACGAGCCGUAAAAGCUUUGCCUGCAUAGAGGAUGAACUGGUAAAAAUGAUAUUAGUUUGAUCUCAAUUUGUAGUGUGAGUAUUGAUUUUUUUUUUUCUUUUUGCAGCAACAGAAAAGUGAGAUACCUGAUGCAAUUUCAAGGACUGAUGUUUGGAUCUAUGGAUACAAAAAGAGAGAAGAAUAAGGAUGAUGACGUUGAGGAUCCAGAUUUAGUGGUAAAAACUGUUUGCUGCAUAUUUUUAGUUUUUUUCCUAUGAUUGAUAUUUAAGUUUUUAUUUUUGUGGUGGUAAAUUUUAGAAAGAAGUGAAAACGUACAAAAAAGAACAAGGACAACAAAAAUGUUCUAUUAAAGAUGAUGCUGUAGCAAAAGUACUUGGUCCUGAUCCACGAGGACGAAUAAGAGGAAUGGGGUUUGGGGCAACCGUUUCAAAGAUUGAAGGUCAAGUUCGUGUUCGUGAUCAAUUCAAUUUAUUGGAAAAUGAGGUUAUAGAAUUGAAAAAUCAAAUGACAGAUCUUCAUACUCGAAUAGCAACAGGGGAGAUUAACAUUGUAAGUCUUAUUCAUAUAACAAAUAUUCUUAGUUGAAUACCAAAUGUUUUGAGUUAUAAAUUUGUUAUUCAAUUAAUGUCUUCCUUAAUGUAAUAGGAGAAGGAAAACUUAAGUGUCCAACAUUUUGCUAAUGAGUGUACAAAGCAAACAAAAGGUAAAUAAUAAUGUUCAAAAUUCUGCUAAUGAGAUGGCACAAAGCAAACAAAAGGAAAAUCCAGCUGAGAAUGCAAAGUGUAAACAGUUAAAUUGGAUUGGGACAAGUGAAGUUGUUGGAAUUUGGGAAAUUGCAUCAACUGAUCCCAAUUCAUUAGUCCAUCAUGUGCCUCUUGGUCACGAGUGCUGGAAAGUUUGGGUGAACGAUUUAAUGGAUGAUAAUAUGGCCUUGUAUCGACCAACACGUGAGUUCUUUCUUCUUCGUGAAGCAUUAGGAACUACGAUUGCAUGGCCGAUCAAGUACAUCAAAUUGUGUUAGCGUUGCAUCUUUGAGGUAAAUUCCUUCUUUCACAUGUAGAUGGUAUAGUUCUCAUUGUAUAAUAAUCAAGUCAUGACUGUGCAUAAUCAAUGUUAAAAGAGCAUAAUAUAUAUCAUUGUAUAUAUAUAUAUAGAGUUUUUUUCUAAUGCGGACGUCUGCAUUAUGUUAAAGUCCAGUCGUCUCUUUUGCAACUUCUUUUUGCAAGUGAAUUUGGUUCUUAGUGGAACCCACUUGGCUUGAGGAACCAUACUGGCUUAGUGGAACCUGUUCAUCACUGACAUGGCUCUAUAAUAAAACAAAAAAAGAAGCCAGCUUACAGUAGCAACCAAUGUUAUUGCUUAUUGUUCUUCUGCACACCUUCCCACUUUUCGGAUACCUUUUGGAAGGCCCAACCCCUAAUUAUAUAUUUAUAUAUGGAGUGCUUACCAUUUUUUUGCUUUAUACACGUAUGAAAUCAAAUCCACCUACAGAAAAGAAGCUGGAAGGACAUGACCGGACUUUAGCACAAUGCGGAUGUCCGCAUUAGAGAAAAACUCUAUAUAUAUAUAUAUAUAUAUAUAUAUAUAUCAUUUUAUAUAUACGUCUAGUGCAUAAUCAAGUCAUGACACUGAUAUAUAUAUAUAUAUAUAUAUAUCAUUGUAAAUUAUUAUGUUUUCUACUGAUUGGGAUCCACCUUUGUUGUGAUUUAAAAAUAAAAAAAAAAGACUUUUUCUAUUUAUAUAUUUGAUAUCCUGCAGGUUUUUCUCAAAAGGUCAAAGAAUGCUCAUGAAUAUUGUCUACUGCUAAAGGACAUUAUUUUAGCAUAGGUUGAUGUUAGAGACUUAUUUUUGUUGUUAUCUUCACAAGUGAAUGGAUUCGAGGCUGUAAAAAUGUUUGGGAAUGUUUGACAGAACUCUUAUGUGUUUCUUAUGUACUCUUAAGAGUUCUAUUUUGAAUUGAUUAUGAUGGUGAUUUCAAUGAUUAGUUUUUUUAUAUCUCGUAUAUUUAUUUGAAUUAAAAUGUGUUUCUUUGUUAAACUCAAAUGCCUGGGUUAAUAAUGAAGAAAUGUAUUGUCAAAGUGAAUAUUGGAAUAAUCAAAAAAUUGGAUUAUAUUUAUAAAAAAUUUAAAUUUAAAAAAACCACAUAGACAUGACGUGCAAAAUGCGCUGUUAAUAAAUAUGAAAUUGAAGCUUUUAUGGCACACUUAAGGAGCCGUGUAAUGUACACCAAUUAAGACGUGAACAAUGUGCAGUAAAUAUGUAUCAAAUAAAGCUUUUAUGGCGCGCCAAAAGAGCCGUGUAAUGUAUACCAAUUAAGGCAUGCAAAAUGCGCCGUAAAUAGUUGUCCAAACCUGAUACGAGAACUCAAUCAUGGCGCGCCUUAUUAACGCUUGUGGCAAGCGGAUGCACACAUUAAAAAGAAAAGGCUUUUUACGGCUUGGCCAUUCGUGACACGCAGUGGCACGUUGUGAAUUAUCAUUUACGGCACGCAAUACACACCGUAAAUACCCGAUUUUCUUGUGGUGUGUAGAGAAAGAUGUAACGACCCGGUCCUAAAUAAAUUGGUAAAUAUUAAUUUAUUCAGAGAAUAUACCAUUUUGCCCCUAGAAUAUUUUAUUAGGUUCAAAGUUGACUUUUUGACUGGGAAGAAAUUUGGGGAUUCCAACUGCACCGUUGCAUAGAGCACGGCGAGAUGAGUUCAUAGACACGUAGUGGGCUCAAAUCGGAGUUGUAACGAAGAAGUUACGAGAAAAACAUCACCAGUGACAAAAUCGUAAAUAUUUUGAAAUGAGUUUUUAAUAAAUAAAAAAAAACCUAAAAAAAAAAAACACACACACACACACUCUCUCUCUCUCUCUCUCUCUCUCUCUCUCUCUCUCUCUCUCUCUCUCUCUCUCUCUCUUUCUCCUGCAAGCAGCCCCUCCCCUUCGAAUUUGUUUGCACAACCGAUGGCUCCAAGAGCCACCAUCGGCCACCACUUGGGGCGGCAUGGGUCCCAAAAGGACCAUCAUGAGUUCCUCUUCUAGUCCCACCUGGUCUCCGUCGCCAACCACCAGCACAGUCGCCGGAAUCUGAAAAAAUCGGGCCGAUUUUUUCAAAAUUUCAAACCGCUCGUUCUCUCUGAUUUCUUCACCGAUCCAGUCGAGUAAGGUAUGGAUUUUCGACUAUUUUCCAUGCUCUAGUUGUUGGUUGGGUAGGAUUUCUUUCAUUUUGAGCCUAGGUCAAUUGAUUUUCAGUUUUGGGUUUACGAUUCCGGUCACUUUUUGGGGUAAGCCCAAGAACAAAAGUGACUCCAAAUAUGGUGUUUUACCUAAGGUAGAAGUCUUUAGCUGAAAUUUUGAGAUUUUCCGAUAAGGCAUUAUCUCUUUGGACACCCACUUUCUGCCGGUGCCUGUGGCGGAGCGUGGGCACUGUAGCAGAGGGGCAUUUUGUCUCGAUGUGAUCCCCCCGAUGUCACGAGAGCGUAGGUGUGCUCGGAUUCCAAUUGGGUUCAUUGAUAUUCCUGGUAUAGUAGAUGCUAUCACACAUACAAUCAUACUCAAUUCGAUGGAAUUGUUUGAUCUUAAAGGGGAUCUUCUAUAAUUUCGCGCGUGAGGGGUUAUUUCUUGGUUUCGUAUGGUUGACGUUUAAACCCCGAACGGAUUUCGCCUGUUGUACGUUAUCGGGGUUUGAUAGGUUUGAACUGUUGAAUAGUCUUGAAUUUAAUAUAUGUUAAUCUAGGCAUUUCUAGGAUCGUGUAGGAAUUCACGGAUAAUGAAUCGGAGCCCCGGAUGUUCCGAUUUAAUAACUUAAAGUUCAGGUUUAUAAUAACCAUCCAAUCGUGCGAUCGCGAGCAAUCCAACCGUCUGAUCCGGACCAAACUUGUAGGACGUGUAUCCUAAACCUUGUAGAACCUAUAGGAAUUCUCGGAUAGGAGAACGAAGGUUGUGGGCCCCAUGGGCCUGUUUGACCAAGUUUGGGUAGUUUGACUCUUGGUUGACCGUGAGUCUUCCCAAGAUAGUUUAACCUUUCCAAGAGGAUUAUGAUGACCCUAGUGACAGGUCUUGAGCGUUGUUGAGUUAAGCUGAUUAUGUGGGAUUAGGAUAUUAAUUUAUUAUUUUAAAUUGGGGAAUUAUCGGAUGCUAGAUUGUGGUUGAGGCUUAUACAACUUUAGAACUUAAUAUAUAUUUAUAAAGGUAAAAAGAGUUUAGAAUGUCAGUUUGAAGUACUAUAGCACUACCCUAUGUACCUCCUCGGAUAUUGAUUAAAUUGUAAGUACUAUUAUGUAAUGGUUAGGUUACACAUGGCAUAGGUUCCCAUACAUGGCGUUGGAUGUUCUGGCGUAUGGGGAGAUUUUGUGAUUGUUAGGUCCCACGUGGCAUAGGUUAUCCGGCUCGUGGAUAGACCCCAUACGUGACGUUCGAUGUUCUGGCGUAUGAGGGAGAUUAUGUAAUGGUUAGGUCACACGUGGCGUAGGUUAUCCGGCAUGUUGACAGACCCCAUACAUGGCAUUGGAUGUUCCGGCGUAUUGGGAGAUUUUUUGAUUGUUAGGUCCCACAUGGCGUAGGUUAUCUCGCGUAAGGACAAACCCCAUACGUGGCAUUGGAUGUUCCGGCGUAUGGGGGAGAUUAUGUGAUGGUUAGGUCACACGUAGCUUAGAUUAUCCAGCCUAUUGACAGACCCCAUUCGUGGCGUUGGAUGUUCCAGCGUAUGGGGAGAUUUUGUUAUUAUUAGGUCCCAUAUGGCGUAGGUUAUCCGGUGUGUUGACAGACCCCAUACGUGGCGUUGGAUGUUCCGACGUAUGGGGAGAUUUUGUGAUUACCAGAUAGAUGAACAAAGGUAUUGUAUGAGAUUGGAAUCAGGAUUUAGUGGACAGAACUACGUGUGGCUUGAUCCCUCAGUAAGGGUACGUAGGCAGCCCAGGGUAGUGCCUAGGUGCAGCCGCUGACUAAACAUUAUAAAUGUUGUUUUUAGGUUUGAUUAUAUGGUAUUAUGGGUCGAGGCCCCUAAGACUAUUUUUGGUAAUUCAUAGAUGGUAGUUGUUGCAGGCUAGAAAUUUGUGGGAAGUCAUUUCAUGUUGACUAUAGUGGUACUCAUAAAAUUAUUUGAGUUCCUUAAUUGCAUUGUUAGUAUAUUAAUUGACUUAAGAGUACUGUUAGCUGUUCUGCCUUGAUUUAUUUGAAGGUUGGAGUCCUUGUCUGUAAAUUGUGUGCUAUUACGUUGUGUGUGCUGGCAGUUGGCUUUUUAAAUUGUGUUUUAUUGCAGUUUGAAAAUUUGGGGAAUGUUCAAUUUACAAGGAAGAAUUUGCCGAAUUUUCGGCAGAAAGUCUCGUGCCCUUAUUCCUUUUGGAAAAUGAGGCUUUAGUUUUAGUGAUUGGGUCCGACAUCAGAGUGAUGUCAGAAUUUCCACAGGAUUCGUCUCGAGUUUCGGAAAAUUCGGGGCGGAUCUUGUCAAAAGAGAAGAUGAAGAUAGAAGAACAAUAAAGAAUAGUAGACUUACUUUGAAUAUGUCUGAGCUUUUCCAAAAUUCCUCUUAGCCAUACUUCUUGACAAGCACAAGAAGCUGCUUCAAUGAAUUCAGCUUCGGUGGUGGAUAAAGUCACCACUGGCUGCUUCCUUGAAGACCACGACAUAGUCCCUGAACUCAUUUUAAAAACAUAACCUAAUGUGCUCUCCUAUCCUCUAAAUCCCCAGCAUAGUCGAUGUCUGUGUAGGUUGUUAAGUUCCUCAUCUUCUCCAUUUUUGUAGAACACACCAUAGUAUGUUCUACCUUUCAAAACCUUAAGACUCUUUUAGCCGCCUGCAAGUGAAGCUCAGUAGGAUUUGCCAUGUACCCAUUGAUAAGACUCACUGCAAACAUCACAUCUACCCGAGUAGCCAUUAAGUACAUUAAACUUCCCACAACUUGUUUUGUAAAAGGUGAUGUCAACCCUUCACUCCAUCUUCCUCUUUUGAAAGCUUACAACCAAGAACAAUGGGAUUAUGAAUUGGAUUGCUUCUGUCCCUUUCAAACCUCUUCAAUACCUCCAGUGCAUACUUCUUUUGAUUAAUAAAUAUUCCCUAGCCCUUUGCAUCACCUCAAUACCAAGAAAAAAUCUCAUCAUCCCAAGGUUAGUCAUGUCAAAUAACUCUUAUGUCACUCACUUAGAGUGUCAUGUGUUGAGGCCCAAAAGAGUCCAUGGUUAGGCCCAAAUAAGUUUCCGGCCCAAUAUAAUACUGUUUUAAGAAAAGUCAUAUAUCGGAGUACACGAAGGCUCGUCAGAUGCAAGUCAUAGUCCACAUGCCAUGCUAAAUAAAUAAUUUGCCAUGCCAAGGACUGAGAUAAUAUUACAAAAUACAAGCCCAUGCUAAACUAGGCACCGUGUCCCUCUUCAAAGACGAUAAAAUUAAAGCACGCCAAGCGACAAGCCAUGCCAAGCAAGGAAUUAUUAUUCUGCACCCAAUCACGCCACAAGCUUAAGUGGGCCUCAAGCCACUCAAAUACCCGGGACUUGCUUGAGUGGGUUGUGGUAUGGAUGGUAAUAAAUUGUCAUGAGGCCCAUUGAUGGGCCGAGAAAUGGAAGUCCCAGGUUGCUUAGGAGCCUUGGGACUCAAGUCCAUUUCAUAGGCCCAAACAUGUGGGUGAGCACAAAGAGAAAAAUAGCCCAACCAAAAUAGCCCAUUAACUCAACCAAAAAGCCCAAUGCUUGAUAAGGAUAGCCCACUUACUUGGUAAAUCAACUUGGCCCAUACAAUCACAAUAAAGAGCUGCAAAACCCCAGCACUUGGCUGGAAAAACAAAAGCCACGAAGGGGAAGUCUGAAGGUCCAUUAUACAAAGCUGCUGGGAGGUUCCAGCACAUGGGAAAGGAGCAAGUUUCAAGCAAAAGAUACCCAAGGGACCAAAGGAUAUUGGCACGCAGCCUGCUAGGAGAGGAAUCGCGUUUUGAACCAGUAUGCAUACCCAUUCUCUUUCCCUCAUCAGACCUGGCCAUGGAAGAAGGAAGAAAAGAAAAGAAAGAGAUGGCUGGAAAUAGAGGCAGCUGUGGGAAAAAGCAUUAAGCUCCCAAAAAUCCCCGAUUAUAUGAGAUUGGACAGAGAAGAUUUUGCUAGAAUAAGAUAAGUCAAAGAAGGGGAUGAGAAAGGAAGGAAAAAGUUGGCCAAAUUAGAUAGAAACCAUUAGGGUUUCUUGGAAAAAAAUGGCUUUCAGCGGCUAUAACAGGGGCCUCUUUUACCCAACCAAGGACAACCCACAUUUCAGAGAGCAAGCUUCCUCUCUCACCUGCAACACCCAACAAAUUCGUGCUUUGUUCAUCCUCCUCCCCAUUUUUCCCCUCAUGGUAGACUGCUCUAGCAUUUGACAAAGUCACUGUCAAGCUGCCCGAAAUAAUACUCAAGCCACUCAUUCCUCUCUUUUUCCUUAUUCUCAGCUAAACCUCUCUGCAAACUCUUCAUCUCCUACCUUAAUAACCCUUCCUCUCCCCCCCCCCCCCCCUCCCCCAAGAACACUUAGUUUUCUCUUCAGUGCUAAACUCAUGACAAUUUUGCUCCCAUGCCACAAGCUUCUCAUGCCAAGCUAGAAAAUUUAUCUGUAAGCUGUUGUUAUUUUCAUUGGUGAACGUAACCAAGGUGUUUCCUAAAGCCAUACUAUCCUUUCGAAGCAUACUUGGGGCUUGAUCUCUGAACUCAGGCUGAAGGGGCAAUUUCAUCCAUUUUGCUAUUUACAACAGCCCAGGCCCAUAGUAGCUGCCGGAACGAAAAAGCCCCUACAACAUGAAAUAACUCUUAUGUCACUGUCGGACAAUGACACAAGAGUUGUUUAAUGUCACUCUAAGUGAGUGACAUAAGAGUUAUUUCAUGUCAUUGUCGAACAAUAACUGGACCUGUUUGUCCAAUUUUAGAGACACUGUACCAUUUUGUCUUCAUGCCCUCCUAUUUGUCCUUAUAUGAUAAAGCCCCUUUUAAUAUAGGUGAUCAUCAUUAGCGCCCCUAUGCUCCCACCUUUAAUUUUUUGGUAGAUAUUAAAAUGAAUGCUUAGAUGUUAACACAUUUGAAGUUUUCUAGAAAAGAGAGUAAGCUUUAACUCUCGCUCUCAUCUCUCAUCUCUUCUUAUCUUUCUCUUCCUAUAUUUUCUUCUUAUCUUCUCUGCAUCUCUAGGUUCGAUUAGUGAACCCAUGUUAAUGGUGGUUCGAUGGUUGUGGUUGUGGUGGUUGAUAGAUUCACCGAUCAAAUUCGGAAGCAAGAGUAAGGGCACACUGCCUUAACCAACUGGGUUAACCCAACAAAAUUUUUAACACUAAAACUUAUGCUUAUUGGACGGAACUAAUUUUUAGGGUCACCAUUAUUUAUCAUGGCUACAAUACUACUACAUUUUUAUAUGCCUAAGCCCUAAUGUCGUAUAUCUUCCACACGUAUGCCAUGUGACAACGUGAUGAUUAUUAACAUUGUAGAAGAGAUAAUUACUAAUUAUAAUAUGGUAAUUGAUGGGGAAGUAGGAAUUUAUAAGUUAUAGUACAAAAUGAAGAGGUUUUUUUGUUGGAACUAUGAUACAGAUUUUGUGUUCUUAAGAUGUUGGGGAUUUUGAUUUUAUUAUUAAAUUUGGUAAAAUUUAGUGAAUUGGAUGAACUAUAAGGAAGAUUUUUUGAGAUUUUGCUGUGUAAUUGAUAUUAGGAUUGAAAUUGGAGGAGGAAAGCAUGGAAUUUGACUGGGAAUUCACUGAAUUCGCACCAGGGACCUGUUUGCAAAGUAUUAUGCAGUUUUUGGGGCAGUUUUAUAAUUUCUUGAAGUGUAAGCAUCAAAAGCUUGGGUACAUAUUUCUAAUUUUCAGAAAUGUUGAGACAUUAAGGUAAGUUCGGUAAAGCAAACGUCCUUAAUGGAGUGGAAUAGAGUUAAAGCGGAACAUAUGGAAACGUAGAAAUAAAGAAAUUGUAUAGAAUUUAGUUACUUAUGUACGGGACAAAUGGUAACACUUUUUGUUGUUGUACUAGGGACUCCAAUUAUCGUGAUACUUAUGAUUGAUCGUGGCAUUAGUGAGGUAUAUCUUACACUUGCAUUGAAAUUGAGGUAGGUAAUAUAUUGAAAAGGAUCUUUUAUGUAGUCGAGUCACUCAAAAAAUAAGCUCCUAAUAAUUUAUUCACUCAAAAAAGAUAAUCAAACAUUAUAGAAACUUGGAUGAUACAAUUAUUCUUAAUAAAAUCAAAGUCUCAGUAUAACUAUUAAACUGAGAUCCAUGAAAGAGAAAGUAAAUUUCAAUAUUUAUUUACAAGGAGGCAUAUAAGCAGGUGCUGGGAGCAUGCUGGUUUCAGUGGUGUGUCCAUUUGUCACAAUGAGUACAGUGGCCAUUCCCCAGCUGGCAUGCCUUUCCAAAUGACAGUGCAUAAACCAUACUCCUGAAAAUAAUCAUCAAAUAAUUCAUUUAAAUAGUUAGUUAACCUAGCUCCAUGGUUGCUCUAUCUUAAUUAAUUUGCCUAAUUACAUACAUUGUACACAUGGCAUGUUAGAUGUAUAUUAUUAUUAUUUGUCAGAGUUUGGAAAGGAGAGGAGAGUGGUGUCAUUGAGAUUCGAACCUGACACCACUUAUCUGCAGACAAAUGCUCUUAUCACUGAGCUAUGAACCCAAUCCCAUGACAAGUACAGUAAUUAGGUGGCUAUAGAAGUAGAACUUACCAGGAUUAUCAGCCUUAAAUCUGACGGUUGCCCAUCCAUUCUUUGGUACACCAAUGGUGUUUACUUCAGGUGGAUCAACCAAAUUGUAGGUCUUAGGGGCCUGAUUAGGGUCGAAAUUCCCAGAACCAGUUCCAACCAAAUAAAAGCUGAAACCAUGGAGAUGCAUCGGAUGGUUCUCAGCGGCAAUCAUGUUGGUCCCUUGAUAGAUUAUCUCAACUUCUUCACCAUAUUUAAUCAUUCUCACCUUCGUUCCAAAGUAAGGAUAUAUUGUGUCGUUUCGCACGUGUCCCGUGAAGUUGAAAAUAUAAGGUUUGUGUGGGAAAUUAGCUGAGUAAACUCCAUUAAUUGACCUGUACAUAGGCAAUAAGGUCAUUUAAGUUAGAUAUUUUUUUAAUUAAAAAAAAGUUCUAGUUUUGCAAAAAAAGAACAAGUAAUAAGACGUGGAUUAGAGAAGUAAUAAUACUCUCUUGCAUUUGAGUCCAGAGAGUAUAUUAAUUUAAACUAUUAUUUGUAUUUAUAUUAAGUAAAACGCACGCUUUUGGCUCAGUUACCAUUUUACUCUUCUACGCGACUAUUCAUUUCCUUUCAGUGAAGGAACUAGGAUGUAGAAAUAUGGGAUGGGCUGAGUUGGACUGGGGUGAGGUGUUUAGUUGGGAAACGUUAUAUACAAUAAUUAAUUUGAGCAACUAAUUGAAAUUACGUUACGUACCCGUAAUAGGCUUGCAGUAUAUCAAUCGAUGGAGUCACAAAACUGAUGUUGUUUAAGCUUGCAGCAAGUGCAUUGUUAUCUGGCCCAUCACAAGAAGAAUUGGGACAAAUUCUUUCAUUUAUGGAAACAGAGAUGAAGAGCGUGUGUGUGAUGUGUAACGGGACACUAAUGGGGUAGUCUUUGCUUGCCAAGGCCCUCACUUGCGUAGUGAAGUUUGAGGCAGCCGUUCCGUCGGCGAAAUCAGGAAGAAUCGGAGUGGGAAUGGUUGAGGGGGUCGUGCUGCCGUUGUAUUGAAGAAUGGCAGAGGUGGUGCGGUUGUUGAAUGCAACAUCCCCAUCAACAAAAGCAUGGGAAGCUACGUGAUAGUGGCUGGGAGACUGGUUUGCAACUACCAAAAUGUCCAUGGUUUGGCCUGGAGUUAUCAUGAGGUAGGAGGUGGUUAUAGGUUUUAUGUAUGCACCAUCUUGAGCUACCACUGUGAGGUUGUGGUUGGCAAUGGCGAAGAACAUUUCUUCGUUCAACACCGCGUUGACUAAGCGGAGAAGAUACGUCUUGCCAUAAUCAACAACCCAACGAUAUGUUGUUGCUGCAACAGGAAAUCAAUCAGUUGUUAGCAAAUUAAUGAUGUCAAAGUAUGUUAGUUGUUAGAAAUAAACAGUGUUCAUAGUGAAUCAAAUAUGAAUAAAUCAAACAUUAAAGUAGAGUAAUGUUUGAAUGAAAUAAUAAUGUCUUUUGUAAAAUAAUUGUAGUUGAUAUACCUAAUUCCUAAAUUAUAGUUAAAUAUAAUAUUGCCCUUCAUAACUCAGGGUGACCCACCUUUAUCCUAUAACUGAGAUUUUGAGUCCACCUUUACAACUCACCAUUAUGUCGGUUAAAAGUUGUAUUAAAAAUGUUGACAUGAUUUCUCAUAUUAAAAAAAGUUCACAUGACGUGAGCGCACUCAUGAAAUGUGCAACACAUGAGUGCCAUGUGUAUCAAAAAUAAAAUAAAAUAUUUCAUUUUUAAAAAGUUCAAUUUA